rnacentral:lncRNA from 1 species
GUCCUUCUGGUUCCUCAAGGUAAUCCCCGUUUCAUUACUAACAACCACGGUACCUUCUGAGAUCUCUUCAUGACAUGGGACUACACGAGAAGCAGACUUAUUAAAAAGGGUUCUCUUCACAUCCGGCUUUGCCAAUCUAUUUCUCUCCCCAACUUUUUCCCCAGAGCUCUCAUCUCUGUUCGUUGGGUCAUCGUCAGACAUUGCCUUCCCUGGAGCAUUGUGAGCGGCACCACAUUCAACUAUCAAUUCAUAAGGCUUCUUACGAUCCAGUUUCCGGAACAUUGCUGGACCAGUUUUCUUUUCGUUCUCAUUUACCGGAAUUCUUUUCCUGGCUGUGGUGAAAGAAGAGCCAUUGCAUAAAAGGAGAUUUUUCCUCACUUGAGGUGCACCGGAGGUGACAGUGCAGGGCGUCUUGGAAGCAGGCGUGUAUUGCCCGUGGCUCGCAUUCUGGCAUUCUGUAGGUACAAAAUCACAUUCCGACGUUGAGCAUCAGUAAAUCCAAUACAAAGAUUUGUUAUAUAUACAUCACCAAUACAAGGCAUCCAUUAAGAAUGAAGAAAUGAAGAUGAUCGGAUACCCAUUGUUGAAGAAUGGUAUUCAAGAUCUGCGGACGCCUCAUCAGGAACCUCCUUCCACGCCUCCACCAACUGAUUCAUGGUCUCCCGGACUACCUUUACCUAGAGGGUCCAAUUAAUUCACAUCAACCACCACGAAAUCCUUUUAUUUAUCAGUAGUAAUUUUAGCCGGAAAAAUUCUUUUAAUUUAAGAUAUAUGCACACGGAAGAAAUCAACUAAUACCAGUACUAGUACUAUUUGCUAGCUAGCAGUCAAAUUAGAAAGUAAUAGUAAUUUGAGACCUUGUCGAAUCUUUUGGCCUCGAAGGUCUUCAAAGACGCAGCUUUAAACUCGGGCAAGGCCUCUCUUUCCGCCAGAGCAAGCUUGAGCAGCGUCUCUGCGACGGCCUUCCUCGCUGCCCAAUCCUCACUACUCAAAAACUGCACCAGACAUGCCAGCAAGUUACUCAGCAUCAUCCCGGCAUGGGCCCCACCUGACUCGAUCACGGAUCCCAUGAACCCCAGAACGGCUGCCUUGGCCCUAAACCCCUCGCGCUUGACUAACUUCUGCAGCCUGACCAGGAGCUUCCUCAAGAGCACGGCAUCCGGCGGCUGGGGAAUGGACUCGAGGACGGCUGACAAGCACAUGGCGGCGCCGAUCUGAGCAUUGAGGUCCUGUUCGGUGAAGAGAGCUUCGAGGAAGGGCUUGGAGAGGGAGGAGAAGGAGGGCCUGGUGAGGUGAGAAGCAAGGGAGGUGGCAGCGGAGACGCAUGCGGGGCGGAUAGAAGAGUCGGAGUCGCGGAGGCGGCGGAUGAUGGAGGAGAGGAGCUUAGAGAGGUGGGGGGAGAGAGCGUCGGAGUGGUGGAGAGCGAGUAGAGAGAUCAAAUGCAGGCAUUGCUUGCGGACGGUGGAUUUGUCGGUGGAGUCGGUGGCGGUGAUGGAGGAGAUAAAAGGAGGAAGAUUGUCAGGGGAGAGGGUCUUGGCGAUGUUUUCGAGCUCGGAAGUGGCGGAGGCGUAGGUGUCUCUGUCGGAGAGCUUGUGGAGGUACGUCAGUACUCUGUGCUUCAAGUCACGUUUCGCAGCGGCGGCCGCUUGAUUCUGCUUGACUGCCGCCAUUGACUGUGACAUUGCGUUCGCGUAUAAAAAUUAAAAGAGAACGGCGGUUGAUACGUGGAGUAGAACUGUCUGAGUUUACGGCUGAGAAAUUGGUGAUGGCGGUUGCGCCGCUGGGACUUCCGGAAGCAUGGCAGCGAAAGAUGGUAGUUAUGGCGCCGCUGGGAUUCAUCUCAACUGCUUUAGAUAUCUAUACAUACAUAUAUGCUGUAUGUUCUUUUACCUUUUUCUUACAUUUUGUGAUAGUAGCAGUACCCAUUUCUCUACGCCUGCCUCUCUCUCUCUCUCUCCUGGUCCUGUCUUCUUUAAAGAAGAGGGGUGGAAGAGAACAUGGAACAUGCAACUGUCAUCCGCAAGUUACCAAAAGGCCGUUAAUUUGAUCGCAACGGAUCUUCUGUCCCACACCCUAUGCCACUCUCUCUCCCAUUUUUUAUUACCAUGUGUGUCAUGUUCUGUUUCGCAGAAUGCAAAUUUUAGUGGUGGUAGUAGCAGACUAUUAUAAGACUGGUGACAGUGGAGUGUGUGGAUAAGGGAUUAUUUGAAAUAAUUAUUAUAAUAUUUUUAUAAUGUGAUAUAUAUAAAAUAAAAAAAUAUGUUAAAAAUUAUAUUCGUGACGUAAGUAAAUAAUUUUAACUAUUCAAAUGAAUUAUACUCGGGAAAAAUAUUAAUAAUAAUAGGGAUUAUUAAGUAAGGAAAUUUUUUUUACUCCCUCUUUGUUUUUUAAGUUUCAUCCCUCCUCUUCUGCCGAAAAAAAAAAACAAAUCUUCAACACAUAGGGUCCAAGGUCAAGAAUGGAGUGGGAGGCAGUGAAUGCAGUAAAUUUGUCAACUUUUUUUGGGGUUUCUUUUCCGGCUAAAAUUGGGCUAGAAUAAUCAUGUAAGCAUGGCACAAGAGCAUCAUUCAAGUCACAAAUGCUUGUCAUCAUUUCAUUUCUUUCUCAAAUUUCCUUCUUACGUUAUUAAAGAUUCUGCGUUACGAUCUUGUUAUCUGUUUCCACGACAAACUUCUCCUUUUAAUUUGGCGAGGUUGAAACCAUAUAGAAUUUUUACUCCAAAGACUUUGCAUGAUCGGUUGCGUAGUAUUGUAAUUAUAGAAUUCUAACUCAACAAAUUAAUGGACCUGGGCUUAGGAUUUACAUAAAGGUGGGGGAAAAAAAAAGAAGUUACAUAUUUGGAUCAAACUCCAACUCCUACCCUAGAAUUUGGAUUUGCAAUUUUGCAUGAAGGGGAAAAAAAAAAAAAAAAACAUACAAUAGGAUAAAGAAAAUUAUAUACCAGUAUUUGGAUCAACUCUCCAACUUGUAAUCAAACCAAUAUUUUUCCUUUGGUCGGAGAUAUGUCAAGUUGAUGAUCUAAGGAUUAAGAGAGGGUUUAGUGAAAUUGCUGAUGACCUGAAAAGGACCACGGAGGGAGCGAGCUUGUUGUUGGUAUUGUUCGGUAGAACAAUGCGCACUUUUCUUGACUUGUAUAUUUUGCUUGAAGUGCACACAAAGUUCUAACAAGACUGCUGCUGCGACUCUGAAUUCUUAUCAAGUUCUAAUAAGUUGGUCAAUGUAUGUCAUACAAUUCGUAUACGCAUCACUCUCAAAAUUCUCGAAGAUUGGAAUACUUGUUGCCGGCGCUUUUUUGAGGAGAGAUUUUGCUAGAAAAAGAAAAGAAAAGAAAAUUACACAGGAAAUCAAUUUUUCAUCGUUCUGGGAGUUUAUUGAAAUCAGAAAAGAAGGAAAAUGGGCUGAUGCUACAGAGGAGUGGAGAAAAUUUGUCUGCCCAUUUUUGGGCUGAUUUCUCUCCUUUUCUUUUCUAUCCUAGACUCCUAAACUUGCCAGGCGUUAGAAAUUUUGAAGGUGACAUAUUAUUAUUGCAUCUUAUCGUUGAUAUGGGCUACGCCUCCAUCUUAUCAUAUUUGAUAGACGGCCUUUUCAUACCACAAAGAACAAAGAGACAGAGAAAAAUAGAGUGGAGAUUAAAGAUUUGAGAUUUGAAAGAAGAUAUAGUGAAAUGAGGAUGAGAGUUAUAUUAGAGAAUCAAUCUAUUAGCCAUGAAAAUUAUGAUCCGAUGAAGAGAACACAGAGUGAGAACUGAGAUUGGAGAGAAAGUGGGAAAAGAUUGAAGUGGCAGCUGAUGUAUCGGGGUUAAUGGAGUUUUGUUUUUUCUUGUUUUAGUAAACUAUUUAAAAGUAAUUAAUUGUUUUGGCAAAUUAAUCAAUAAGCAAAGCAUUAGUGGAAUGGUUAGUGUGUUAGACUUGCUAGCAAAAGGGGUUCUGUUUUUGCUAAACAAAAAAGAAACUAAAAACAUGAAAACUGAGAACCACCGGUUCAACGGGUUUUAUUAAUUUUUAUGAAUUUGACUGAUCUUGAUCGAUUUUUUGUUACUUGGAACUGGACCGAUACCACUUAUAAGCGACCAAACAUUGAAACAGGUGGGCGUAAUACUUGACAUCUCCAUACUUUUUUUUUUUUUUUUUUUGUCAAACUUCAACUGCAUUAUAUAAUUUGACAUCUCCAUACUUGGCAUGUGCAACUUCCUUUGGUAGUUGCUACUAGACAAAUACCAUGGAAGAAGAAUGAAGAGGUAAAUUCUGACCGGAUGAAGUGAAUUUCCCGGACUGAGAAUACCUCCUCCUUGAGACUGGUCACUGUGACGAGGUCACCUGUGAUGAGUCAAUUGAAGAGGUGAUUUCUGACCGGCUGAGGUGAGUCCUCCGGAUUGAGGGAAGUUCCUAUCUCGGAUGAGUCACUGCGGCGAAGUCACCUGCUAAGGUUACAAGAGGCGCUGAAUCCCCCGGUGUAACUCCGAAACUUAAGUUAGUUUGGUAUUUUAAAGAGCAAUAUGCUGGAGAGCAAUAUGGCUAAUGUUACCAGAAAAUGGUCCUCCCCCUUUUGAUCGAUACUCUGGGUAUUUAUAGGGGAUUGGUUGGAGAGAGGGACUGACAUCGCGAGUCCCUAAGGAUCUGGGCUGACCGGCGUAUUAGACGGAUUUGACUGGUCUCUGUGAAAAGGCCUGAGGCGACAGGUGCCAGGUUCAGAUGGCGCGUGUCAGAGCGGCUGUCCAUCAGAUGCCAAGCGUGUCAGAUGUGUCAGGUGUCAUUUCCUACCUUUCGCAGUUGUGUCAGUCAGGCGUCACCUCGGCUAACGACCUGAGGACAAUAGCCGAGGUGGUAAAACGGACAGAUACCACCUUGAUUUAUAAUGGGCCGAGGUGGCCCUUCGGGAGGUGCCACUGAGGAAGGCCUGCCACUGAGUAAGGCCGCCUGCAGGAGGCGCCACUGAGUAAGGCCGAGGUGGCCCUGCAGGAGGUGCCCUUCGGGAGGUACCGCUGAGUAAGGCCUAAGUGGCCCUGCGGGAGGUGCCACUGAGUAAGGCCGAGGUGGCCCUUCGGGAGGUGUCACUGAGGAAAGCCUGCCACUGAGUAAGGCCGAGGUGGCCCUGCAGGAGGCGCCACUGAGUAAGGCCGAGGUGGCCCUUCGGGAGAUGUCACUGAGGAAGGCCUGCCACUGAGUAAGGCCGAGGUGGCCCUGCAGGAGGCGCCACUGAGUAAAGCCGAGGUGACCCUUCGGGAGGUACCGCUGAGUAAGGCCUAAGUGGCCCUGCGGGAGGUGCCACUGAUUAAGGCCUGCCACUGAGUAAGGCCGAGGUGGCCCUGCAGGAGGCGCCACUGAGUAAGGCCUAAGUGGCCCUGCGGGAGGUACCACUGAGUAAGGCCUAGGACUGUCCGGGCCGAAAUGACCAUUCUCACUAAGCCCCCCAAGCUUCGAGAAGGACGAGAUCGGUAUUUGCCGAGGUCGCUACUUCCCGAGGCUUAGAAGUUGGGGACCCCUGCCCUUCUGCAAUAUCUUCUGCAAUAAUUCAUAGUGAGAGCUUUCCUGCUCUUAGAACGCGUAGGUUUCAUAUCCUAAUGUCUUCGCAUUCCCACAGACGGCGCCAAUUGGUCAUUUCGGCCCGGGCAGUCCUAGGCCUUACUCAAAGAACAUUUUCUUCACCGCUUUAUCAAUAGAAAACAAAAAAAAAAAAACCCAUCAUGGGGUUUUUGGAUUUUGGAUCCAGGACAGAACAUUUACACCAAGACGAAGACAUUCUUUGAGUCGAGACGUCCAGAUCUUGCCAUCUGCUUCCCCUAACAAAAGCCUAUUUUGUAACGUCUGCUUCCCCAUCAUUUGUUUGGAUUGGCCUUUAUUUCCCCAAAUAUAUUUGCUUACAUCAUCAUUACAAUUUCCAACACACCUUUUUACCUUUCCAAUUAUCUUUUUAUCUCACAUACAUCACAUCACAAAAAGUGUUACAGUAAAAAUAUCUCAAAUAACUUACAAUCCAAACAAAUCCAUGGUCAGACAUGUCAUGACUCGUGAAGUAAAUUACUGGGUUGCAAAGCAAAUGUUUUAAUCAUCUAUUGGUCAAUCGAACUUCAUUUCAGCCAAAUGGAUAAACAAUUUACAGUAUGGAACUUAGAGAGAUGAUUCCCUGAAUUAAAAAAAAAAGGCUUAAUUUCAUUUAAGUCCUCUAAAACAGUUCAAAAUCUAAGAGUGUGUUUGGAUUGCAUUUUUCAUGGAUUUUUCAAUUGGAAAAUUACUGUAGCGAUUUAAUGUAUGUGAGGUAAAAAAGAUAAUAGGAAAAUGUGUUCACGAAAAACAAGACCAUUUUUUAGUGGAAAAUGACUAUCCAAACAAGUCCUAAUUUUACUACGUCAAUCCAAGCCUCCCACAGUAGCACUAAAAGCAGCAAUCUAGUCAUUUUCACCUUAAAAGAAAUUGUUGUUUUUUUUUUUAAGGAAGAAACUUGUUUCAACUUGGAAAAUCAAACACUCUUUCGUUGUAAUCAAUAAAUUUUUAGUUGCCAAAUAUGAAAGAAGGGAUAUAACCGAAAAAGCAGAAUAUCAAGAAAAGUCAUUUAUACGUUACUAAAUAUGAAUGGAUUUGACAGAAAAAAGGAGAAAAUUAAGCAUAGCGUAUAGGUCCUUCCAAUUGUAACUUGUGUAAGUGCUUUUUCUAGUUUUCUGUGACUUGAAACCAGACCAACUUAAGUAGUUUCAUCAAUUAGAAAAGCGUGCAUUUAGGUGAAAUCAUUAAAAUUGUGCACCUUUAUCAUUAUAUCACUAAGGCAGGGAAACUUAUAUCCCUGUUGAUUUUCCUCAUUUUAUGGUUACGUCAUUCUAUAGUUACUUGACAAUUAUUGACUUAUAUUAAAAAAAUUAUUUAAGACCAAUUUGGAAAAGCUUUCCCAAUUCAAAGGACGAAAUUAUUUAAGACCAUCUGAUGCUCUUAUGAAAGCAUGCAAAAGCUUUUGGAUCGAUGAAUUAUUUCAUCUAAAUAUAUUUUCUAAUUCAUUUUUUUUUAUCUCAUAUACAUCGCAACACAAAAAGUGUUACAGUAAUUAUUCCAAAUAAUAUUUCAAAUAAUACUCUAUCCAAACACAAUAAAUAUUUUUAGAACUACGUAAAUAAUUUUAUUGAACAAAUUAUACUACAAAUUUGAGAGAUUAUAAUUUGUUUACAAGAUUCAUUUGUAGAGGUUAUGAUCUUAUAUUUAAAAAAAAAAGAUUUUGUUUUGAUAUGAAAUAUGUAUUUAAAAAAAGGCACUACUUAUUUCAAAUUUCCAUUGAUUUUGAAUUCUUUUGACUUUUUCCUUUUUUUUGUAUUAUCUUUGCAUGUUUAUUUCUUGGCUAGAGACUUUAUUUGGGAAAUUUUUUUUUUUGAGUUUUAGACAAAUACGUAAAAUACAAAAUUAAAUUAAUAUAAAUCAUUUUAAAUAAUAAAUGAUGAGCGAGACGAAACGAAUAACCGGUGAUCCAACCCUCUAUUAGUAGGUAUCUAAUCUAAUAACCGAAUACCUGCUAAUAUAUAAGGAUCCAAGGAUAGAAAAUGACUAAUGCGCGAAGUAUAAGACGAAUCAACCAAAUGAUGCACAAUGCGAGUAUCCAAUUCGUGCCCACCCCUAAAUUUACCGAUACAAUAACAAUGAAAAACCAGACACGUCUUCGGCUGUUACUUUGAUUUAAGCUUAAACAAGUGCACAAUCACAAAAGACACAUUAAUCUUCCGAAAACAAAAGAAAAGGUGGUGAAGUUGGGGCAAGUUCCUCCAUCACGCCGUGGCGGAGCCAAUAAUGGGACCAGGGGCAAUCAACCCCAAAUUCCAAAAUCUUUCUUUUAGCCCUGAAAAAAUUUUGAAAAUUUUAAGCAAAAGUCCUUUGGCCAGAUCAAGAUUUUACCAAAAUUUUAUUGCCCCCGCCCCUACCUAGCUUCUCCUUUUAGACAAAAUUGAGCUCUUACUCAUCUUUCAAUAUUUUUGACCUAGCUUCAUAUAUAUGUAUGACAUGUACUACCUAAUUCUGAAUGGUGUACAUAACUACAGAGAGAGCCAUUUCAUGACAAGAAUCAAAUAUCUUCUCCACUAAUCCAAGGGUGAAAAUGUAUCUUUGUAGCAUUUGAGGAAUCAAAAUAUGCCGCAUACACACUUUGCUUCACAAAAUUAUGCACCCCUAACAUCAAAGAUACACAGAACUGUGUUGGCACUGCUCACACUUUUCCUCAUGAAUGAGCUCAUGCCAAUCAUUACAUCCAACCUAUAUAACAGGUUAACCCCUAAGCCAUAUACAUUAGAUGACCAAAAUAAAGGGCAAAAUUAUCUGAAUUUUCCUAUCAAUGUAUAAUACCUUAAGAGAGCUUUCCCAAUUCCCAUGUACUGUCACACGCACGCUUGUCCCAUACCAACUCGCCAAUUAUGAAACUUUCUAUUUGUCAGCAAUCACUUGAACAAGUGUUUUGCCAUGACCGUUAUUGCAAUCUCUUUGCAUGUCAUUACCAUCUUCAUUCUGCAAAAGAAAGCAAAAGAAAACUAAAUGCGGUAGCCAAACUAACAAUCAUAUAGGGUAUUCGAAGUUUAUCAACAACAAUUAAGCGAUAAAUGGGGUUUAAUGAAUAAAAGUUACCAAACAAACUUAAUCAAUUCAUAUCUUAUGUUAACAAACCUUUUCCUUCCAAUCAAGUUGCGUACUUUAUUCUGUACACAAACUACAACAGUUUAACAUUUUAAGUAAGACGUGCACUUGCAUGAGUCCAUCAUCUUUGUUUUUAUUAGUUAAGGGGGGAGGAUCGAUCUCUUAUCAAAUGCAAAAUGACUAACUAUGAUUGUGCAUGUCACCAUGUUCUCGCAUUUGUUACUGCCCUACUUGAAUGAAUUGCAUCAUUCACUGUUUGCAUGCUUGGCCAUAAGAAAGUCAAGGAGCCAACUCAAAUGUGAAGGUGUAGGAACAUAUUAUUCCCAAAUACGAGAACAUUUUUCUGUAUAAUUGAUUGGCAUUAAAAAAAUGAGAGAGAUUGAAAAUGUAAAGCCAGGGGGACAAAAUUGCAUAAAUUUUCUCCAGCGAGAAGCACAAAGUGCAUAAAUUCCAAGACUAAAAUAGUUGGAAGAUAUAUAUAGCAUUUAAGCUUCGUGCAUCAACUAUAGAUUAACAACAGUAAAAGAUCCUCCACUUGAAGCCUCACCAAAAAUAGGUGUAUAAAUGCUUUUUUCCCAGGGGCAAUCCCUAUAUUUUGAUAAUGACUAUUUUAAAAAAACUUUUAAUCGUAAUAUGUUUCACACACUCAGACAUCCCUACAUAGAGAAGACCCAUCAGAUCACAAAAACAGGUAGGUAGCAAGCAAAUUCACCUUGAGUGUCUCUCCUAUGGAGAAGCAGAGUCCAUAUAUUACAGGCUUUAUUUGUCCCAUCACAACAAUCUUUGUUUGGGUGACACUUCAUUUAGCACUAAUAAUGGGAGGAAAACAAACACUAGUUCUAAUCCUUCCAAGAUUACUAAAUAAGAAGCAAAUUUGGAUCAUCCACCCGGUAAAGGCAUAUUUGUUACCUACUAGCUUGAUUCAGAUAUGCCAACAUUUCAUUUAAGGGUAUGAGGGUUAAGACCAAGAAAAUGCAAAAAAUCAACAUAAAAUUUUUGCUUCUUUAACGAGAAAUCUAAGCACUGUGACUACGUAUGCAAUUCAAAAAAUCACUAAACACUUGAAUCAGACGACGACGACAAAAACCAUUCAAAUAGGCUAACAAAAUACAACUGUAUAAAAAGUGCAGAACUACAGUAUUGAGAUGCAAAGGCAAGAUAAUGAAUAUACCCUUCUAGUGAGGCCUUGAGCUGACAUGAACUCAUAGAACUUGCGCAUCAGCAUUUCUUCCUCUACCUACAAUGAACAUCAUCAUUUAGCAUCUCAAAUUAUUUUCAAACCAGGGAGCUAAAUCAGCAUUCCACUAGCAAAUUAAAAUUUUAGUGAAAUAACAUAAGUAGAAAUAAUUUUGAAGAUGAUAGAUCCAAUUCAUGUUUGAGCUGUAAUGGUCCAUACAUUUCGGAGGAAGCGUGUAUGAGAUCUUUCAUGGACCAAUUUAACUAUGGUCCAUGGUCACAAUCGUUCUUUGCUCUUUUCCUUCCUCCCCCGCCCCCACCCCGGCCCAUGCUCAUCCAAGCCAAGGGGGCAUGGCUGAGGUAAUAGCAAUCCAAAUAUUAUACUAAAAGGCAUAAAAAUCCACAUAUACAACAUAGAUAUCCUUCAUUUUAGAAGCCUUCCCUUCUUUAUUUGAUAAAUACAGCUAUUGCGCUAACCCUUCUUAAUUUAAUUAAUUCAGACCCUGUCUAAGAAGGAAAAAGGACAUAGAAAAGAUUCCUACAGUAGUCAUCAAAAAGUUUGAAAACUCUCGUGCAUUAACAUAAGAAACCACAAAACGGAGAUCAAGAUGAAAAAGGUAGACCUGGAGUUUAUGCAGUUCAUGCAGCAUUGACCUGUGGGCAUCAGCAAGGAGCUCAUUCUGCUUAUCCAAAUGCCUACAGAAAAAUUGAAUUAGACAGUAUAUCAUUGAGCCAAUAAACCUGUGCAACACAAACUCUAAUAACAAGGAGAGACAACUUUUUAUUAGUUUGUGAGUGAUUUAGUAUGCUUUGUGAUAAAAAACCAUCAAGCUUUUAGCAGGAAUUACCUUAGCAUUUCUCCAGCAUAUCUAGAGUCCAUUCCCUUAAAAUAUUCAAUUGAGAGGUGUAUGGAUUUGCACAAACCUCACUAGCUCCAAGGAGAAACCUGAAUGUUCAAAAGAGAAUCUUAGUUUAAAAGAUUUAACAAGCUUUCAAUAGAGAAAUGAAAUGCAAAACCAAAUGUACGAAAAGUUGUCAAGUAUUCCAGUGACAGAAAAGUUCUAUAGCCUCUAUUGACAGCGGGGAAUGAGAAGCAACUUCAAGCUUCCAUCAUCCACAAAUGACCAUAUCAAGACAGGGAAAUCUUUGUAAAAAUCAAUAGGACUAAGACUAAACCCUAAUUGCUUAUCCAGCCCCACAGAUAGAUUCAAGAUACAUCAUUCAAAUUUGAAUCAUAUGUGUAAUGCUUGAGCCUAAAGACUGACCUUUGCAAUGAUCAUUACUGUGUCAGAAUCAGCAGAUGGUUGUCCCGGACAUAAGCCCAAAACAAAGUUUUGACCACAAAAGGACAUUAGUGGACUAGUAGAGGGGAGACCAUCCAACCACUAAAAUUGUAGGUUCAAGGCAGCCUACACAAAACAUAAGUCUAAUGAUAUUCUGUCACAACUUAAUAAAAUACUGGAAGGAAGCUUUACCCCUACACAUUCACCAUGAGCAAAGUUCAUUCUACUUAGUUCUUUUCCCACAUUUGAUUGCCAAGGACGAACACUCAAUUAUCUGGACAAACGAUUUAUCCACCUUUUAAACAUUAAAGCAUCCGAUUCUCUUUCUGGUAAACUUUUUUCUUUCUUUUCUAUUUUCCUUACAGAUGUAAGUGCCACAAGGCUCAAUAUUGACUCGAACCUUAUCCUAACUGCAAGGUUCCAUAUUGUCCUACAAGAAUAGCUAGCACCAAAUGAAUUAGUAGAUGUAGUAAAGGAAAACACUUAACUUAGGUGGGGCAGAAAUUGGUUUAAGAGGAAGACUUGGCAACUGCCCUCUCAGAAAGGCUUGCUAACAUGUCUUUGAAGAUUUUUCCAAACAAUUGCUUGAGAAAAGGAGAGAUCACAUCAGAACAAGUCAAAGCAUCAAGAGAUCGAACCACACCUUUUCGAACAAGAAAAGUGAAAGCUGAAGAUAUCCCUUUGACAAUUACAUCUUUUCUUUCAAUGUCAUAGUUUUCCACCAGCAUCAAGAGAAAUUCUAGAAGAGUAUGAGUUAUGUCAACAUAACUAGGAAUGGAAUGUAUCAUUAGCAAUAUCCCAGGCUCAAUGUUCAUUAUAUUAUCUACCUUCUCAUCAAAGAAAAGCCAAUCAUAGAAUAAGGCAAGCUUAACAUUUGCUUCGACAUAAUUCCUCUGGGAAGAUUUUAGCAACCAGCCUAUGACAGCCCACCUCGGGAUGAUGUCUGACUGGAUAAUCUCAUUAGGUGGAUGAUGUCCGCAGCAAAUAAACCUAACAAUGUCAGUUAGAAGAGUCUCCCUCUCAGGGACACCAAGAAACUUCUUUGCAAACCAAACUUGGUACCUCUUUUGAUUUCCCAAUUUAACAUGCGUUAGCAAGAACCUCAACUGGUUCUCCAUCUCAGGAGUUAUCCGCAGCAGAAAAUACCUACUGGAAGUCCUUGAAAGGUAGAGCUGUGAGAUAUCUAAAAAUGCAGCAUUCUGAAACACACUAGGGUUCAAUAACAAGUCUUUCCAAAUUGAGCGAAACUCAGGUACAUGAACCAAGUCCUGUAAAAUCCGAACAAGAUCUCUUCCAAUCUUCAAACACAAACCAAAUUUCUCCCUUAACAUCCUAAUGCAAAAAUCAAUUUCAAACCUCUUCAAGGUUUCAACUUUUGAGUCAUUUGGCAACCUACAAUGAUCAGCCAAUAAACGAAGAAACACAUAUAAAGCACUGGUCAAAACUAGAGGUUCAUCCUCCAACAAACAAUCCCAUUUGUCCCUAAAGAGACUAAUCAUCUCAAAACACAACCACAAAUUUCCUUCGCUAAAGUCACCACCAACAAUUUGCCUCAAAAGGGCCACCAAUAAACCAUCAAAUCCUACUCCCAACACAUUCACCAUUUCACGCGUCACCCAAAUCAACUGAGUUUUCACCGAAUCAACGAGUUUGGCAUACAACUCAUUAACAAUCUUGAUAAGCAUGGAUAUAAAAUAAGUGUAGCCAUCAGUGACAAUAGCAUGUAAGUGCUUAAUGUGGACUCUGGCCAUUUGGGGUUCACAUAAAAUUCCACAAAGAAUUGCUUUGUUCAGGUUGAAGUACUCUUCUUGAGUUUGAAGUUUUAAAGGAAAAGGGGGUCUGAGUUGGGGCUCCAGAAGCUUUUCAGCUUCUCUAAGAGAGACUUCAAGUGAGUUGUCAGCUUCAAAGAUUGCAUUUUUAGUCAGUUUGGAAUGCAUAUUUCGAUCAAUCAAUGAAACUAACAGUCCUAAUUAAGGACCAGAAUACUGGAAAUUGUUGACCUGAUCAGAAGGACCGUCGCAUCAGCAGCAGCAGAACCCUAGCAGUGGAAUGUUCGGAUGGUGGCAAUUUGGCGGGUCUCCUGCUCUGCCAAAACUUCGCGAUGGGUUAAUUACACUGAACCCCUUUAAAAUAUGACGGUCUCAGAAGUGCUUCCCUGUAGUUUUGAAAAUUAGAGUUAGCUCCCCCAUCAUCAGAAUGGGCAUUUCUCGUAUCCCAAAAUCAUGAGCCACCUUCCGCGUUUGGAUUGGUCAUUUUUUAAAAAACUAGAAAUUUUCUGGCUGUGCAAUGCCCAAUUUGUUGUGUAAAAAAUAUUGAAAAAUUCCCCAUAACUCCCAUUUUUAAAAUUAAUAGAACAUGGAAUAUUUAAUUGUCGUCAUGUUGAGAAACCAUGUCCAUGUGCAAACUAUUAUAGCAGUAGGGUAAUUAAAGCAAUGUCCAUGUCCAUGUGCAAAACCAGAGAAACUAAUAUAACAAGGAAGCUGCAAAAUAAUUGAAGACUCAGGUAUGUUAAAAGUCUUUGUCCCCCCAAGUUAGGAUCCGUCCAUGAACAAUCCCCUUUCAAUGAACCAAGGUAUGGAACUCAGAAGAGCUUAUCUGUGCCAGGAAUUAAUCAGUGUAUGACCAGUUCCUAAAACCAAAAUUUAAGCAGAAACCAAAUUAUAUCAAACAAAUCAUGAUUUGUGUGCAGAUUCUACUCGUUGAGCCCCAAAACAUGUGGAAAAUUAGAACCAAGACAGUAGAAGCUGGGGAAAUACUCUAUAACUGGUCUUUGGUCCUAACUAUGAUAGUCACUAACAUGACAAUGCAGUAAAAGUCAAAAACAAUCGAUGAAAUUAAUGUUUCUAGGUCUAUCAAAGUAUUGUUUCCAAUGGAAUUUAAAGAUAGUUCGAGCCAUUGCAAGACAUUAAAGGAUCAUUCAGCAUACAAACACAAAGGCAAAAGUAAAAUCAUUUUUUAUUAGGACCAAACAGUAAGCUAAAGAACAUCUCUCAAAUCAUUUAAUACUCCAUAACAAUGGGACACGUAAAUUUUCAGAAAACUUAACCAGUAUAGUGGUAAAGCUACCUUUAGAAGCAAAUCAUCAAACACAAAGCAUGCUACUAUUGUAAAAGAUGAUCACACACCUUAAACACUGGAUGUUUACUUUGCUGUGCUUCUUCUUGAUUCUUUCAAACUUACAAAACAAUCAAUAAUAAAAAAAGCAAACAUUUCUGCUAGGAGGUCAAUUUGGGAAAAAAAAAGGCUAGAAAAACUCAACAAUAAAUUCAUCAAAUGGCUGAAAAUUGAUGCGAAAGUGUGAGUUUUUCUUCGUGUUUUUGGCUAGGAAGGCAAAUAGGGGUGGGGAGGGGAGAUGUAUAGUGCUUUCCCCUCUUUGAUUCUCUCCUUUUUCUGGGCAAAAAAAGAAUUGCAUGGUUGGGAGAUGAGAUAGUGUACAUAGAAGGUAAAUUUUAAGGCCAAGCAUAAAUUGGGGUGGAAAAUCACUAAUUUUUUGGCCAAUAAGAAUGUUUUUUAAAAUAUACUUUAUUAAUAUUUCGAUGCCUUAAAAUACCACAUAAAACCAGUAAAGCGCAGCUAUAUCUUCUUAAGAAGCAUAAGCAAAAACUUAUCAUAAGAGUAAAUAGCCAAACAUAUAGGCACAUAACACUAAUAUUAAAAUAUUUAAAAUAUCAGCCCAUAUAAUAUUAACAAAAAUUUCAGCAAAUUAAUGAUACAAAUCAGAGGUAAACUAACCUGGUAUGAACAGAAAUUUUACUGCAGAACCUUUUCUAUUUUCGGACCAAAACUGAAAAUUACAAAAAAAAAAAAUUACUGAUCAGUAUAUAUGUCCGUGGUGCAAAAAAAUAAAGAAAAAAAGAAUGGCAAGAAAUGUAUUUACCAGGAUGCAAAGGAACAAAAGGCACCAAACCACUUGCGAGGACUUUCCACUUUCCAAAAAAAGCUGAAAAUACCAAAAAAAAAAAAAGACUAAUUGUGUAGCAUUCGUGUGUCUGCUAUGCGAAGAGGAAAAAGGCAAACAAGUUUUAAAUUUUUCUUUACCAUAGAGGAAUACACCAAAAGGCAAGAAACCUCUCUAUUUUUCUUUUCACCUAUGAGAAAAUGAAAUAAGAUGUAUAUCCUAUAAAGCCUCUAACCUCAAGUGCCCUUUUCUGUUCCUCCGGUUUUUAAUACUGAUUCUACUUCCCUCUUACUAAGCAGCCAUCAAAUACAAGCCGAGAGAGUAAAAUUUAGAGUCAGAAAUUGUUGACAAAGAUCAGAAGGUUGAGAAAUAAGGGUUCAUACGGGCUUAGUGAAUCAGACGAGGGACCAUUUUUUGAACAAAAAAAUCCCUGAAUUUUAGGGUAAAAGUGUACACCUAAUCUAUGGAAAAAUUUGUGGGUUUCAUGUCUGCAAGUACAAAUACCUGAUAAAAGGAAAAAAUCUACAGUGAAAAUAAGAAAGAAAUUGCAGUGAUUGUCAAGCAUAAAAAAGGAAGAGAAAGGAAAGAAGAAACAAAGAAGCCAGAGAAAGAAGAGACGGGAGACUUACCCAAAAAAGAGGAGAGACGGGAGAAGGAAGAUAACAAUCAUCAGUUCGUGCAAACUCUCCAGGUAAGGAAAACAAUCAAUCCUUUAAUCAUCAUUAGGAAUGAUCGAACGGUUCUCAGGUAUCAAUCUUAGAUUAAGACACGAUCCAACGGCAAAAAGUUGCCAGAAAAAUCUUUAUUACCCUAACAAAUGCAACUAAGGGGGAGAUAUGGUUCGAAAUUACAAUAGUACCCCCCAGCAGUUAGAAACUAUUAUGACCUCCUUUUAUCCUUGAAGGGCUUAGUGGACAUUUAACACUUGGGCAGACAAAAAUGCCCAUGAAUAGUAGAGCACUAUUUGCCAAAGUAAUCAAAACUCAAGGGCUUAGUUGACAUUCGCCACAAUUUCAACACAAAUUUUUUAAAAUCCCCCAGUCUCCUUCGAACAUGUGGCACAAUGUGGUGCAAAGUCUUGUGUUUUUAUAUAUAUGUAAGAUAUUUAUUCAAGAGAGACGUGAAUUUUCAUUAAAUCAUCAAAUCGGUUUGUCUAUGUCUCGUUGGGUCUCUCUUUCGAACAUGUGGCACAAUGUGGUGCAAAGUCUUGUGUUUUUAUAUAUAUGUAAGAUAUUUAUUCAAGAGAGACGUGAAUUUUCAUUAAAUCAUCAAAUCGGUUUGUCUAUGUCUCGUUGGGUCUCUCUUUCCACAGUGUAGGCUAGAGUAGGAAUAUAAGUAGGAAUAGGAAUACGAGUAGGUUAGGCUAACUAUUACCGUCUAACAAAAAAAUCAAGGAACUUACCUACUGAACCUAUUUCAUUUUUCUCUUUUAAAAAUUUUACAACAUUUCAUUUUUAAAAAAUUUUACAACUACUCAUCAAUAGCUGAGUAUUACUCCCAAGCAUUAUAGUUGUUAAAAUAACGAUUCAAAUAGUAAGAUUGUACAACCUUACAAUCUAGACCAUGGCUAUCAAUUCGAGUCAUUACUAGUAUUGAAAUUUUACCUUAAACAAGUAAAAUUGGUAAAAUCUUGAUUUCGAUCGUAUGAUUGUAAGCUCCUAUGAUCCUGAUAUGCUCAUAUUAUUUAAAAAUAUUGCGAUAAAAGUUUUAGUAUUUUGACCAUAAAUUUGUGUAAAAAAAAUUGGAAUUGAAUGCCAUUUAUCGUGUUGGAAACAAUAUUUGAAGGGUUUUAAGUUCAUGUAAAUCUUUCAUACUAAUUCCUUACCCACAAAAAUUGGCAAACCUUUAAAAUUGACCCAUGUAUUUCAUUAGAUUAAGAAGAUAACAUUUCAUAGAUUAUCAUUUAGGGCUAUUGUCUGGGGCUUUUAUUGUGGUAAAUUAGCAUGAUGAAGAGUCUUUGGAACUGAAUUGAUUAUUUUUGUUACAACUAGGUAAGUAAAUUUUGAACCCAAAAUACAUGUUGUGUCAUAAAUUUCUAUUCUCAUAAUUUUCUUCAAUUAUUUGUUUAUUUCUAAUUUUUAAGUCAAAGACAUACUUGAAAUAUUUUAUUAUAUAUACAAUAUUUAGAUAUCCUAUUAUAUACAAUAAAUGAUGUUGUCAUCGAUAAAUAUUAUCUUAUUAAUAAAAUACUUAAAUGAUGUUUAAUUAUCUUAUUAAUAAAAUACUUAAAUGAUUUAUAUACAUAUAAAGUCAAAUUUUCCAACUGCCUUGUCCAUCAAUUAUGUUUGGGUUUAAAAAUUAGAAAAACAAGAUUUUUAGUUUGAUCACGGGCAAUACAAUACGUUACAUAUAUUCCCAAAAUUUUUGUUUUGAUUUUAGACUACCCCAAAUGUUUUAGAUAGCACAAUUUUAACUUUAAUUGAUAUUAUUAUAUUGAUUGCACAUGAGUUACAUUAUUUAUUGCUCUAUAUGCGAAUUGCAAACCUUAGAUUAUUAUUAUGAGUACUCUUAUGUUUUGUGUAGGAUCUAUUAUUGAUUUUAUGAUCGAUUCUGCAAACACAGAAACAAUUUUAGAUAGGAUUCCAAUUUUGAAAACCUUGCUCCCAAGUAUCGCAAUAGAAGUCGACGGAAUAUCAGUGCUUUCCACAGAAAUGCUCUUCUAACUUGCUACUAGACCAGAAACUCAGUUCAUUUGCGAUACCCAACCCCUCCCCUCCAACCCACACAAUCAUGCGCAAGCUGCUGCAACUAUUACGAUCAGUAAGCAAGAAAUAUUAGCAUUACAAACAAAAGACCUACAUCUCCUAGUCGUCACAGCAGCUAGCCACAGGCAAAUGAAAUGCGAUAACCCCAAUAAUUCUUUGAUUUAUUGGCCAGCCCAAAAGCUUUGAUUUAACGAAUAUUGAUUCGAAACUCAAAAGCCUAGAACCAGAAACAGAGACAGACCCGUUCCCUCCUAAUUAUCAAACAAUUUAAGCGCACAAGGAAAACAAAGACGAAGAUAUUAGCAAGAAAAAGAUGAAGAUUUACCUCCGAUCACUUGCCGACGAAGAUAUCAGCUCGAUCUGGGAUUCUGGGUUGGGUAAAAUUUUAGGAGGAUUUAGACAGAGAGGAUGGGUUUAGUUGAGUAGUGAUUAGAACUGAAGGGAAUGGGAGGCGACGGCGGUGCCUGCGAAGGAGGAACUGAGGGGGAUAAUAAGGGGUUUUGUUAUGAGGAACUGAGGCCGGGUGCCGCUACAUCCACGCUCCUGAAUAUAGAAAAUAACGGCAAAAAUGAAGGGCAAAAUUGUCACUGGAAUUUUAUAUAUAUUGGCGACCCGUUGGGCAAAUCACACGUUGGAAUUAAAGGGCACAAAAAAAUAAAAAGGAAAAAGAGUAAAGAUAAAAGAGGCUGUAUAGAAGUUGAGAGAGCUGUUUCCGUUAUCCGAUUGUCUUUCCUCCUGCUCUCUCUCUCUCUCCGUCGAUAUUUUUUCAUUGCGGAUCAAAUUAGGGUUUUUGUUAGCUAUUGAAUAACCGAGUCGACUCAGCCAUGCAUUCCGAUUCAAUUGCUGCCAACGCUUCCAACAUCCCUGCGGCUUCCUCCAACGCCAAAGAUUUCGUCAAGAAAAAGAGGGUAAUUAUUAUUAUUAUAUAUAUAUACACACACACACACAUAUGCCUAUGUACAUGUAUUAUGUGUGAUUAUGAAUGUGCAUGCAUUCAAUCAUUUAAACAAUUCAGCUGAAUUUUUUAUUUUCCUGUAUUGAUUAUUGACUGGAUUCGAGCAAAUUUUGUUAUCGGUUUCCCCUUUUUUUUUUUCGUUAAUUUUGAAGAUUGCAUUUAUAUUGAUUUUGGAUGCGAUUCUGCCAAAUUUGUCCACAGUGGUGAAUUCCGAUUCAAUUAAGGAGUAUCUAUCUUUUGAUCAUUUAUAUUGUUUCAAGAUUUUUUUUUUUGGAGAAAAUUGGAUGCUUUUAAUGGGGUUUUUUGUUGCUUCCUGUGAACGUUUUUUUUUUCAAGAUUAUAUCUGUAUGACGGAAUUGAAUAAUCAUUUUAGCUCAAUGAAUCUUAUUCUUAAACCAAAAAAAAAAAAUUUUGUGGGGAUUUGUAGGUUAACCGGUCUGCCAAGUUGAAGCAGUGCAAGCUUGAUGCUCGUCGUGAGCAGUGGCUCUCUCAAGGUUUGUAAAUAUAUGUCUUUUGCAUGUAGCUUUCACACCCUGAAGGCUCUUAUCUUUUGUACUAAAACCCUAUAGCGUGCCUGCUAUUAGGUCUGAAUUCAAAUAAAUUGAUCUUUUGUUCCUUUUUUUUCGUUUAAUUUUACAUCUUUCUGUUGGUAAUUGGGAUUUAUAUAGUCAAGAACAAGAGUGGGAAGGAGGAAUCAAAUGGUGGAACUAUUGGUCAGCCAAUGGCCACUGCAGGCAAUAGGAUGGGCAGAGCCAUAGAGAAGCUGGAAAUAAGGCCGAGGGUGGAGGAAGAGAAUGAUGGUGGAUCUGUACAUCAUUACAGUGAUUCUGAGUCACCCUCAAAUAGCCCAAUGAGCCACACUGGAAGCGUCCUGGGAGGCAAUGACUCCGGUACGAAUUUCACUGGGAGCAGCAGCAGCAGCAGUAGCAGCAGCAGUGGUGGAUGUUGUUCAGGAAGCAUGAGUGAAGAGGAUGAAGGUGGAGAGGGUGGAUGCUUGGAUGAUUGGGAGGCUGUGGCUGAUGCAUUGGCUGCUACAGAUGAGAAGCAGCAAUUGCAUAUUGGUUCAGCUCCUGUGGAUAAGAAUAUUGCCCAUUUUGACUCUCAGUCAGAUGUUGAUAUUUUGAAAGAAAAGCCAGAGAAUGGGGUAUCAGUGCAGAGAGCUCCAGUGAAUUGCCGUGCAUGGAGGCCUGAUGAUGCUUUUAGACCUCAGAGUUUGCCCAACUUGUCCAAGCAGUACAGUUUCCCAAUGAAUUCAGAUAGGCAUUAUGGCUGUGGUGGAUCUGUCUGGGGUUGCAAGAAUGCUGCAUCCAUACCAAAAUCUUGCCCUAUCUGCUAUGAGGAUCUGGACUUCACUGAUUCAAGUUUUCUUCCUUGUUCUUGUGGGUUCAGGCUUUGUCUUUUCUGCCACAAGAGGAUUCUUGAGGAGGAUGGGCGCUGUCCUGGCUGUCGUAAGCAGUAUAACUAUGAUCCUGUUGAGGGGGAGGCAACUCUGGAUGGAGGCAGCCUUACAUACCGAUUGGGUCGUUCUUGUAGCAUGAUAACAAGGUCUUAGGAAAAAGUGUCUACUUCCCUUUAAUGUAUGCUGCGUCCCCUUCCCUCAUGCAGUAUCGCUCGGCUUUAUAAUUUUGGACUCUGAUUUUAGUAGCAUUAGAUGUUGGUAUAGGAGUGAUUUUCAAGCACAGGAGUAUUAAUAUGGUUUAAUGAUUUUGAUCCAUAUUUCUAUGAUGCUUGUGCUAAUGUAGAAGGCUCAUUAUGUGAAUAGAUAAUGUGGUAUAGAAACUGAACAUAUAAUAUUGGAUUGAAAACAGCUUAUGGUGUGAAUUUUCGUGUACUGGGUUAAUUUACUGUUACCAAUGAAAUAAAUUCAAAAGAUAUCCAUGUAAGCUACUAGCUGUAUCCACCUGUUCAGUUAUAUAUAUGUUUGUGUCCUGUAUUUAUGUCCUGUUAGCGACCCAAAGCAAAUAUUUGGACUUCAAGAGUUUAUCCUUGGAUUUGGUGCAUGAGAUAUUUGCUUUUAGUGAGGAAUACUUUAGGCACAAUUAGUGAAAUGCUUGGAGGCAGCUGUACCUUCAGAGUAUUACUACUGUAUAUUAAUCUAUUACAGGUUUUAGCUUUUUGGUUGUUUGGUAGGAGAGAGUGGGGAAAACAAAGGCUUGAUCUUGAUCCAUCCUUCUGCCCAACUCCCCCCCCCCCAACACCCAAAAACAAAGAAAAAAAAAAGAAAAAAGGGAAAAGAUAUCCAUGUAACCUUCAGAGUAUUGCAAGAUUUUAGUGGUUCAGAGGGCUUCAAUAUUCUCAGAUUGUGCUGCAUAUCAUCAUUUUUCCAAUCAAUGUGUCUAUGGCAGGAGUGAUAUGGAAAAGAUUUGGUCUCCUACUUCCCAAUGGUGUGUUAUGGACCACAUUGUGUAACUUAUGGUUGAUCGGGGAUUCCCUAGCUCCAUAACCUGGUAUUACCAGGUAUGUGAAAUUGGUACAUCAGCAUCAACACACAGGCUGAUGUGAUUAGCCUUUCAGGGAAGAGUUGCUUACGUUGCAGGGCAAUGGUAUUUCAAACAGAAUCUGCUUUUGGCUGUUGCUGCUGAAAUGCUAUUCCUGGACAGUUUAGUUGACAUUUUGUGGAUAUCACACUGUUCAAUAUUGCAAGUAAGGUGAUGUUCCAGUUUGAAUGUAUGUAUUUUGCUGGUUGUUAGUGGUGGUGUAAUUAUUUGAUGUUGACUUCCCCUAAUUUAGCAAGGCUUGUGGGAAGUGGGGGGAGGAAGGAAAAUUAGUGGUAGAGAAAUUUUCUUAUCUUUCAUUUUCUUGCACCUCUCUGUUGAUAACGUUACUCUCUUUGUCACUAUUUCUGCCUUUACUGUAUGUUGAUUGUUGUAUAAACUUUGUUCAUUCACUUAUGUUAGCAAAGUAUUGGAAUAUGAAAUGGCAAUUUUCUUGGUUACUUUCUGGUUACAUCUGCUUCGCCUCUUUUUAGAGGCUCGUCAUUUUAGCACAUAUUGUUGCUAUAUCAGUUACUGUUUUUCAUGGGUAAGUGGGUGGGAGCAUGACAUUAGUAGUUGCCUCCCAUUCUUUCUCUGUCUCUGGCUAUGUCCUUGAGCAGAUUGUCAAGUUUUGUGUGUGCAUUUUGAUUCAUGUGUCUGUAGACGUACUUAGAAGCUGUGGUAUCAGUUUGAUGGACCAGCAUAUACUUGGAUUUUUAUUUUCUGCGUUUCAAAACCAAGAAAAUAGCCAUCUACCCUUCUUAUUCUCUGUCAUUCAAGUUUUAGUUUACGCUCUAUGAUGAACUCGGGUGUCCAAAGCUGCAGGUUAUAGCCUACAUUGUUGAUCUCUCAGGGAAAAUGUUGAACAUUUUCAAAUAUGUGGGAGAUGAGGAGAUAUAAGCAUCUCUUUCUAUAAUGGAAGCAGGACAGGAAUUUGGUCCAGUGGAAUUGUACUUGCAUUAUAUUAUAUACAUGAAUGUUUGCAUUAUAUUAUAUACAUUUUAUUAUAUAGAUAAAUUUGCUGACUGUGGUGCCCUCCAUUGGCAUUCGUCGUCGUAGAUUUUGUUAAUGGAAUGAGUCUUGCGAAAACACGAUGCAAAGAGUUUGACCAUUUGUUUGAAGAGCUUCGUACGUUAUCCCCCUUCGUGCAUCUAGUUUUCUGGGUUUGCUUAUUGACAAAUCAUUUUGUGAAAAUUUUGCAUUUUUCUGUCUGCUGUUCCCUUGACGGCGACACUUGGCCAAGAAACGGGUACAUGUAAUGAUGUAAAUGCUUCGUGAUUAGAUGCUAUCCCAGAAUGAAAAUAGAAAUUUGUGAAGGUUGUAUAUAUCAUUUGUUAAGGAGUUGCUGUGUGCGGAAGGAGCAGGGGAUGUGAAGAACAACACUAGAUUCCAUUAGCAAUAGGCUGCAGUCUAGAGCGCAAUCCAGCUGAGGGAGGGAGCAAGAUCCCGCAGCGGUUCAUGAGACCGGUUGAUAUUUUCCUAAGCCAAUUUGAUCAUUAUGCUUAUGGUAUUUUAUAUUUUUCAUUAAGAUUUUUACAAUUUUGGGGAUUCAUUGUAGAACAAUUGCGUCCCUGACAGCGAUGCCGAGCCAUGAUUACACAAUUCAUCCCAAAAUUCCCUCCAUGGCUGCUACAUCUGCAAAUCCAACUCAGUUACUCAGUUUUUUUUUUUUUUUUUGGCUAAUUCAAACAAUGCAUAUCUAAAUUCUGACUGGUAAAUGAUUUUAUUAGAAUUUCCUCCAUUGAUGUUAAUUUAAACAAGGCAUAUCUAAACUUUGACUGGUAAAUAAUUUUGUAGGGGAUUGAAGUUAAGAGAUGAUCCUACGACAUAAAACGUUUCCCAAAAUAAUAGAAAUAAGAUGAGCUAAUUUAUUUACAUUUAAUGUUUUUUUUUUUUUGGCUGAAGUCGGAGCUUUAUGUUAAAUCUUUCUGGUGUUUAUAAGCUUUAUUGGCUGCUCUAGCUCUUAAUGUCUAGAGAAAUUGUUCUUGCUUAACAAUAUUUAUUGUUUUGUUUUUAAAAACUUAGGGAUAAUUUCAGAAACCUCCCCUGAGGUUUCUGACAGUCUCACUCACCUCCCCUGAACUUUGCAAAAUAUCAGAUACCUCCCUUGAACUUAUAGUUGGAGUAACAAGAUCAGCCCAUGUCAGAAAAAUGAGCAUUAAAAGAAUAUUUUGAGGAGUGAGAUGAUAUUUGUGUUUCACAUAUGCCUUUUUUGCUUAUCCACAACUUGAGCUAAAGCAAAAGCCAAAAAAAGAAGUAAUAAGUUGAACUAGAUAGAGACAAAUGCAGGUGGCUUCUUCAAGCAAUGUUACAAUGCUAUUUAUAUUUUUUUUGUUUUAGCUAUUAGACAUUUAUUUAGCUAAUAUGAUCAUUCAAUGAAUUGAAACAUACUUCUGGUGAUAUAAAAAAAUGUAUAGUUUUAUAAUUUGAGUGAUUAAAAGUAUAAAUUUUAUUAGUUAAGUCAUAAAAAAAUAAUAUUUGAGUGAUUAAAAGUAUAAAUUUUUACUAGUUAAGUCACAAAAAAAAUUUCACUAUUUGGUUAAUUGAGUGAAUGGCAAUUGCAGUUAAAUAAAUAGUAUAACGAUCAAAUAACCAAAUUCUCAAUAGUUUAAUAACUCUUUUUGCAAAUUUCUCUGUGGAAAAUGAAAUGAAGUAGCAAGAUACUUCAUUUCAUUUAGUGCUAGAUACUUUAGUUGAGAUUUAAAAAAAAAAAAAAUUAGUUCACAUUGUAGUCAGUCGAAUUUAUUCAACAAGCUUCGUUUGAAUACCAGAACUUAAGUAGAUCCAAUUUUCAAAUAAUUCAAUAAUCCAAAUUGUGUCGCAACACUUUAUGAGAUGAUGUAAUAUACAAUUUACGUCAUUGAAUUUUUGAAAACCAAAUUUACCCAAAUAUAAGUAAUGAGUUACACUAGAUAAUUGUCUUACAAAAAAAAAACAUGAAAUACAUGACUUUAGAGAAAGGUAACACUAGUGCUAAACUAUUCAUUGGUGAUUGUACUACGAAUAAAAAGUGUAAAGUGGAAUAGAAAGUAUAUCAUAAGUUAUAUCAAAAAGUUAUAUAUCUAUUAUUCAUUUAACUAAUUCUGUCAAAAUAGCUUCAAAAUAUAUCAUAAGUUAUAAGGGUAUAUCUGUCAAUUCAUCAUCAAUGAUAUCACAAAUAAGGCCCAAUAAUCUGACAAGAGAGGUAUCUGAUAUUUUGCAAAGUUCAGGGGAGGUGAGUGAGACUGUCAAAAACCUCAGGGGAGGUUUCUGAAAUUAUCCCAAAAACUUAUAAUAUUGUGAUUUUUAGUGUACUUUUUUUUUUUUUUACCAAAGCCUAAGGACUUUUACGAUAAUUUACUAACCUCCAUCCACAGCAAAACCACAAAAGCCAUAGUGUACUUACAUUAUGGGUAUCAAUAUAGAAUCUAAAAAGCUCAAAAAGCUUUCUGACAAAUAUUAGAUCCAUGGUUUCAAAAAAUAUUAAAAGUUAACAUUUGUCAAAAUAUUGAAGUACCAAGACAUGUCACUUUUUUGGGAUAAUGUACUUCUGGAUGCCACGCGGAACAAGAAGAAAAACUUCUGAACUGCUUCUUAACUUGUUACAAUGCAGAAGAUGAAAGCCAAAGCAGGAACAAGGCUUCUCUAAAACUUGUUCAUCAACCUUGCAAUGCAAGAUUCAGAUUGAUGUUUGGGAGGAAGAUAUCUCCACCAUUUGCAAAAGGUUGAUUCAUCAAAGAGAACAUCUGAACUUAGAUGCCCGUCGUGUAUCCACUUCAAUGUUCGUCUCUCCAAGCUGACAACCUUCUCCUUCAUUUCUUCAAAUGGCUUUGCUCUGAGUUCCUCCACUUCAGCCCAGAAACAUGACUCUGAGCUCGAUCCUGCUUGCAUUUUCUCAGCAUGUUCAAGCCAUCUUUGUGUAAAUCUAUAACGUUUUGGCCUAGCCCUUAUCAUGUAAGGUCCUGUGUCUUCAUUCUUUAAGUGUCUAUAGUAGUUGGCAAUGUCCAGAGGUUCAACCAACCGCCUAAACAUGGUUCCAAGUUCUAUCCACUCUUUCCUAGCCUCAAAUCCAUCCGGAAGUUCAUAUCUUUUUAACAUUUCAAUGAUUUCAUCCCAUAUUCCCGCUAACUCCAGUCUCUUGACAUUUGCAUUGAAGUCGUUUAUGUCUUUCUGAAGCUUAAAGGCAUCAUAAUAACCUACCUUGCGCACUUCACAUUUGGUCUGGUACGCUUGUAUCUCGUUUAGUCCUUUUCGUAUGCUAUCCCUGUUGGAAUCAAUAUUGACUUGGUUUUGUAUUUUCUGCCUCUCCAACUCCCCAGCAGCACGAAGACACAACCUUGCUCUUGAACUCUAGAAUUUGAAGAAGCACGUGAAAUUUAGCUCAAAAUAAGUAAUCCAGGUUACACGAAAUUGUAAGAUGAGCUGAAUGCUGAAGAAAGUAUUCCUUACCAGGCCGAGAUCGUUCAAAACAGUGUUCAAUUUUGCUGCUUCAUUAUUUGUGUUGGCAUGUGAAGACAAAGGAAGUUCCACAAGAUUGUUCAAAUGAGCAACAUUUUGCAUUUCUAAGCAAUCCUGUAAAUGAUUUUCGUAGCUCAAAUUGUCGUUUAAGCUUCUAUAAACAACGUGCGCAAUUUCCGUUUCAGAGCUUAGCUGAGCCGAAUAAAACAGCAGCUGCAGGAUUGCAUCUGGAUUCUGAAGGAUAACUGAUUUUCCAUUUGCAGUGCAGAAGAUAUAGGUGCCAAAAGGUCUAUAUGGACUGAGUUCAAUAAAGCUGGACACAGUUUCCAACAACAAAUUUGUGCAUCCCAUGAGGUGACAAGCAGCAUGGCUAGCUACAGCCGAUGCAUUUCUCAUGACAACCAUAAAACAGGAUGUUGCAGCACUGGAAUUUCCAAUGGAUUCAUUCUGAAAAUAUGGGGAUUUUGAACUUGUGUAGAGGAGGAUUUGCUGCAUCCCUGCUUCAAUGGAUGAAAGAGGAGAAAACAUGACGCGAGGCACAAUGUCAUGCCUCGUGACAAAAUGUAUAAAAUAGCGAGCCCAAUUUUCUCGUCUGAGAGCAUGCGAAAAAAUUCCGUCUCCAGCAAGGGGGGAUCCAAAAGUCACGCAGUAAGGCGGUUUCUGGUAAUUGUUAGUCCUUACGUAUUUCUCCAAAAACCAGAUGGUCGCUAGUGAGGCAAUUGGACCACCUGAGGAGUGUCCGGCGAACACUAUCUGCUUUCUGUCCGACAAUGCUUUUUCCACCUGAACAGUUUUUUUUUUUUUUUUUUUUUACUGGUCAACAAAGGAAAUCGAGUCUACUGAUAUAUCCGUGCUAAAAGCAAAGACAGUUAACGGUAGUGAAAGCUAAUUGAUCUGCCAAAAAGACAGCAGUAGCAAAAAAAAAAAAAAAAGCAAACAUAAUCUGAUGAAUUACCUCCCUCUCCAGCUGCGAAUUGCAUAAAAGUUGUUCAAAUCUGGAAGAGAAAGCUUCAUUUACUAGAGCUAGCUCAUCCAUGCCAAUACUCUUGAGAGACGGAAAUAAGGCAAUAUUGAUCUUGGUUGCCCCAAAAGGCGUUCUACUGUACCAAUCAGUCACGGCCCACGUUCCAGGAAAGGCGCAGACUGCUUCUGUUGAGCUGCGCGUCGUCUUUUCCCAGAUAUACGCCUUCUCAGGCGACUUGAGAUGAGCCUUCAUGGCUAAAUUACAAGCUUUUUUGAUCAGCUCUUCCUUAAGUCCGAUAGUAUCACCCAGCGCCAUCUUCUGCUUCUGCUUCUGCUGUGUCUCCUAACUAACUACCAGCGCCACCGCCAAAUAUAUGCCUCUUUAUUAGAGUUCACCUUCUUGCUUGACUUGGCAUAGAAACUGCCAAGGCUAAUUAGAAUAGAGAGCAAUAGGAAGUUUCGAAGAAGUUGUUCUAAUUUGACUAAUUAUUUUCCGCGAACCAAUCGAUCUGCCAAGGCUGCUUUUCCUAAUUUCCAAUACCACUUGAAACGGGACAACAACAACAGCUAACAAGGAAAUAGUGGAGAAUUGAAUUUGCAGCAAGAGGGGCGAAUUAUUGUUGGCUGUUGUGAAAAGACGAAGAUGCCCUUGAGUUGUGGGCGGGCCUCACAUUUUGUGGACGAGGGUUUUCAUUGUCUUUUUAACCCUGGGAAAAAAUGACGGCACUAUUUUGGUGAGAAUUUUUUGUUUCGAUUGAUGAGGUGACAGUUUUUCCCCCUUCUUCAUGUUGAGAAUAAUAAACAUGUGAUGGAAAAAAUUAAAAUUUUCUUGUUGGUGUCUCGAGUUUCAAUUUUAAUCCCCGUUGGUUUCUCUGCAGAUCCACAAACGAUCGACUGUUACCGGUUCUCCAUUCUCUUCUUUUCCUUCUUCGUUGGUUUUCUGCUCCUCCAUUCUCUCCAAAUUUUUGAUCAGUUAUCUCAAGCUCUGUUGCCGGCAAUUUUUUUUUAUUUUUUUACGGAAAUCAAGUUGUUAGGGCGUGGAUGGCUUCUCCAACUUCUAGAAGCUUCCAGAAAGAGCUUAUGAAGUUACUUCUAUGUAUGCUUAGAUCUGUUGAAAGAUCAUGAUAUUAGAAUUUCGUAGGUUGCUCUGCCUCGGUGGCUGUACCUUCUUGUGAGCAAUUGAAGCUUCAUUUCAAUGCCUUUGUUCAGAGACGUGGAGAUGCUAAAUAGCCGGUUCAGGAUGCUGCCCGCAGCCUUUCCUCACUUUAAUGGAGGUAUUGGAGAUGCUAACUGAAUGUUGUUGAAUUCAUUUCUUGUUUUAUAAAUUUAGUGAUUUCUGUUGCAAUUUGCUUGCCACUUUUGUUCACUUGUCAAUCUUGAGUUUUUGCUUGGGGUAGAGGUUCUAUGUGACUGGAGCUCCUUUAGUUUUCUGUGCUUGGUUUAGAAAUUUAGGUACAAAGGAUCCAUCGUGUUCUUGUUUGAUUUAAUCAAGUAGAAUGUUCAGGAUGAAUGCUGGUGCAAUGAAUUGAAACAAUUAGCUUAACACGAUUCUUUGAAUUACUUGGGUAGCAUAUUCAGGAGGGUUUUGAAUUUCUAAUUUUGGAAAUCAAGUCAAUUAAUUUUGUGGUCUGUAGUUUCUUCAUGGUCAUUUAUCAUUGUUCAUGUUAUUGUUGAUUGUUUUCUUAAUAUGACUAUCAGAACUUUCUGUGGAUCUUCUUUGUGCUAAUUUAGGAAGUUUUGGCUGUAUGUAAAGUACUUGAAAUUGAAUAGUCAAUUGUAUUUGCUUGAUUAUGGUUGAAUCAUUGCUGGAAAGUUGGGUGGAAUGUCUCUGAGAGUUAAAAGAGAAAGCAUGUUGAAGGAUUAGUUGUUCCUUUUGUAGUUUGAACAGUUGGUGUUCUGUUCACUUUUUGGAUAUUGUUUUCCUUUUGUUUUUCUUUUAAUUACAAAUUACAGUCUUAUGGAAAGAUAGUGUAUGUGAAUGUCAUGCGGUUUGUGCUUGCCACUUGCGUGCAAUGUGGCCUGGCUGGAUGCAUUCCAGUGGUUGGUUGAGAAUGGCGAAAAGCAACUUCAAAGGAAGAUCUUUUGUUUGGCUUUAGUCAUGGCAGAAGUACAAUAAUUAUCAAGUGGGUAACUGGAUUAGCGUGUAUCAUCUUGCUGUAGUGCAAUCUAUUAUCUGUGAAGUGCAGAAAUACAAUAAUCUGGGCUGUCUCAUACUCGUUCACCAAUACUCCCCUUGUAUAUACACGUAUAAAUAUACAGCAGUAUAUAAAUAAAUAAAAAAAAAUGCUUCUAUUGUAUGCAAUCUACAGCGAAUUUUUGUGUUAUUAAUUGAUUCAUCUUGAAGAGAAACACAAGCUAAAAUUUGUUGUAUCCAAUCUGCAGCAAUGUUUUAUCUAAAAAAAAAAAAAAUCUGCAGCAAUGUUUUAUGUUAUUAAUUGAUUCACCCUAAAGACAAACUAAUGCAAACAGCUGAUUAACACCAGUCAUAACGAGCCAAAAGAUAGCCUGGGCAACCUGACACACAAGUGUCAGGCCCCAGUUCAACUAGUCUAUUAAGAAAAGAAUAAUAGGUCUACCCACUAAGUUAUGGAUAAGGGAAUAUUGAAUAGGUAUGUUAAUCCUGAAAAGAUGUGAAUUAUCACUCAUGCGAGUUGUGCAAGGAUUUCUUUUUUCUCUUUAUCCUCGUGUUAUUCUUGUCCUUCUAUAAAGAGAAAUAUGUGAAACAUGAGUGCUUUUAUGAUGGAUUGAUUUCUUAUUCUUAUGUGUUAAAUUGUCCUUUGCCAUCCCUCUUGUGUGGUAUCUAGAUUUUGCAGUACUACGGGACAUUUAUUGUAACGUUAUUUGGAGAAUCAAGUUUAACCGGAGAAGGGGUCAUAGGCUUUUUAAGGGGUCAUAUGCUUUUUAUUAAGGGAAAAUUUAAGGAACCUCCCUUGAGAUUUCUACAAUUUCACUCAGCUCCCUUCAAAUUUGAAUAAUUAUACUAAUUUCUCUUCAUGCAAUAAAAUGACUGUAAUAUCCUUCAUUUAUGUAUAAUUUCUACAAACCAAAAAGACCUUACAACUUCAACCAAUCUUUCAUAACAGACUCUUCUCCUCUCUUUCCGACUCUUUUUCCUACCAUCUCUCUCCAACUCUCUCUCCUACCUUCUCUUUCCAACCAAAGAUAUGGAUGUGGUCUCUAAUAUUGCUUUUGGUUGCUCCGUGUUGGUAUUCUUGAUAGGUUAGAUUAUGUUAGCAUUAGGAAGGUUGCAGCCAUUUGGAUUGGAGUUUGGAUGGUGACAUUGGUCAAUUGAAAUGCUAAAUUUGGGCCAAACAAAAUUGUGAGAAAAUGGGAAUUAAGUUGAACUGGUUUGUUGAAUUCGUUAGGAUGAUAGUUACACUGUUUGCAAUAGUUACAGCAUGAAAGAAAUUCAUGAGUGAGUUCCCUCCCCCUUCCACCCCUAACAAAGGGGUAUUUUAGGAAUUUUGAGGACAAAUUUAGCAUAUUGGGUAUAUGUUAUUACUGAAAUGCUAAUAAUAGAGGUGAUAGGUGUGAUUUUUUAAACUAAAGGGGAGCUACUUGCAAUAGUUAGAAAUCUCAAAGGAGGUUUCUAAAAUUAUGCCUUUUAUUAAACAUGUCCUGCAAUUUUUUUGUCGUAACUCCUAAGGCUAUCCUUGUGAAUUAUCUGGAGAAAGAAGAUAGUCAUUUAAUUGAAUUUUCUCCAAAAUCAAAAUGCUCCAUCUUAAUGAUCCUUGAACGGGCUACCCUGAAAAAACUCCUCAAUUUUCAGUAUGUCUACUUUGAUUUCUCCUAUUCCACAUUCUGUGCACUAUCAAAUUUUGUACAUAAACGUCAUUAGUCAUUACUGAAGAUUGUCAGAAAUCAUCUUCUGAUUCACUCGAUAACGUCCCAGUCUCCUGUGACACAAAAUGUGACUGCAAGUUUUGGAGCUUGACUGGAGUCUUUGGGGAUAGUGCUAAUGGUGAUAAAGGCAGGGAUCCUGCACUUGUAAUCGCAGUAGGCCAUGGUUUCUUCUGAAGUUUCUUCGAAAUGUCGAUACAAACUCGAUCAACCAUGGCCAAGAAGUCCUUCACAAUGCCAAACAAUUGAAAUGGAUCUGUCCCUUUGUCUAUUGAAGCUCCAGCUUGGUAAUAUUCUGUGGUUCUUUUAACAAGCUGCAUCACCCUUGCUUGUUCCUCUCUUACCACCUUAAGCUCCUCCUCGCAUUCCUCUAGGAACCCUUUCAUUUCCCUCACAAAUCCACUUCUUUCGUUACUGCUUCCACAGCGUGAAACUAGCUGCCGGAUGUCAUGGAUCCUCAUCGUGAGAGCAGGACACAUACCCAUGAAAUUCUCAUAUUCUGUGGUGGCUGCUUUCUUUACAUUUGAGAGCUCCAUACUUAAGCCUUCAACUAUUGGUAAUCCAAGCAUUAGGUACUCUUUAUCUACGUCUUCUUUGGUAGUCUUGCUAUCCCAACAUUCAUCACCUUUGCCGCUGAUUUCAUGAUUUCGGGUAUUAUUGGCACAGCGUUUGCCCUCGGAACGAAUCACCUGUUCGACCACAAAAUGAAGCAGAGUAGUCUUUCCAUCAGUACUCUUCACGUAGGAAAGUUUUUGGAGGGCGCUGAGCUUGAAACCCUGAGCGUUUCCCCUGGCAGUUCCAGCGUUCAUUCGGUUGCCAGCCUUUAGAAUGGCUUCCAGAAGUUUGAGGAAAAUUCCUCGAGUUCUUAACUCUUUACAGCUCAAUUCAAGUGUUUGCAGAGACUCCUUGAGAUGAAGGAUAUCAGGAUCGUAACUUGACCUGAAAAGCAUCGCAUUGAGACGGAUAAAAGCCGAGGGAAUAGAUUUGAGGAUGUGGUAGAGAAAAGACUCGGCAUCUGCAAGCUUUGUGGGGUUCCCGUCGAAUUGAAGGAUUUUGGCUGCUUCUUCAGGAGUUGGCGAAAUCUUGCUUAGCUUUUCAAGAUCGUCAGCACUCAGUCCAUGACCCUCCUGGAGAGCAUCCAGGAUUUCUUUCCUAGAGAUGGCUAAAGAUUUAAGUACAAUCGCUGUGUUCUGCGACUUCCUAGGAUCAAGGAUGAAAACUUGAGCAGGUGGAGCUGGACUAGAAGCCGUGGAUGAAUUUGAAGAGGAAAUACUCCUUUCCUCUGUGGGUUUCUGGUUUUGGGCGGCAUAUCCAAAGAGAGCUUCCAUAAGGUCAAACCUUUGAAAUGCAAAAGAGUUAGCAAAGGUGACUCGACAUAUAUCCAUCGAGAGCCAAAGAGGAGAUCUAUGAUGGAAAUACCGAAAUUUUCGACUUGAUGAUACUAGUAGUUAAAUCUCACUGUAUAUAUUUAGUAGUACAUGAAUGAACUUACCGGAAAGAUCCAUCGGUGAUCUCAUGCCAAACCAUGGAGUGAUCAGUAUUUGUAGGCACUUUAUCCCAGUACAGUGGCUUCAGUUUGGUCUGACGAUAAGAAGCAUCACCUUUACCGUGCUUGGGUGGAAGAGGCAGUGAUCCAGCUGGUUUCAUUUUGGAUGGAACUGCUGGUGGUUUUGAAAAUCUGUUUGGUGGUUUCGGAACUCCUUUUGCCGGAAGUGGCGGAGGAGGGGGAGGUUGAGGCGUGGACGGGUUCAAGGACGCGGUCUUUCUGACGAGCAGAGGUGGUGGUGGAGGGCUUUGCUUCGGGGGAAUGACUAGUGGUGGAGGUGGUGGUGUAAAAUGUAACAGGCCUGAAGUUUGCUUUGGUGGAUGAUCCAUCAGCGUAACUGCCUGAUGAUCACCGGGGAUGUCAAAUGCAUCAUGAUGAUAAUUGUGAUGGUGUGAUGAUGCCCGUGGGAGCAAGGGAAUUUCCGGGACAGGACUACCAAUACUAUUGCUGCUGGGCUUGAGUUCCCUGCCAUCCAUUUCCUUUUCCUCUUCUUCAUUUAUGGGAUUGAACCAAACCUUGGAAAAACAACUUGUAAACCUUCCGCCUUGAGCUUUUCUCAAAUAAAGAACAUCCCUUCCAUUCUCAUCAACUAUUAGUCCUCUAAGAAUUCCACCAUUUUGCAUAAACUCUUCAUGUGUCACCGCCACCGACGGCGUCAUCUCUCUGCGGAAACUCGAAUUGUGCUGCUUGUCCCUCUCACGCUGCCGAGCCACGGUGAAUCUGUAGACGAAGUAGAAUAAAAUUCCUGCAACGAGUAAGGUGCUCGCAGCCGUGGCUGCAACAGCAGUAGCAACUACUCGAUUUUGUGACAUGGCUGAUCAAGUUUUAAAAAAAAAAAAAAAAGUCACUCUAGCCAAGGAGGAGGACAUGGGAAGACGCAUAUCAUCUUGAGAAUUGGAAAGGGAUCGUAACAAAAACUCGUGUCUUUCCUGCCGAUGAAUGUUUAUCCUCAAGUGCAUAUACCUAUUUCGUGUUGACAGUUUCAAAGAGGGUAGUUGAUUUUUUUAAAUUGGCUAGUGUAAGGUCUUCAAUGUCUUUGUCCAGUGAAUUAACAAAAUACUAAUUCCUUCUUGUGCCGGGAAAGUGUCAGACGGUUGGUGUGAGUUUUUAAUCUGGCUUUGUCAACUUAACUUAUUCACUUGCCUUUUUCCCUAUAUAUUUUGGUAGGAUGACAUCUUCAAUUUGGUCGCACUUAAGAGCAGAGAACUGCUAUCUUGUUCAAUUUGCACCUUCUUUGUUUUCGCCGGUGUCGGAACCCACUACUCCCACAGUUGGGCAAAUGACAGAGUUUGUCCCUAAUCUUUUUAAUUUAGACUUUGAGGUCCUCGAAGUGUUUUCUGUGGACUCAAAGUUUUUUAAAUAUAAAGUUACAGUAAUACAUAAUAAUUAAAAAAAUAUCUCGUUCGUAUAUUAUAACAAAUAUAUAAAAAAAAAUUUAUAGUAAAUUUUUUUUUUAUAUACACUGUUACAAUAAAAUUUUUUAAAAAACACUCUCAAAGCACAGCUAAUCCAUCCUUUUUUAAUCCUUUGGUAGGAUUUUCUAAUCUUAACCUCAUCGAAAUAGGCCUAUGUGAUGAUUGUGUAUUUUUUUCAAGUGUAUUUUCAAGUCUUACACCUUUUUUAUAAACCCAUGUGACAGACUCUUCCUUUUUUAUGUCUCAGUCAUUGCACAACGUUAUCCGGCGACUGAUCCAGUUUUUUUUUUCAAUCCAUUUUUAUGUCUUAUCCUCGCAAUUCUCUCUCACUUUCCGUUGUUUCCGAUGAGAUAAUUGAAUUAUUAAAAUAUCAUUACUUUCAUUAUCUAAUAAAAUUAAUUAUAAUAAUAUUAUUAUGUAUUUUGCAGCCAGUGUCGGCACCAAACUCUGCUGAGUAGAUUUCAAAGGAUUUUGCUGGCUUAGUGGUAGCAUCUUUAGAGGCAAGUAAUUAACUCACUUACACUAAUAAAUAUCGUUGCAUAUUAAAGUAAUAGAUAAUUUUUAGUUUUGUGUAAUUAUGUUACUUACUUGAAUUUUUAAAUAUGAUUAUUAUGUUAGCUUUGUGGACAAAUAAAUUUUAAACAUGAUUAUUGUAUUAGUUUUGUGGAUAAAUGAUUGUGUUACUUAAUUAAACUUUUAGUUUUGUGGAUAAAUUAAUAAAUAAUUUCUGUUUUGUGAAUAACCAUGAUUAUGUUAUUGUAAGAGUAAUAACAUCCUGUAGUGUAGUAUGAUUAUUUAUAAAUUGUGAUUUGGUGACAGUGAUCCAAUUAAAUUAGUUGUAUAACGGCAAUUUUGUACAUUGCUAUAGAGGAAACGCAAUAGUUUUAGGAGUGAAGUAUUAAUAUAUUUAAAUUAAAUGUAUUAACAAAUUGUUGAAGAAUGAAAAUAAUUUAACAUUAUCCUGUGCACAAUUAGUUAUUUCGUGCAAUUACAAAUGCUAAAAGAUGUACCGAAAAAUAUUUGCUAGGUUAGAAGGAAAAUGUCAGCAGACAUUAUAUUGGUGGCUCAAUUUUAUUGGAAAGGUAAAAAUGGACAAUUGCUAUCUAGUUUAUUACUCCGUCCGUCCCACUUUAAUAGUCCUGUAUUCCUUUUUCAUUUGUCCCAAAUUGUAGUCCACUUUCUAAUUGAAGAAUGUAGUUGUAUUUUAAUUUUUCUAAAAUACCCUUAUUCAAUGUAAGUAGUUGUUACUAUAAACCUACUCCAUUUAAUGAGAGUUGAUUCUUUUUUUCAUAAAAUUGUACCAUAUUUAAUGUGAGGGUAUUUUAGAAAAAUAGCAAUCUAAAUUUAUUUUUCUAAUAAAGUUAAUUACUUUUUUUUAAACUGUAUGAAAAAAGAAACAGAACUAUCAAAGUGGGACGGAGGGAAUAAUAAUAUUGGUUUCUGUUUUAUUUUUUUAAAAAAUAACUUUACAGGCCAAUGACCCCUUCAGUUGGAGCCCAAAAUGGGGAGCUUUGGGCUCCAAUUCAGGAUGUCAGCCCAAUCUUCCCUGAAUCAGCUUUGAGCACCCGGUAAGUCCGCACGAGUACAAAGCUAUUUGAAUCCGUCUAGGGACACAACACCGCCGCGGAGCAUUGCCGGAAAAUGGAGGAAGAAAAAGCUGCAGCUUUAUAUGAUGAGUUGACCCGUAAGGGAGAAGGAGCCGCUAGGUUCAAACAAGGCCUUGGUUUCUCUCCCACAUCACACAGGGAGGCCGUUCCUUCCCGAGGCUCAGGUCUUCCCUCCUUUUCAUCAUCAUCAUCAUCUUUUCUUAGCACAUUCGUUAAAGCCUCGAGCCCUUCGAAAACCGGUGAGCUCGAUAAGCAGGCUCAACUUGAAUCCAUCCAGAACAAGCUCAAAAAAACGCCCCACCAACCCCAAAACCUAAUAGCUUCGACCAGGGAGGUUUCAAGAGACAGAGAUAGAGACAGUAGCCACUCAAGUUGUCGCAGCUGGAGUGGGGAAAGGGAAAGGCACUCAAGGCGCCGGAGCCGAAGCCCGAGCAGAAAUCGCGAAAGGCAUUCGAAGCGCCGGAGCAGGAGUGGCAGCCGAGAUGAUUAUCGAAUGCGAAGGCGUGGGUAUAGAAGUAGAAGUAGGGAGAGGGAGAGGGGGCGUGGGAGGAGUUCAAGGAGUGAGUCGCCGACGCAGAGAAAAUCUUCGCAGAAUAGUACUACUAGAAAGGUGGAGAAAGAGAGAAACAAUGAUGGCAGGGUUGAUUAUGCGGAAACCAUUGAAGGUUAUGACAAAAUGGUAUGUAUUUGUUAGGAUUUCGAAAGAUUACUUUCCCAAACUUGUCUGCAAGUGUCUACUCUUCGUACCUGUUUUAAUUUCGUUGAAAAUUCAUCAGUGUUAUAGAAUGCAGAAACUAAGCAUGUCCUAAAGCUUGGUUUGUUAAUCUGUUUCGUGAUUUUCUUGUUCUUUGGGCUGAAAUUUUGCUGCUUUACCUCAAGAUAUGCCAUUCUGUUUUUCUCCUUGGGAGAUGGGGUGGGGGAAGGAAGAUCGUUUUGGUGCCUAUUGCUUGAGGAAUUCCCAGUGAAUAUAAAAUGAGUUGUGUUAAUGGUCCCUGAUAGAGGUUGAAGUAACCAUUUAGAUGGCGUGUGUAUGUGAUUUGCCCAUUGAAUUUGGGGCUUUGCCAAUGUACAUAGUAUAGUGCAUCUGCAAUUCACCAGGAACUUGUUUGGGAUAUCUACAUGUCUUUCAGUUGAUUCCUGAGGUUGUAGCUACGGUCGAUUAUUCAACUUUAAACAUCGAAGAGCUUAAAUCUUCUCCCUGAAAAUCAACUAAAAAGAGCCAUCUUUUCAGUUGCUGCUGGAGAAAAGUAGAUGCUGUCUAAAGUGAAGAUACUAUCUAUCCCAUAAGAAUAUAUUUUACACAGUAUUUUAGUGUCUAUAUUUUGUUUUCUUUGUUGUAAUAAACGAUAGCUUUGCUUCAAAAGAGUCUUUGUUGUAAUAAAUGAUAGUUUGAUCCAUUCUUUGAUAAUUACCAGCCAUAAGCACUAAACAAGCACUUCCUUAACUUUGUUGUAUUGGCCAUUGUGAUGUUGCCUUUUCAUGUUAAUCUGAUUAAUGUUACCCUAGUUUGAUGAGAGUUUUUUUAUUUACUUUAACAGACACCAGCAGAAAAAAUCAAAGCCAGGCUGAAAUUUCAACUUUCUGAAGCAGGUAAAGGCAGCACACGCUGUAAAAUGAUGUGACUUUACUUUUUACAAAAUUAUGGUAUAUAUGUUGUAUGUUUCUGCCAAAAGAGGCUUUUGUUCUGGCUUGGGCAAGUUUUCCUUAUACGUCUGAUGGGUAAUAUAUGUUUUUCAUGUAGAUGGUUGUUGAAAAAUAGUCUGAUAUGAUUUAUUUUUUUGACAAAGUCAUGUGCAUUAAGGCUUGUGAUGUUACAAUUGCCAGAGAUACUUUGAUUAAGUGAGAGGAAACGUUGAAACUUCUUGCACUGCAAAAAUAAUGAAGGUAAUGGACAUAUAAAAUUGUGUCGCAGGAUAUUUGAACGGUAGAAAAUAGACUGUAUGUUUUGGGCAUAAAAAGUCAAUUAAUGAGUUAUUUGGAUUGCGAAUGCUAUUUUAUGGCUUCUUUGUUCUUGGCGAUCUUAUGAUUGUCCAGGUGCAGAGGUAAACAAAUUUCUUCCUGCGUUUGCAAGAAGAUUUUUGCCAGAUCAUAGUUGGGUAAUGGGUAUAAUUGGGUCAACCCCUUUAUACCUAUUUAAUAAAUGGGUAUGGGUAUACCCAAUUACUCAUUUAUAAGUCACUUAAAUUCUGCUUUUUUUUUUCUAAUUUUUUUGCAUGUUAUUGGACAAGAAAUAAUGAUAUUUUAUUGUUAUUAAAUUGGUAAGCAAUUCAAAUUUGUUUGCUGAACACUCGCUACAAUUUGAGUUUAAAUGUAUAAUUAUUUUUAAAUGGGUGAGUUGAAUCAACUUACUACCCACCAAUUAAAUGGGUUUAAUUGGGUACCCAUUUAGACCCAUCAAAAAUUAAUGGACAGGUUUGGGUGGGUUAUUGGCGGGCGGGUUUGGGCGAGUCAAUAUAAUUGGGUUGUGAUUGACACCACUACUUUAUAGGGUUUUUGAAUUAAUAAUUUUCCACCUCUUUCCUUUGUUUUUGCUCAAGCUUUUCCUUCAGUUCUUUGGUGAGACUAUGCAUGAGUCCGUUGCCCAGUCGGUACCACAAUUUUAAGUGGAUUGGCGGCUGCUGGAACAUUGACUGACCCUAUGGCCAGAAGUGGCUCAUUUCUCUCUCUUUGGAGAUGUUUUCUCACUAUUUCUCUCAAAUUUCUUUCUUCCCAUGGAUAAUGUAGUAAAGAGUCUUGUAUAAAGCAAAUCAUGUUUCAUAGUUAAGGAGGACGCCAAUUGAUGACAGUGAACCUUCCACUUUGCAUAAGCUUGGUGUCAAAGCCUCUAAAAGGGAGACCAGAAAUUGAGAUGCCCAUCUUGAGGUGCGUUCAUGUGUACAAUUACUAUAUGAGGCCGAUGGCAUAUGAGAUGAUGUUAAGUUCUUGGCAUUGACUCUUCUUCACCAAGUGAUAAUGGUGGAUUGCAGGUGGCAUAGACCUGGCUGUUAGAGUAAAAAUUGUUUGGUUAUUGAUUGACAUUUCAUCUUGAUGGUGCAUACUAUUCAAAGUUAUAUAUUUAUGAACUGGAAAGCUAGUUUUUAUGAACAUUCCUGCACUUAUGUCCCUUCCAAUCAAGAUGUUAAUGUGGUAUUCUUCUUGCAGCUGAAAAGGAUGAAGUAAAGGGUACUGGCUCAGGAUGGGAGCGGUUUGACUUUGACAGAGAUGCUCCUUUGGAUGAUGAGGAGAUUGAAGGUUAAACUUCUUGCGGCAUUGUUUUAAAGUGAUUGUGCUUUGUCAAACUUACUACGAUAUGAAAAUUGAUGAAUUUUGAGAUUCAAGUUGUGCAUUGUUUCUUUUUAUGUUCUAUUUUGUGAAGGGAAACAGCAUCUAUAUUAAGGCCUCUUCUAAAACAUUGUUGACUUGAGAGUGGCCCUUGUGAGAUUGCAUAUGGUUCCCUGUCUUUUAUUUUCCUCUCAUUUUUGAUUGCCUUAUAAUCAUAUUUUCAACCAUCAUUCAUUCUAUAGUGGUCACCCUUUGCUUUGCUUGUCCUAGCUAUAAUCCCCAAGUAGUGUAGCCUAGUGGCUGGAAUAGAGGACUGCAAUGGCACAGCAAAAGCAGAGUUGCAAAACCUUGAAAAGUUGAUGGUUAUAGAAAAGGCUAAAUCUUAAAUGAGUGAAAGGUCAAAUCAGAUUUUGCUACAACUUAUUUAGUGACUCGAACAACAAUUUAGAGUAUAUGAUGCGAUUCUCUUGAUCUUUCCUACCUAGUUAAUUUAGUUUUCUUUUGUGUGGCAAUGGGAAUGAGGAUUGCUGGUUUUCUUUAGUUCCUAAAGUUAAGAUUAUGGACACGUGAAAAUUUUCAUGGCAUUCAUAUAGCUUUUCUUUAAGAUAAAUCAACGAUAUGUUAAAGAACCUUAAUUAUUAUAUUUUGCACCUGGAAGCUCACUCUGCAUUAAUUUUUGGCUUAUAGCUGUACAGUAUACCUGAAUGAUGCUCAUCUGUACAAUAUGUAUUUUGGCUUAUAGCUGUACAAUAGUUUGUGUGUUAUUCCAACUGUUGUGGUACAUGAUCUACAUUCUGCUCAUCUAAUUAGUUCUAGCUUGUAUUUGAUCUAUGCAGUGAGGUGGUUUAUCUCUAUGUAUGUGAAUCAUACACAGAUCGGUUUUAUGUACAUAUUUUACUCAAAGUUUUCUCCAUGCAGCUGUGGAGGAUGAUGCAGCCCUAGUGAAGCACAUUGGUCAAAGCUUUCGGUUUGCAACAGUAGAGGUAUGUUCACCUUGCUUUAUUUGCAUGUUUUGCGCCCAUAAAAUGGUUCUGUUAGGUCAAUAGGGUUUAUUGUAUUAAUGAAACCUCAGCCCCUUUAUUUAAAAUUGGAAGUAUUACUGAUGGUGAAUAUCUUGAAGGCAAGGAGGGACAAAGAAACAAGAGCUGCUCAUGAUGAGGCCAUAUUUGGAGUUUCUUCGCGUCCAGCUGAUCCUGAAACAGCUGAACAAGAAGAAGCUGGGAUUGUCAAGAAAGUGACACAUGAAAGUACCCAAAUUACUAACCUCUUAAGUGACCAGGUGAGAGACAUUUAAAUGUAAAUCUUAUUGCAUUGCACGUAUGACUUUCAUAUGUUUGUGCAAAAUAUGUUUUCUUAGGUACUUGCAAUGCAGCAAGGUUCUUGGCGUCAUUGUGUACGUAAAAAAUAAUCUGGAUAAGAAGAUGAUGACAUCUCCAUCCGGCAAAGAGAAGUAAAUUGGUUGCCCACAGAUAGUUUAUUGACCAUAUCUGGGUGUAAUUUGCUCAUUCUGUAGUAAUUUGUUUUCUGGAUGGUGUCGUGUAUCUUGAGAAGGAGAAGUACUUGUUUCCAACCACGUUUGCCAAAGCCAAGGAUCCCUUGUUGUUUCAGCUGAAUUGCAGGGAUUAUAUUUCCGAAAUUGGUCGGAGUGUAGAUUAAGCCUAAAAGGGAUUUAUUUGUAGUUUGAAAGACAGAAAAAAAGAUUACUUUCAAAAGUUUCACAAGUGGCAUAUUUGUUCCUUUAAUUUUUUUUCCCAGAUUUGUGAUUGCAUGUUGUUGGAUUGUUCAAAUCUGGAGAAGAAAAUACAAAAGAAAGGUGAGGUCAACGAAAAGGAGAAAGAAAGAAAAGAAAAAUAAAAAGAAGGUAAUUUAAAGAAAGAAUAAAAUAUAAAAAGAGAGAGAGAGAGAUAGAGAAAAUAUAAGGAAGAAGAAGAAAAUAAAAUAAGUUAAAAAAGGAAAAGGAAAAAAAUAGCUCAUCAUGGAUAAUAUUUGAUAAGUCUUUAAGUUAACCAUUGAAAUUAGUCUAGUGGCAAGAAAUAGGCUUUUGUGCAUAUCAUCACACAAUUAAUCUCUCAAAUCCCUCUAACAAAAUUCAAUUUUGUGCUUAAACUAUGCACAAGUUUGACUUCUUUAUCUAUGAUUUUUUAUUUACUUUGCAAUUUAUUAAUUUUCUAAAGUAAGAUUCUUGUUUUCUUAGUGUUAAUCUUGUCAUAUUGAUAUAAUUAUGGCUUUUUUUUGUCUUUGCUUUUAUUUUAGUUUGCUGUAUUAUGACCUUAUUAGCAAAAUGACUAUAAGUAUGAUCAUAAUAUAUAAUUUACUUAUUUAUUUAUUUAUGGCAUCAUGUGUUGAUAACGGUAGUUCAAUGAUUGAAUUAGUGACCCAUGACUCAGUAACUAUUUUGAUUAUAUCUAGGUUUUAAAACCUUAAUAUCCAAUCAACUUUUCAUCUUCCCUGACCUAAGAAUAAUCUAUUAGGGCUAUCAACGAGUUGGAAUUGAAAAUUUCGAAUCUAAACCCGUUUUAAUGUACUAGACCCGGACCCGAUCCAUAUACCUGAUGGAUCUUGUGUUUAAGAUUCUGGAACCGAGUCCGCCAGGUCCUGGGUCGAGUUUGGGUCUAUUUGAAAAGAAAAAACCCAACAUAUAUCAUUCAUUUUCUUUUAUCCAUGUUAACAAAAAAAAGGUCCAACAUGAUCCUAGGAUAUUUAACAAAAAGUACUUAUAUGCAACUUGUAAUGAAUACAUUUUUGGUCAAACAAGUUUGCCUCUUCCAAAACCUAAUUUCUUAGAUGCUUUAUCUGAAAUACGAAUAAUUUGGUAAAAGAAUACUUUUGUUAAUAUAGUAAAAGAAUAUAUUUAGAAAUAUUUAUAUUUUAUAAUUAUUAAUGUAUUAUUCGGGUCCGAGUCGGAAUCCUAUAUUCUGUAUCCGACUUGUUUUUUUAUUAGAGUAGAUACGUAUGGGUCCAUAUUUGGAUACCAUAAUUAUUUCUCAAUCCAUAGCAGGAAAAAAUUAACGGAUUCGGCCCGAUUUGGAUUCAAAUUUGACCUCUUGACAUCCCUAUUAUCUAUACAUAAAUAACACUAAACACGAAUCAAUUUCAAGAAGAUAGGAUAAAGGGAUAAUUUCGAAAAGCUUCUUUGAGGUUUUGAUAAUUUUACUAAACUCUCUUGAGAUUUUAAAAAUUACACUUACUUCUUUUGUUCAUUUUAAAUGACAAUAUUAGUCUUAGCAUUUUUAAUAAAACUUUGUUGUUGAAUGUGCAUAUAUGAAAUUUAUAAUUUUUCUUUUUCUUUUUAUUCCUAUUUUUUUAUAUUUUUUGUCAGUAAAAUUAUGGAACUAUAAACGCUGACCCUAAAUGUUAAACUAAUGGCUUUUUUUUUUUAGAACUUUUAAUGUAAUUCAAUUUUUAUUUGUCAAUCCUUUUUUUUUUUGUUUCAAAAGAAACACUAACUCAAAAAAAAAAAAAAAAGCCUAAAACUACUAUCAAACUAUGAUAAUUUCAUUAAUCCAAAAAUCCACAGAGCUUCUUCUCUAAUUUAGAAAAGACAUGUAUCCGUGAUAAAGCACCAUUAGACAAUUGCUUAUCAAACAAUAAAUUUGAUAUUGAAAACGCGACAAUAUUUUUUUAUAUUUGUGCUAAGUAUGUUAUUAUUGCUAUAGAAGGUAAAUGAACUUUAUAAGGUGAGGCUAAUUUCGGGAUAUUGGAUUAAAUUUUUGACCUACUCUAAGGUUUGGUAAUCAAAAGUCUCAAAUUAGGGGAGGUAAAUAUAAUUUUUGAAACCUCAAAAGAGCUCAGUGAAAUUGUUAGAUAUCUUAGGGGAGGUUUAUGAAAUUAUCCCUGGGAUAAAAGCAGAGCACUUGGGGAAAAGGCAGGUCAAACCUCAGCUUCAUCUCUCUCCUCUUGUUCCUAGAUUGGUUGAAAUCUUUAUCGUGGUCUUCAGCUCAAUAAUGGCUUCUUCCUCCGUGAAUCGCUGGCUAAGGCCUGAGGUCUCUCGCACUUAUUAUUAUUAUUUUUUUGUUGCUCAGCUCCACUAUGUUUCCAAAGUAGUCGAGGAAUAACCAUGUCUAUUAUUAUGUUGAUCUCUGGAUUAUUCUCCUAUUUAUGGACUGUAGUUUGAUUUUUGGUGUGCUCAUAUAACAUAGGUAUAUCCAUUAUUUGCGGCAGUUGGGGUUGCCAUAGGGAUCUGCGGGUUUUCGUUGGUCCGGAAUAUUUGCAUCAACCCUGAAGUGAGGUACUGUACAUAUAGUUCUACGGUCUUUUUUCUUUUUUUUUUUUUUAAAUUUUUUUAAAAAAUAAUUUAUCUUUAGUUUUUCGUUUGUCUAAGCAUAACAGUGUUGAUGUCUAAAGCAGGUGCAUGACUGAGCUCACACACACACACACAGACACAGAGAGAGAGAGAUAUGUUUUGUAAAAUUGAGGGUGUAAAUUAGAAAUUUUCAUUUCAACAAGGGGUAAAUGCUCUCCUUGCAGAGAAUACAGACUGUGUUGAUGUCUAAAGCAGGUUCAUGACUUAGCUUCUGAUGAACAAAACGUAAAGUGGUGUCUUGUUUACCAUUUUUUUUUUUGACACUAUUUAGAGCUAAAUCCAUUCUGUUUCUCUCUGGUUCAGUGUAUCUCUCUACAUUUUAAGUUGCUUUGCUUAAAUGGCCUAAAUAAACUUAAAACUAUGAUGAACGAGGUCAAUAGUGAUAGACAACUCCAAACCACAAAGCAGGUUAGUUCUCUACUCAAGUCUACUAGACAAUUCAUAGUUAACAACAUUCAUAAAAUCAUCGAUAGUUAUUAGGAAUUUACCUUAUCGUUAUUAGUACAGAAAUUUGAGACUAUAUGAUAUAAGAGUGGAAGAACGUAGCGAAUCGAAUAAACAAAGUAGAGAAAUUUUUCAGGCAGAUACGGUUAUGCUAGACAAGGAAUGGGAAAACAAGCUGAUACACGUUUAGGGAAUGCAUUAAGAUGAUAGGCCGGGGUUAACUAGUCUCAGGGCACCUCCAAAUACUCUUAGGAACCUUUUAGGCCAAGAUGUACAAGGAGUCUCACUCAGUCCCCAGAUUAGUCUUGAUUUAUGUAACGGGGCUUUGGCCCUCCAAUGUACUGGGAAAAAAAAAAGAGAGAAAGUAGAGAAAGUUUCAAGUGAAUGCAUAGACGGGUAAUUUUGUCUAUUAAAAUAUCUUAUAGGUUUUUUGUGUCAAUUUAGCAAAAAGGAAUGAUGGAGUGCCUGAAACUCAUUCUGGAGUACCACUCUCGUUUGUGUGUCAAAAAAAGAGAGGGAAGAUAUGGGAAUCUAAUGUUGUUACUCUUUACCUAUUUAUCAUCUCUCGAGCUCCCUUGAUAUCACGAAAUCACCACUGCACUAUAGGAAGAGACUUUUCUUCGUCGAAUGAAUGAUCGCAAGAUAUGUCAACCCAACACAUUAUAUUCCAAUAUCUAAUUUGUACAUUAAAAUUAAGCGUACAAAUUUAGCCUGCUAGGAUUUCGGCUCCGUUCGGAAUAACUGUUUUGGGGGUGUUUUUGAAAUAUUUUACUGUAUUGGUAUAUAUGAAAAUUUUUUACUGUAGAUGUUUUUUGUGAUGUUUUUGGAGGGAUUUUUGAAUUAUAUUUUGGGAUACCUUUGAAGAUUAAAAUAUUUCUAGAAUACUUUUUACAAUUAAUACUACCACCCACAAUCGUCACCGUCACCACCCCCACUUACCGCCGCUUCCACCCUCUCUCUUCUCUUUUCUCCUUUUCCUCACUCUUCCUCCACCUUCUCCUCCCUUGUCCCCAUCCCUUUUCCUCCUCCCCUCCCCUUCCCACCCCAUCCCCUGACUCUCCCCUCCCCCUCUCGAUCUAGUCGCGACCAGAUUGCGGGAGGAAAGGGAAGGGAGGGUUGGGAGGUGGGAAGGAAGAGGAAGGGAGGAGACAGGGGGAAGGGGAGGAGGAAGACGGAGGAUAGUAAAAUAUGAGCGCUUACUUGAUGGGCGUUUGCAUGUGAUAGUAAAAUAUGUCUCGUCUAGACUACGAGCGUGAAGACAAAAAAAGAAAAAAGAAAAAGAGAGACUACAUCGUACUUGUAUAUGAAUAUGACAUCGGUAAAGAAAAAUAUUCUUGUUCAGGGUAGCCAAGCAAGAUAGGGCAGCUGGAGUGCUGGAGAACUUCGCCGAGGGAGAAAAAUAUGCCGAGCACGCUCUGAGAAAAUACGUCCGCAAUAGGAAACCAGAAAUCAUGCCAUCCAUCAACAGCUUUUUCACCGAACCUGAAAAGAACUAGUUGCCUCUAGUAUGAAACUUAAAAACAGUUAUGGGAUGUAACAAUUAUUUUCAUCUAACGUGUUGUUAUUGCCUCCGACAUGAGACUUGAAACAGCUGUGGAAAGCAAUCUGUUUGAGAGUGUAUUAAUAGCAUACUGCUUUGUGUAUGGUGGAGUAUUUUGUAACGACGUAACCACUGUUUGGAUUUGCCUUUUUAUUCAAAAGUAGGAGGAGAUCACCGCGUGUAAUUAUGCCCGAAUUUGUGUUGGUUAUUGGGAAUUAGUUUGAUGUUAAGAGUAAGAAGAAGCACGUAAUUAGCAAGCAAGGGAUUCAGUGAAUUAUGUCUUGAAUUAUAACGAUAGAUCAAGUUAAAUUCAAAAUGAUCGGGUCCAAAAUUGCUUAUGAAUGUUAAAUAGUCUUGAAUCAUGUAAUGAAAGUAAAAAUGAUAAAAGAGAAAAAUAUAGCAGUGCAUAUGCUUUAGAUAAUGGGGUAAAAUAUUACAAUGAUCCUCCAAGGAUUAAAAGCUACAAAUGGAAAGGCAGCAGAAAGGGUCUGUCAAUUGUUGAUAUUCAGUUCGUUUAUGUCUCAGUUGGGAUAUUUUAUGACACUAUUCGGUGCCAAAUCUAGUGCCAAUCCCACUUAUCACUUGAUGGUAGAAGAAAUUUAAAUAAACAGUACAUGACAAAUUAAAUAAAUAGGACACAUAAAUAUAGAAGUGGCACUGAAUUAUCACUGGAAAAGUGGCACUGAAGAUCCCGUGUGGUUUAUGUCCAGAGCCUGAUCCAUGACAUAGAAAUGACAAUGUGAUAGUUUGCAUAUCUAACAAGCUUGAAUGUAGGCAAUGAAGGUCUAAUGUAACACAUGAGCAUUUUUCCAUAGAGUGCAAGCAUGAUAAGGCUUUUGAGAUCAAGGCCCUGUUGGAAAUUUGCAAAGAGAAUGGGAUGGUUGUCUUAUUGGACACAAUGAUACAAACUAAAUUCCCUGUCUAUUAUCCCGACACUCUCAGUAAAAAUAUACCUAAUAAACAAAGAACCUUUCACCCAAUCUAAACUCAUACAAGUAGACCUGCUAAGACACUAGAAACUAAUUAACAAAUAAAACUAAAAAUUUACUCUACCUAGAAUAAGAAUUUGACUCUGGCGUACAACUAUUUAGAAAAUUCAACUUAAGUAGCUUUACCUGUCUGCAUUGAAUAGCCAGUCGAAAACAAAAAUUUUCAAGUCCAAUCCAGAGCUUAUCUGCAGCAAGAUAAGUUAGACAGCACAGAAGAAAAGAACAGUUCUUCUUCCCCCCAAAAAACAUCACCACCAAAAAAAGACAAAAACACGGGAAAGCCUGUAAGUCCCUCUUGUGGGCAAAGCAGAUACAUGCUAAGCAAAAGAUGCACUCCACAGCUAGUUGAAAGUUGAAACACGAGUUACACUGUCAAGCAAGGCAUCUGUACUAUAAAAAUAACCAUCUCUUUACUUUUGGGCUUGAAAAUAAAUAUCGCUUUACAAAGUCAUCAUUUAAAUAUACCCUGCGGAUUGGUAUUGAAAUUCAAGACGCAAAAGUAGUAAAAAAACAAUAUUCAAGGUACUAUACUUUUAUUAUUAUCCAAAACUGGUAGUCGUAAAUUGUCCAGCAAAUCCGGAAGUCAUUCUUAAAAUCAAUCAGUAGUUGAAAGACAACCAAAUAAACUUCAUUUAGCAUACAAUUCCAUUUUCCAAAAGGAAUAGUCUUUGUUUUUUAUUUCCACCAAAUUUUAGAAGCAAAAAAGAAUGUGAGAAAUAGUCCACUAUUUUUGAACACACAUAAUACAACUAAAAAUUUGAUAAAUGGAGUAGCACAAUAGCUAUUGCAAUAUUUAGCAGGCCAAGUAACUCAAGUAGAGUUUAUUAGAAGUUGACCAAAAAGAAGUACAAAAGAUAGAGAAUCAAGACCAAUGACAAUAUAAAUGAUGGAAAAAGAGCUUGAAAAUAUGCAUUGUCAUUAUCCUUGAAUCAUGUGUUGAUAAAUUUCAAGUAGAUUCACAGCUUUUGACAUCACACCUAAUGCCUUCUAGAGAUAACUUAUACAUAUUCACUAUCUCCUUUAACAAUAGAUUGUCAAUAGAUGGAGGACAAGUAUAGUAAUACUGAGAUUGUAAGCCAAACAUAACUCAAAGCUUGCAUUAUACAAUUAUUGAUCUCUAAUAUAGAGUAACAAUAUCCAAAUGUAGAUAAUUAGGAAAUGACAGGCCAGCAUGGAGAGAGGCCUCAAUUAAAGACAUAGCAUAAAAUAAUGUCUCAAUUAACUCGACUCCCAAUUCAAUGCUGGCUACCUCUGUUAUAAAGACAUAGCAUAAAAUAAUGUCAGAGAACCCUGGGCUCCUCUCACAUUGGUCAGGCUUGUAACAUCAUUCAGACUUGGUUUUAAAUUUAUUGGAAAGAACAUUCCUGUUAUUGGGAAGAUUUACACAAAAAACACAAUAAGCAUGAUAUACAUUAUUUUUCUCUAAACAAUCCAAAAAAAAAGAUUUUCUUCUAGAAGUCCCAGAUUUUUCCCCAAAUUGCCAAACCAAAGCUAUAGCAAUGAUCCUUCAACACAAAAAAUAUGCAUAAAACUCAUCAGAAUUGCCACACACAAGCAUGAACACUCCUCAAAUGAGAGAUAAAUUGUAAAUGACUGUACCAUUCAACCACACUGGAGACAUGAACAACCGAGGCAAUUAAGGAGUGAGCAUUUGAAAGUUCAGUGAACUACAAAGAAUAACCCACUAAAGAUGGAACCUUAGUUGCAAUUGAUGAUCCCACUUCUACUUCCACAAGGGUGGUUAAACUUAGAGCCCAUCCAGCCUUCUCACAAGAGUGGCUGCACAUUUCUGGCUCUGAGUGAUGUUCUCAUUGAAGGGUCUUGAGAUUUUGGUAGUUUUUCUGGCAAAAAGGUGGAAUUUUGCAUACGAGUUUCAGUAAACAGAUUUGAAUAAACCAGUAUGUGGCAUAUUUUUCUCUUUCUAUUUUGGAUAAAUCAUGAGUGUCCGAGGUAGUUGCAUUACAUUAAGUUUAAAUGUACACCAUAAGUGCUAACUUUAGCAAAUCCAAUGAUAAUUAACAUUGAUAUCCUAAAAUGUAGCUCCUCUAGUACCAAAUUCACAAAGAUUGAAAUGAAACCUCAAACCAAAAGAUAUAAAUGAUUCUACUGUCUACCUUAUCAUUUACUUGUAAGUUAUUAGAAUCCUCAGAUAAUAUUAUCAAAAUCAAAUCUUAGUGUUGGUAUAAUAAAUAAUUGCACAGUGAAUAAACCCAACAAAAAAUAAAAAUUCAAAGCAAAAACAAUCUGAUGUGAUCUUAAGCAUUAUCUGAUCAGUUACUUUCAAUCUCUUACCACCUACAAUGAGUUGAUCAAAAUCUAAUUUUCAAUCAUUCUAAUAACCAAUUCUACAAACAAAGAUGCAACUUACACAAAUUUUAAAAAAACGCUUAGGACUAUGAACUUUUAUUAUUUCUUCUUUCUUUUUUGUUUAGAUUCAAGGGAUGUUAUUCUUGGUUUUGAUGAUCACAAAAGUUCGUUUAUACAGACCAAGAAAGUGAACUCUUUGAUCAGGCCUGAUGGAACAAAGAAAGCAUAUGUUCACUUAAGUGCUUUGGAUGUGGCAAACAAGAUUGGAAUAAUAUAAAUGAAUUUAGUCAUUGUUUUGUUCCGAUCAAAGAUACUAUCUUUUAAGUAUGUCGAGUUUGUCAUUCUUGGUACUUUGAAAUGUUUACCUAACCUUUUUCAAAUACAAGUGUUUUUGUCUAUCCAAGAAUCAGGUUCAAAUAGGUCAUGAAAUGCAAAACAACCAAAAUGAGAAGCAAAAACAGAACAAUCAGGUCGGACGGCCGAAAGGAAACUGUCGGACGUCCGAAAGGAUAUAGAACAACAGGAAGGAAGCACUGUCGGACGCUCAUAUGGGGGCAUCGGACGUCCGGAAGGAUCGGACGCACACCUCGGACGCAUAUCAACCAGAUCGGACGUCCGAAAAAUUCCAAGAUAACUUGCCAACUCUCUGCCUACGAUCGGACGCUGUACUGUCGGACGAUCAAGACGCAUCGGACGUCCGAACGUCAACUUGGCUGUUCUCGGACGAUUGGAUCGGACGAUAAUUUGAUCGUCGGACGUCCGACAGCCCCAACGGCUAGUUGACUCUUCAGCUGCCUUCUAUCCGUUGGAAGCAUUGAUGAAGCCCAUUUCUGGUUCCCUUUAAAAUCAAACUGGUCUGAACGUAGUAGGGACUUUUGCACACUUUGUUUACAAGAUCUCAAGAGAUAUUUUAGCUAGAAAAUAGUCUCCAAAGCUAGAUUUGUUUUAAAGUGGUGUGAAUUUCUUGUGAACAUUUCUUUUGUGGUUGAAAGGAUCUUUAGUGUAGCUCUGUUGAGGGUUUUCUGAGUGAUUGUAAAACUUUUUAGCUUGACUAAGUGAGGCUUAGGGCAAUGAAGAAGUGCUCCCUCCAUUGUACAUCUAAUUGAUUGUCUUUCAUCAAAGAGAAGUUGCUCCUCCUAGUGGUUGGUCUUCAAGUUUGAGGAAAGCUUGGUAGACACUUGGUUUGAUUCCCUAUCUUACUUUUCUGUUUAAUAAAAUCUUCAUUGCUUAUCUAUACUUGCUUCUCUGAUCAAUAUUGCUAUUGUCUUCUAAUCUACUUGGUUGAUUAUUUCUGAGAAGGAAGGUAAAUUUUUAUUAAAGAAAAAGUGCAUAAAUUUGGUUAAGAUUUUAAUUAACCCAAUUCACCCCCCUCUUGGUUGUCUGUGGGACUUACAAUUGGUAUCAGAGCUUGGUCUCCUUGAGAUUAAGCUCUAACGGCUUGGAGUAAAGAUGACAACCAGUCAUGCUAUGUUUGUUGAGGGGCAAUCUGUUACUAGGCCUCCCAUGUUCAGUGGUUCCAACUAUGUUAGCUGGAAAGAACGGAUGAUUAUCUUUUUGCAAUCUAUUGAUAUUGAACUAUGGUUUAUUGUGAGUGAAGGACCGCAUGAAGCUAACUUUCUUGAUGCAGAUACAGGGUUGUUUCGGUCAAAAACGAGAGCUGAAAUGAAUGCUCAAGACAGAACUAACCUCACAUUGAAUGCCAAGGCCAUGAAUGUUCUUUAUAGUGCCCUAGAUUCAAAUGAAUCAAUUAGAGUAAAAGGCUGCAAAUCGGCCAAAGAAAUGUGGGAUAAACUAAGAGAAAUCCAUGAUGGUGGUGACAACGUGAAGGAACAGAAAAAGGCUAUCUUGGUCACAAAAUAUGAAUCAUUUAAAAUUGAACCUCUUGAGGAUAUUGACAAAAUGUAUUGCAGGUUUACUGACUUGAUCAAAGAUCUCGAAGCGUUGGGGAAAGAGUACACCUUGGGAGAGAAGAACAGAAAAAUUCUCAAUGCUUUGGGGAAAGAAUGGAAAAAUAAAGUGACUGCAAUAGAGGAGGCUAAGGAUUUAAGUUCUGUGCCUAUGGAAUCUAUCAUUAACUCACUAACCUCUUAUGAGUUGAAACUGAAAUCUAAAGUGUAGGAGGAAGAGGAUGCUAGAGCAAAGAGAAACAUUGCUCUAAAGACUACUCAAGGUGAAGAUGAUCCAGCUCACCAGGAUGAUGAAGACUCGGAUGGUGAUGAUAAUGAUCUUGCUCUCAUCACCAGAGGCUUCAAAAGAAUCUUGAAUAAAAGAAAGUUUAGAAGGGGAGGACCUAGCAAUCAAUUCCAGAAUCAGCCAUCUAUCGCAAAGUACAAAGGAAAACAAAAUUUCAACAAGAAACAGUUGGACAAAUGCUUCGAAUGUGGACAGAUUGGACACUAUGCAAACGAAUGCCCCAUGAAGAAGAUGAAAGAUGGAAAAGCUGAUCGAAAGCCAAGAUUCAACAACUUUCAGAUUACUUGGAAUGAAUGCAACUCCGAAGGGGAAGUUGAAGAAGAAGAAGAAUCAGCUCAAAUGGCCUUCAUGGCUAUUGGAAAUAAUGAGGUAACUUCCACACACUCUCAAUCUGAAAGUGAUGAUGAUGAAGAUGAUGAUCUUGAAUCCUUUGUUGAAAAACUGCAUAAUGCCUUGAAGGAAUCUUAUGAUAAAAACAAGCAGUUAAAACAGAAAAUUGCUUUCCUCAUUCAAGAAAAUACAAGUCUUUUUCAACAAAAUAAACAACUAAAGACUGACAAUGAAUGCCUUGUAAGAGCGGGAUGUGAUAUUCAAAAUGAGCUUGUUAGAAAGACAAAUACUUGUGAAAUGCUGAAGGAAAGACAUGGUGAUUUGAAGAAAAGAAUGGAUAACUUGGAUGAAUCCUUGAAAGCUAGAAAGCAGGACUUUUUCAAUAGGAACAUGUCAUCUACCCAUCUUACUGCUUUUCAAAGAACAUUUGCACACAACAAAAUUGCACAUGGAUUCACAACAUAUAGAAGAGGUGGAUUGAGAUAUGUCAAACCAGUACAUGUUAAGGACUCUUCCAUUAUGUGUAACUUUUGUUGUCAAAAAGGGCAUUUGAAUGGAGAUUGCUAUGUGAAAAGAAAUCUGAACAAAGGGAUGAAAUGCAUGUGGUUAGUUAGAUACAAUGCUAACUACUAUGGACCCAAAAAUUAAAAAGGGGUACCAAACACUUUAUCUUUUCAGGAAAAAGGAUCAAACAAGUCCAAAUGGUUUAUUGAUAGCGGCUGCUCAAGGCACAUGACCGGUGAUCCCUCUUUGUUCAUAAAGCUGAAAUCAAAAUCAAGUGGAAAGGUGACGUUUGGUGAUGAUGUGAAAGCUAAGACAAUUGGAAUAGGUGAUGUUGGUAAGAAUGGUGAAACAUUUGUUCAAAAUGUGCUCUUAGUUGAUAACUUAGGUUAUAACUUACUUAGUGUUAGUCAAUUGUGUGAUAAAGACUUGUAUGUGUUAUUUAAAAAGCAUGAAUGCAUUGUACUUGAUUCCAAAUAUAAUGUUGUGUUCAAAGGUAAGAGGUUUAAUGACAUAUAUAUUGUGAUUCUUGAUAAAGUUGAUUCUUCUAGCUUAAAAUGUCUUAAAGCUUCAAAUGAAGAUCCUGGUUGUGGCAUAGAAGACUUUGUCAUUUUAACAUGGACUUACUAAAGGAAAUUUCGAAAAAGGAACUAGUUAGAGGCUUGCCAAAAAUCAGUUUUGAAAAGGAUAAAAUAUGUGAUGCAUGUCAAUUUGGAAAGCAAACAAAAGUUUCUUUUAAAACAAAGAAGUGUGUAUCUACUUCAAAACCCUUAGAACUCUUGCAUCUUGACUUAUUUGGCCCUACUCAAAUCUCUAGCUUGGGUGGUAAGAAAUACUGUUUUGUGAUUGUGGAUGAUUAUUCUAGAUACACAUGGGUGAUAUUUCUUGCUCAUAAAGAUGAUGCCUUCAAGAAUUUUACUUCAUUGUUUGCUAAAGUACAAAAUCUGUUUGGGUUAAAAGUUGUUAGGAUUAGAAGUGAUAAUGGGACUGAAUUCAAGUAUUGUGGUUUUCCAGAAUUUUGUGAUCAUAAUGGUAUAACACAUGAGUUCUCUAUUGCAAGGACUCCACAGCAAAAUAGUGUUGUAGAAAGGAAAAAUAGGACUCUCCAAGAGGCUGCUAGAACUAUGUUGAAUGAAUGUAGGUUGCCUAAAUAUCUUUGGGCUGAAGCAGUAAACACUGCAUGUUAUGUGAUGAAUAGAAUUCUCUUGAGGCCUAUCUUAAAGAAAACCCCUUAUGAGCUGUUUUUUGAUAAGAAACCUACGGUUGGUUAUUUCAAAGUAUUUGGUUGUAAAUGCUUUAUUUUGAAUCUAAAGGAACAUCUUGGUAAGUUUGAUAAAAAAUCUGAUGAAGGAAUAUUUUUGGGGUAUUGUGAGAAUAAAAGAGGAUAUAGAGUUUUUAAUAGAAGGACUCUUGUGAUUGAAGAAGCUAUACAUAUAACUUUUGAUGAAACCAAUGAUGAUAAUUCCAAAAGUUCGUGUGAGGAUGAUGAUGUAGGUGUUCGAGAAGGAAUGGAAAAGCUAUCAAUUGGAAAUGAAGGAAGUUCUAAACCAGCAGCAACUGAAAUGGAAAAUGAAGUUCAUAAUGAUCAAGAUGAGGAAGAUGAACACAAAAAUGAUGAUCCACUCAAAGAUCUUCCCAAGGCUUGGAAAUUCAGCCAAAAUCAUCCAAAAGAGCUUAUAAUUGGUGAUCCAUCCGAGAAGGUAAACACUCGUUCCUCAUCUAGAAAACUGAUUGACAAUUUUGCUUUAGUUUCUCUUUUUGAACCCAAAAAUAUCAAUGAUGCCUUAAAGGAUGAAAACUGGAUUUUGGCUAUGCAAGACGAACUUAAUCAAUUUGAGAGAAAUGAAGUUUGGACACUUGUUGAUAGACCUCAAAAUCAACCUAUCAUUGGCACAAAGUGGAUAUUUAGAAAUAAGUUCGAUGAUAAAGGUGUUGUUGUAAGAAAUAAAGCCAGAUUUGUUGCUAAAGGAUAUGCACAAGAAGAAGGAAUCGAUUUUGAUGAAACAUUUGCUCCCGUAGCUAGAUUAGAAUCUAUUAGAAUGCUACUUGCUUUUGCUUGCUUCAAAGGCUUCAAAUUGUUUCAAAUGGAUGUUAAAAGUGCCUUUUUAAAUGAUUUUAUUGAUCAAGAAGUAUAUGUGGAUCAACCCCCCGGUUUUGAAAAUACAAAAUUUCCAAGUCAUGUGUUUAAACUAUCUAAAGCUUUAUAUGGCUUAAAACAGGCUCCAAGAGCUUGGUAUGAAAGAUUAAGUGGUUUCUUGAUUGAAAAUGGUUUCAAAAGAGGUGUUGUGGACACCACACUUUUUACUAAGCAUGUGUUGAAUGACCUUCUUAUUGUGCAAAUAUAUGUUGAUGAUAUUAUUUUUGGUACUAUUAAUGAGUAUCUAUGCAAGGAGUUUUCCACCACUAUGCAAAGUGAAUUUGAAAUGAGUAUGAUGGAAGAAUUAAAUUUCUUCCUUGGACUUCAAAUACAUCAAGCUCUUGAGGGAAUUUUUAUAAAUCAAGCAAAAUAUACCAAGGAAUUGCUGAAAAGGUUUGGCAUGGAGGACUCAAAACAAGUUGGAACUCCAAUGUGCACUUCUACAAAGCUUGACAAAGAUGAAGAAGGUAAUCAUGUGGAUGAAAAGCAUUAUAGAGGUAUGAUCGGAAGCCUACUCUAUUUAACCGCAAGUAGACCUGAUAUUAUGUUUGCUGUUUGCUUGUGUGCUAGAUUUCAAUCUUGUCCAAAAGAAUCACAUUUGAAUGCUGUAAAAAGAAUUUUUAGGUAUUUGAAAGGUACAUUAGACUAUGGUCUUUGGUAUGCUAGAUCUAAUGAGUUUGCUCUAUAUGGUUAUUCGGAUGCUGAUUUUGGAGGUUGUCAUGUGGAUAGAAAGAGUACGAGUGGAACUUGUCAUUUUCUUGGAAAUUGUUUAGUCUCUUGGUUUAGCAAGAAACAAUGUGCAAUCUCUUUGUCUACCACCGAAGCGGAAUAUAUUGCCGCUAGUGCAUGUUGUGCUCAACUUUUAUGGAUGAAGCACAUUUUGAAUGAUUUUGGAUUGUUGUAUGACUGCAUGCCUGUAUUCUGUGAUAAUACUAGUGCCAUCAAUUUGACCAAAAAUCCUAUUCAUCAUUCUAGGACAAAGCACAUAGAUAUAAAGCAUCAUUUUAUUCGUGAUCUUGUUCAAAAAGGUGAAAUAUGUGUAAAUUAUGUUUGUUCUAAAGAUCAAUUUGCUGAUAUUUUUACAAAAGCUUUGCCAUUAGAUUAGUUCAUUCAUCUAAGAUCAAAAUUAGGAAUAAUCGAAAAAUCAUCUUAAUUUUCUUUGGUUCUUCGGACGUCCGAAAGAAGAUGAACGGACGUCCGAUGAUGUUCCUCAGCCAUUUUCCAGAUUGCGCCUGUUCGGACGCAACUGUCGGACGCACAACUUCGUUCGGCCGUCCGACAGUGCAACAGCUCAUUUUUUAAAACAACUUUCUUCCUCAAUUGCCUCAGACUCUUCUUAUUCUAUUUUCUCUCGGACGAAAACUCUCCCUUCCCUCACUCUCAAAUUCGUGCCAUUUUGAAGCUCCCAUUCACAAAUUGACUCAACCAAAACAGUUCCUGGUCAAUUGCGAGUCAUUUUUCCUGAUCAUUUCACAGAAUCAUCUAUCACUUCGCACAUUCCCAAAUUUUUCUCAAAACCCUACCUUCUCAUAACCGCUCUGUCAAAUCUUGUACAAGGUCUUUUGUUCCAAAAUUUUUGUUCGAUUCACUUCCUUACUGCUGUGUGCAUCAUUUGCAUUCUUCAUUCCACACUUUUCGCGCAAUGGUGAAUCUAAGGGGAGGAAAAGUUACUGCCGGACGCAAGCAUCCACUCAGGGAUGUGGAUGAGGAUCUUCCCACUGUUAAACGGACAUCCAAACGCUUCAAAAGGGGAGCUAUCAAGGGUCAAAUGUCACGGCCUACUCCACAACCCACUUCUCAACCAGAAUCUGGACAGGGGACCUCCUCUCAACCGCCUCCUAAAUCAGUCCCCCUCCCUCCAUUCUUUGAUGAUGCUGCGAAAGACAAAUACGCCUGGAUAUCCCAAAAGGGUGUCAUCCCUCAAAGAACUGUAAACCCCUCUGAAUUUCGCUCCAUAGGGUUAGAGUCCAUUCUGAGUCUAUUUGAUUUCCAGAAAUGGUCACGUUUGAUUUCUUUGCCCAAUGUCUACUAUCCUGAUAUGCUGCAUCAAUUUUUUGCCAAUUUUAGGAAAGGAACUGACCAAACUGAGAUCAUAUCUAGGGUAAAUGGGGUAGAGAUAAUCUUUGAUUCUGAUAUUGUGAAUUCCAUUUUGAAUACUACCAUUGAACGUUUAUGCAAAGAUAACGUUGCUAAUUUCUUUUCCUAUGAAGAGCUUCCUACUGCUGCAAAUCAUUUUGAUGGGAUAAAAAUGUUAACCUAUUUCAAAAGAAGUUUUUCCUCACCUGCUGAUGCUAAAUUGAAUGAUCUGACCCCUGUGAAUUUAAUUGCCUUUUCCAUCAUUUCAAACCUGCUUGUGCCCACUGAUGGGCACAGAACUGAUGCAAACAAAAUGGAGUUGUAUCUCUUUUAUUGUUUUCGAGAAAAAAAUUCGUAUUAAUUUUGGUUUUGUCAUGUGCAAGUUUUUACUUCGCUAUGCUACUGACUCUCGAAGAAAACUAUCCUAUGGAAAGUUUCUUCAAAAGAUUUUUGAGUUUUACAAAGUUCCAAUUCUAGGUGUUUGUCCCGAAGAAACAUCUUCUUAUGCCUUUACCAAAGCAUAUUUUGAAAGAAAAAAUCUUAUUUUUAAAGAUAAUCUGUGGGCAUAUAAGGGGGCAUCAUCCAGUGAACAGAGGUCUAAGACUGUACAUGAUCCUCCACCCAUUUCACUCACUUCCAUUCACCCUAGGAAGUCUGCCACUAAAGCAUCUUCCUCUUCCAGUAAUGAAGUAAUUGAGCUUCUUCAUGAACUCAAACAGCAUGUUCUUCUUCUUGAACAUGGUCUAAUGCUCACUAUGUCCUCUGAGCAACAAACUGCCUUCCUAGACAAAAAGAAUCUUCUGUUUCCCCCUUUUGUUGUUGAGGAAGUUUCCCAUGACAAAGAGUCACACCCCACUGAUCCAAGUUCAUCAAUUCCGGAUCCUGGUUCUUCAACCCCUGUGACUCCUUAUGGCACCUCUACAUCAGAUAAAGGCAAGGCACCAGUUGAAGAGGCUGCUGAAGAUGAUGAAGAAACUGAAGAGGAGGAUCUUGACCAAUAUCAGCUCUCUCGGAGGACACCUGGAUCCACUUAGUUCAUCAUCUAGGACAUUUGCAUGUUGUUUGUCUCGUUUAUGUGUUUGUGGUAUUCAACAAUGAAUAUGUAAUGUAAUGGAUAUUUUAAGUUUCUUGUGGUAUGUUUUGAUGGAUGUUUAAGUAUUUUGAUGGAUGUUUGUCUGUCUUGUAUGUGGUUUGAUGAAUGUGUUUGAUGAAUGUGUUUGUCUAUUCUGAUUGGUUUGAUGAAUGUGACUGAUUACCCUUUUGUGAUGACAAAAAGGGGGAGAGGACUGGAUUGAUUGGUGUUGAUUGAUGAUUGAUGAUUGGUGAUGUUGGUUUGAUUGUUUAAAUGUGGAUUGGCUGAUUUGCUUAAGUGUUUAACUCGGAUGGGCAGUCAAGUGAGGGGGAGCUUUUCAAAAUUUUCAAAUUUUUAUGAUUCACUAAGACAAGGGGAGUUCUUGUCUAUUUUGAAAGGGGAAGUUUUCAUUGCAAUCAUCAAAUUUCAUUUCAAACUUUUGUCAUCAUCAAAAAGGGGGAGAAUGUUAUUCUUGGUUUUGAUGAUCACAAAAGUUCGUUUAUACAGACCAAGAAAGUGAACUCUUUGAUCAGGUCUGAUGGAACAAAGAAAGCAUAUGUUCACUUAAGUGCUUUGGAUGUGGCAAACAAGAUUGGAAUAAUAUAAAUGAAUUUAGUCAUUGUUUUGUUCCGAUCAAAGAUACUAUCUUUUAAGUAUGUCGAGUUUGUCAUUCUUGGUACUUUGAAAUGUUUACCUAACCUUCUUCAAAUACAAGUGUUUUUGUCUAUCCAAGAAUCAGGUUCAAAUAGGUCAUGAAAUGCAAAACAACCAAAAUGAGAAGCAAAAACAGAACAAUCAGGUCGGACGGCCGAAAGGAAACUGUCGGACGUCCGAAAGGAUAUAGAACAACAGGAAGGAAGCACUGUCGGACGCUCAUAUGGGGGCGUCGGACGUCCGGAAGGAUCGGACGCACACCUCGGACGCAUAUCAACCAGAUCGGACGUCCGAAAAAUUCCAAGAUAACUUGCCAACUCUCUGCCUACGAUCGGACGCUGUACUGUCGGACGAUCAAGACGCAUCGGACGUCCGAACGUCAACUUGGCUGCUCUCGGACGAUUGGAUCGGACGAUAAUUUGAUCGUCGGACGUCCGACAGCCCCAACGGCUAGUUGACUCUUCAGCUGCCUUCUAUCCGUUGGAAGCAUUGAUGAAGCCCAUUUUUGGUUCCCUUUAAAAUCAAACUGGUCUGAACGUAGUAGGGACUUUUGCACACUUUGUUUACAAGAUCUCAAGAGAUAUUUUAGUUAGAAAAUAGUCUCCAAAGCUAGAUUUGUUUUAAAGUGGUGUGAAUUUCUUGUGAGCAUUUCUUUUGUGGUUGAAAGGAUCUUUAGUGUAGCUCUGUUGAGGGUUUUCUGAGUGAUUGUAAAACUUCUUAGCUUGACUAAGUGAGGCUUAGGGCAAGGAAGAAGUGCUCCCUCCAUUGUACAUCUAAUUGAUUGUCUUUCAUCAAAGAGAAGUUGCUCCUCCUAGUGGUUGGUCUUCAAGUUUGAGGAAAGCUUGGUAGACACUUGGUUUGAUUCCCUAUCUUACUUUUCUGUUUAAUAAAAUCUUCAUUGCUUAUCUAUACUUGCUUCUCUGAUCAAUAUUGCUAUUGUCUUCUAAUCUAUUUGGUUGAUUAUUUCUGAGAAGGAAGGUAAAUUUUUAUUAAAGAAAAAGUGCAUAAAUUUGGUUAAGAUUUUAAUCAACCCAAUUCACCCCCCUCUUGGUUGUCUGUGGGACUUACAAGGGAAAAUCGUCCAAAACGUCCUUCAUAUUUUGUAAAAUGACUUUUUUCGUCCCUCACUUUUAAAAGUGUAAUUUUAUAUUCCUUACAUAUUCACAUCGGUCAAAUUUAGUCUCUAACUAGGUUUCCGAUCAUUUUUUGGCCGGAAUCCAUCACGUGCAAGGCACGUAAUCAUUUUUGAAGGGUAAAUUUGUUAAAUUAUAUUUUACAUAAUCUGAUCUAUAAUCCUCCACAUUUUAUAAAAUAAAUUUUUUCGUCCCUCACAUUUUAUAAAAUGAUUUUUUCAUCCCUCACAUUUCACAAAAUGAAUUUCUCCGUCCCUUACAUUUCAAAAAAUGAAUAUUUUCAUCCCUCACUAAUUAUGUAUGUGAGGGAAACCCUAAAAAAAAGUGUGUGAAUACAUUUUGUUUAAACACAUGUAUAUGUCUAUUUGAUUUUGCUUAAUAAUAUGAAUAGCAUAAAUAUAUGUAUGUGUCUAUUUGAUUUCAUUUAACAAUACGAAUACCAUAUAUUAUACGUGAUCAUUUGAUUUCAUCUGGUAUUAGCUAGUAAAUAAUCUUGCAUUCAUUGUCAAGUUGGCCAAUAAAGCUAUUUUCGAUCAAAAUACAAUAAGAAUAUGCAAAUUAAGGUUCUAUUGGUAAAUAUUAGUCAUAAUCAUACAAAAAGAGAAGAUAACCCACAAGUUGGGCUCAAUUACAUACAUGUGUUUAUGCUAUUAUUAUUAAACAAAAUCAAAUAGACAUAUACAUGUGUUUAAAAAAAUGUAUUCACAUACAUAAUUAGUGAGAAAUGAAAAAUUCAUUUUUUGAAAUGUGAGGGAUGGAGAAAUUCAUUUUUUGAAGUGUGAGGGAUGAAAAAAAUCAUUUUAUACAAUGUGAAGGAUGAAAAAAUUUAUUUUAUAAAAUAUGAAGGACUAUAGAUCAGAUUAUGUAAAAUAUAAUUUGACAAAUUUACCCUUCAAAAAUGAUCACGUGCCUUGCACGUGAUGGAUUCCGGGCAAAAAAUGAUCGGAAAGCUAGUUAGGGACUAAAUUUGUCCGAUAUGAAUAUGUUAGAGAUAUAAAAUUACACUUUUAAAAGUGAGGGACGAAAAAAGUUAUUUUAUAAAAUGUGAGGAACGUUUUGGACGAUUUUCCCUAGAUUCAAUAAUAGAAAAUUAGAUUUAAAAAAAGGCAAACAAGAAAGAAACUCAGAAAACUGCUCAAUUUAAAAAACUUACAACGUUGAAUCAUGACAAAAACUUGACGAGGGCAGAGUAUACAUAUAACAAUUAGGUCAUUCUCCAGUCAAGUUUUACAUUUAUAAAUUUCGAAAUACCCCACACGUAAUUUUUUUAUAAGUAUACGAGUCAUUUAUUGAGUAUAGGGAUAUUAGGUGUCGAUCCCACAGGAAAAAUUAUCAAUUACCGAUGAUUUUCGAACUCUUUUAUUAUUUAGACUAUUACAAAUGUAAAAGAUUAAAUCUAUGCUACAAACAUAAAAUAAAAGUAAUAAAAAUAAUAAUAUAAAACUCCUAGAAGUAUGAAAUUCUUUACUACUAUUGCAAAUGAAAUUACCGGUUAAAUGAAUACUAUUAUCUUGGCUGGUAAUGACGUAAUUUCCUAAUAUGUGUGAUACCCACUUUCGCUGGUGUAUCAACUAUACUUAUAGUUAAUUUAUAUAUACUUUCGUGGUUACGAAAAUAACUACAAACUCAUUUCUUUUAUGAAAUUAUAUGAAACAAGUUACUAAAAUCACAAAGGCGCACCUCUACUUUUGUGAGUGUACUCCCUAGAUUUAUCAUUCCUUAAACUAGUGCUAAAUUUUAAUUUUCAUUGCAAACUUAACACUUUAAAAUUAUCAUGAUUAAUGGUCGAUUAAUCAUGACUAGAUAAGCAAAAGUGAUAAAUAACUUGUUUAAAAUAAUAUCAUCAAAUAACCAAAUAAACAUCACUAACAAUAUAUAGAAAGUUUAUCCAUAACUCUAGGUAUAAAUUUUAAUUAAACAUAAAGAAUAAGAACCAAACUUGUAUUACAGUUAAAUAUGAACUUAAAUACAAAGAGAAGAUAAUGAGGAUAAACUAUUCUAACUAUACUAUACUACCCUAACUAAUGAACUAAGAAAAUUCUAGUGAAAAUUACAUUUUUGUGGAGUUUUUCUAGCCUUUUAAAAUUUUUGAAAAUGUUCUCCAAGCCUACUAUUUAUAGAGAGAUUCAAGUUCAAGAUGAGUUGUUUUUAGUUGGCAUUUUUGACUCUUGAAACUCUCAAUGGUUUCUUCUCAAAGCUUCCAGACUCAUCUAAUCAUUUCUGGUUGGAAUCUUUGCAAAAAAAGUGGUCAAAAAGAUUGUAUGAAAAGAGCACAAGUUGCAAAGUAAGUUGCAGCCGGAAUCCAUGAAAAUGCUGGCAGAAAACGAGGCCCGUGCGUUCAUUUUGACACCUCAUUUUGCUCUUUUGCAGGUUUGCUCAUUCUGGGUAGAUUUCAUCAUUGUUCUAUUUUUGGUCCAAUUUCAACGGAUAUUUUCUUGAUGAUAGAGGCUGAACUAGUUCUGGUAUAAAAUAUGAAAGUUUAGCUUUCCAAUACAUUAAGAAUCAUCCAAUUUGGAGGUUUGUGGACCUAGAAAUGAUCAAAAUAUUCUCGACUGGUUAGAACUCUAUUUCAGCUUUUGACAAUGAACAUGCACUUCUGUAUUUCGACAUUUUGAUAAGGAAAACGACUAAAUUGGACUUAAAUAUUUUCAUACAAAAUAUAGAUCUAUCUCUUACCUUAAAAUAAUAUAAGAAUUAGCUAAAUCCAAUAUCUAUAGCUCAAGAUAUUGCUAAAAUAUUACAAGGUGUCAAAACUGAAAAACUUGCAUUUCAUCCUUUGAAUCCUUUGAUUAUUUUGCAUUUCAUGUCUUCUUGUUAUCACUUCAAAUCAUCAAUAAUCAUCCAUCUUAUAGAUUCACUCCAAUUGAUGAUUGAAUCAUUAAACCUACAAAAACAUGAAAUUUUUACCACUAAAAUUUAUAGAAAUAUAAUUUUUAUUAUUUAAAUUACAAAAUACAUAUUUUCAGUAGAAACUUAGUUAAUUAGUUAUAAAACUAAAUAAAAUACACCAAAAUUAACAAAUAAAAUACACUUAAAACAUGCAAAAUAUGUACUUAUCAAAUCAAACCAAAAAUCUGUUCUUUUCUUUCAUUUGCUUCAUCUCCUUAUUUUCAUUUCAAAAAAUGAAAUAAAAGGUUUUUUAUCACUUAGAUUUUGCUGGUUUAUUUCGACGGAGAAGAACGGCCGUCGUGCUACCUAAGGCUCACCACCUAGCCAUUAGAAUGACCGUCAUGCAUUUCUUCACGUCAUCGGUGGAGCCUAGGUUCACAGGCGGCUACGACCAACGGGAAGCCGUUGCUAGGCCGUUUCCUAAUCAACACAAUGCAAUAACUGCGUCUUAAGCCAUUAACGAAAGAACGGCCCCCUAUGGGUCACGCGGCCUCAAGCAGUGCCUUUACGAGGAAGAAUGACUGUCGUGUUGCCUAAGGCUCACAGCCUAGCUUUGAGAACGACUGUCGUGCAUUUCUUCACGUCGUCGAUCGAGCGUUGUGCUCAUGUUUCGGCUGUAGCCUAGCCUACGCAAGAGAACGAUGGCGUGCUAGGCCGUGAACAGAAAAGCGGCCUCUUCCGGGCCACGUGGUCUUACACGGAGCCGUCACGGAGAAGAACGGCAGUCGUGUGGCCAAAGUCUCACCGCCUAGCCUUUAGAAUGACCAUCGUGCAUUUCUUUAUGUUGUCGGUGGAGCGUUGUGCUCAUGCUUAGACCUUGGCCUAGUCAACACAAAGUAAUGAUGGCGUGCUAGGUCGUUAAGUGAAGAACGGCCCCUUCCGAACCAUGUGGCCGCACGCUUUGCCGUCACGGGGAAGAAUGACUGUCAUACGGCCUAAGGCUCACCGCCUAGCCUUCAGAACGAUCGCCAUGCAUUUCUUCACGUUGUCGAUGUAGCAUCGUGCCCAUGCCUAGGCCGUUUCGUUGCCAAUGCAAGGCAACGACUGCGUGCUAGGCCGUUGAGGGAAGAACGGCAUCUUCCGGAUCACUUGACUGCACUCGGUGCCGUCUUGGGGAAGAACGACCGUCAUGCGGCUUAAGGCUCACCAAGCAUCCUUGAGAACGACCGUCAUGCAUUUUUUCACAUCUUGGUGUGGCAUCGUGCCCAUGCGUAGGCAGUUAACGGAAGAACGGUAUCUUGCGGGCCACUUGGCCGCACUCAGUGCUAUCUUGGGAAAGAACGACCGUUAUACGGCCUAAUGCUCACCAACUAGCCUUUAGAACGACUAUCAUACGUAUCUUCACGUCGUUGGUGGAACAUCGUGAACAUGCGGCAAGGACCAAUGGGGAGUUAUUUCUAAACCGUUUCCUAGCCAACGCAAUGCAACGACUGCGUGCUAGGUCAUUAACAGAAGAACGGCUCCUUCCAGGACACGUGACCACACGCUUGCCAUCACGGGGAAGAAGGACCGUCAUGCGGUCUAAGGCUCACCGCCUAACCUUAAGAACGAUUGUCGUCCGUUUCUUCAAGUCGUCAAUGUAGCAUCGUGCCCAUACCUAGACCGUUUCCUAACCAACGCAAGGCAAUGAUCGCGUGCUAAGCCGUUAACGGAAGAACUGCAUUUUCCGGCCCACGUGGCCGCACGCAGUACCGUCUCGGGGAGGAAUGGCCGUCGUGCGGCCUAAAUUUCACCGCCUAACCUUGAAAACGACCGUCAUGCAUUUUUCACGUCAUCGGUGUAGCAUCGUGCCCGUGCUUAGGUCAUUUCCCAGACAACACAAGACAACGACCUUGUGUUUGGCUGUUAACGGUGGAAUGUUUCCUUCCGAGAUACUUGGCCGCACUCGAUGCUGUCUUGGCGAAGAACGACCAUCGUAAGUUUCUUCAUGUCGCCGGUGGAGCGUUGUACUUAAGCCUAGGUCAUGUCUUAGCCAACGCAAGGCAAUGAUGGCGUUCCAAGCCGUUAACGGAAGAAUAGUCUCUUUCUGGCCACGUGGCCGCACACGGAGCAGUCACUGAGAAGAACGGCCAUCGUGCGGCCUAAGACUCACCGCCUAUCCAUUAGAACGACCGUCAUGCAUUUCUUCACGUCGUCAGUGGAGUCUGGCUUCACAUGCGGUUACGAUCAAUGGGGAGCCGUUGUUAGGCAGUUUCCUAGCCAACGCAAUGCAACAAUUGUGUCCUAGGCCGUUAAUGGAAGAGCGGCCCCUUUCGACUCACGUGGCUGCACACGGAGUCGCCAUGGGGAAGAACGGCAGUCGUACUGCCAAAGACUCACCGUCUAGUCUUUAGAACGACCGUCGUACAUUUCUUUACGUUGUCGGUAAAGCAUUGUGCUAAUGCUUAGGCCGUGGCCUAGACAACGUAAGGCAACGAUGGCGUGCUAGGUCGUUAAGUAAAGAACGGCCCCUUCCGGACUAUGUGGCCGCACGCUUUGCCGUCACGGGAAAGAAUGACCGUCGUGCGGCUUAAGGCUCACCGCCUAACUUUCAGAACGAUCGCCUUGCAUUUCGUAACGUGUCGGUGUAGCAUCGUGCCCAUGUCUAGGCCGUUUCGUUUCCAACGCAAGACAACGACAGCGUGCUAGGCCGUUAAGGGAAGAACGGCAUCUUCCGGAUCACUUGAUUGCACUCGGUGCCGUCUUGGAGAAGAAUGACCGUCAUGCGGUCUAAGACUCACCAACUAGCCUUUAGAAUGACCGUCAUGCGUUUUUUCACGUUUUCGGUAGAGCAUUGUGCAUAUGCGGCUAACCAAUAGGUAGAGGUGGGGCAAAUUUAUCCGCUAACCCGAAAAUCCGUCAUAUCCGAUCCGAUACGAUCCGAAAAUUAGGAUAUCCGAUUUUUACUAUUUUAUUGGGUCAAAAGAGGGUCGGGUAUCCGCUAUGAUGUGGGGUAGGUUAGGGUCACAUAAUUAAAAACUCGCGGGUACCCAAUCCGCCCCGCAUAUAUAUAUUUUUUAUGUUUAUUUUUAUUUAUAUACACACACUAUAAAAUAAUAAGUUAGAACUAAAUAAGUAAUUUUAUUGAAUAAAUUGCAUUACAAAUAUGAGAGACUAUAGUUUAUUUACAAGAUUCAUUUGUAAAGGCCAUGAUCUUAUAUUUUAUAGAGAAAAGUUUAAUUAAUGUAGAACAUAUAUAUUAAAAAUUGUGUUACUUAUUUCAAACUUUUAUUGAUUUUGAAUUCUUAUCAUUUUUUUUCCUUUAUCUUAUAUUCUUUUCAUAUGCUUAUUUUUUGGUGGGAAACCUUUUUUUAGAAAAAAAUUAUUAAAUCUUAGAUGAAUGUGUAAAAUAUAAAAUUAAAUUGGUAUAAAUUAUUUUUUUAAAAAAAUUAAAUGAUAAACGAAGGUGGGGACGGGUACCCGCUAAUCCGACCCUAUCUCAGCGGGUACCCGUUAUGCGGGGCGGGUAAGGGUCAGAAAAUGGCUGACCCGCAAGGUACGGGUCGGGUCAGCCAAAUGGUGAAUGCCCCGAGUAUCCGACCCGCGUCCACCCUUACCAAUAGGUAGUCAUUUUUAGGUCGUUUUCUAGUCAACGCAAUGUAACGACUGAGUGCUAGGUCAUUAAAGAGAGAAUGGCCCCUACGGGGUCACGUGACCGCAUGCUUUGCCGUCACGGGGAAGAACGACCGUCUUGCGGUCUAAAGCUCACUGCCUAGCCCAGAGAAUGAUUGCCAUACAUUUUUUCAAGUCAUCGGUGUAGCAUUGUGCCUAUGUCUAGCCCGUUUCGUUGUCAAUGCAAGGUAACGACAGCGUGCUUGGCCGUUAACGGAAGAACGACAUCUUCCGAACCAUUUGACCACACACGGUGCAGCCUAGCCUAAAGAACGACGGUCAUGCGUUUUUCUUCACGUUAUUGGUGGAGCAUAGUUUGACAUGCGGCUACGACCAACGGGGAGCCGUUGCUAGGCCAUUUCCUAGCCAAUGCAAUACAACAACUGCGUCCUAGACUGUUAACGGAAGAACAGUCCCUUUCGGGCCACGUGGCUUCACGCGGUGCCUUCACGGGGAAGAACGACCGUCGUGCACCCUAACACUUACAGCCUAACUUUGAAAAUGGCCGACGUGCAUUUCUUCACGUCGUCAGUAGAGCGGUGGGUUCAUGCUUUGACCGUGACCUAGCCAACGCAAGACAACAAUGGCGUGCUAAACCGUUAAGUGAAUAACGGAUCCUUCUGGGCCAUGUGGCCUCACGCUUUGCCAUCACAGGGAAGAACGAUCGUCGUGUUGUCUAAGACACACCGCCUAGCCUUCAGAAUCGUGUGCUAGGCCGUUAAAGGAAAGAACGGCAUUUUACGGGCCACUUGACCGCACUCAGUGCUGUCUUGGGAAUGAACGAUCGUCAUGUGGCCUAAUGCUCACCAAUUAGCCUUUAGAACGACCGUCAUAUGUUUUUUCACGUCGUUAGUGGAGUAUCGUGAACAUGUGGCAAGGACCAAUGGGAAGUCAUUUCUAGACCGUUUCCUAGCCAACGCAAUACAUUGACUGCGUCCUAGGUCAUUAACGGGAGAACGACACCUUCCGGGGCAUGUGGCCGCACGGUUUACCGUCACGGGGAAGAAUGACCGUCUUGCGGUCUAAGGCUCACCACCUAACCUUGAUAACAACCUUCGUACGUUUCUUCACGUCAUCAAUGUAGCAUCGUGCCCAUGUCUAGGUCGUUUCCUAACCAACGAAAGGUAAUGAUCGCGUGCUAGGUUGUUAACGGACGAACGGCCUCUUCCGAGCUACGUGGCUGUACGCCGCGCCGUUUAGGGGAGGAACGGCCGUCGUGCUGCCUUAGAUUCACCAUGUAGCCUUGAGGACAGCCGUCGUGCAUUUUUUCAUGUCAUUGGUGGAACAUUGUGCUCAUGUCUAGGACGUGUCCUAACCAACGUAAGGUAAUGAUGGCGUGCUAGGCCCUUAAAUGAAGAAAGACCCCUUCCGGAUCUUGUCGCCCCACGCUUUGCCGUCUCGGGGAAGAAUAAUCGUCGUGUAGCCUAAGGCUCAUCGGCUAGCCAUGAGAACGACUGUCAUGCAUUUCUUCACGUCGUCGGUGUAGCAUUGUGCCCAUGCAUGAUCAAGAAUUAUGCGUAUGCUUAGACCGUUUCGUUGCCAACGCAAGGCAAUGAUCGGGUCCUAAGCCGUUAACGGAAGAACGGCCUCUUCGGGGCCAUUUGGUGGUGCUCGGUGCCAUUUUGGGGAAGAACUACUGUCGUGCGGUCUAAGACUCAGCAACUAGUCUUGAGAACGACCGUCAUGCAUUUUUUCACGUCGUCUGCAGUGUAUCAUACAUUUGCAGUUAGGAUCAAUGGGGAGCCGUUUCUAAGUCAUUUCCUAUCUAACGCAAUAUAAUGACUGGGUGCUAGGUCAUUAACGGAAGAAUGGCCCCUUCCGGGCCACGUGGCUGUAUGCAUUGCAGCCACGAGGAAGAACGACCGUCGUGCGGUCUAAGGUUCACUGCCUAACCUUAAGAACGACCGUCGUGCAUUUCUUUACGUCAUCAAUGUGGCAUUGUGUCCAUGCCUAGGCCGUUUCCUAACCAACAAUGAUCGCGUACUAGGCCGUUAACAGAAGAACGGCUUCUUCCAGGUCACGUGGCCGCACGCCGUGCCAUUUCGGAGAGGAUCGGCCGUCGUACGGUCUAAAGCUCACUGCCUAGUCUUGAGAACGACCGUCGUACUUUUUUCACGUCGUCGGUGUAACAUCGUGGCCAUGCUUAGGCCUUUUCCUAGCGAACAUAAGACAACGACUGCGUGCUUGCCAUUUACGGAGGAAUGGCUCAUUCCGGGCUACAAGGCCGCACGCGGUGCCAUUACGGGAAAGAAAGACCAUCGUGUGUCCUCAGGCUCACCACUUAGUCUUGAGGGCGAUCGUCAUGCAUUUCUUCACGUCGUGGGUGGAGCAUCGUGCACAUGCAGAUAGGACCAACGGCGAGUUGUUGCUAGGACGUUUUCUAGCCAACGCAACAUAACGACUGCGUGCUAGGUCAUUAACGAAAGAACAGUCCUUUUCGGACCACGUAGACUCACGCGGUGCCGCCACGGGGAGGAACGACCGUCGUGCGGACUAAGGCUCAAUGUCUAGCCUUGAGAAUGGCCGUCAUGCGUUUUCACCUCGUCGAUGUAACACAGCUUCACAUGCGGCUACUACCAACAAGGAGUCAUUUGUCGCACGGUGUGACUUUCAAGAAACUAUCAAUGUGCGUGCAAUUUAAAAGGUUUAUUCAACUCAAUCACAUCUAAUCUCUCAAUUAACUCUUAUUAGUCCACUAUUGACCAUCCUUUAUUCUCCAAGAUAAUUGCACUCCCGGAUCGGAUAUCAUCUCGAAACACGUGUACUCAUUAUUCGUUACUAAACGAACCUUUGAAAAAUUAAAUUUGCCAACAGAACGUUUUAAAAAUAUAAUUGAGACCUUGUUCCAUGUAAAUGGAUUUAAAAUGAUUGGAAAUAAAUUAUUUGGAGAAAAUGGGUAGAUAAAUAUUUAAAUAAAUCAGUAAUAUAAUAUUAAAUAAAAGUAAGAAAAAAUUCGGUCCUCACAACCUUCCCUCCUUAAAAGAAAUUUCGUUUUCGAAAUUCAUACCUAGGAUAAUAUCAUAACUUUCAAUAACUAGGUUUAUUAAAUCGAUCAAUAACUUACUCUCUCUUCAACCCAUAUCUCAUAAUUUCUAUUCACCCAAUUAGCAAUCAAAUCUUAAUCCCCAAUAAAUAUUUUGACUUCCAACUUAUAGGAUAACUUAAUCGGCCUCGCGUCUAUCUUACUCAUGAAUCUAGGAUUUGUAAAAGGGAUGUGUCAUACCAUGGUCACUUAGAACCUUAGCUAAGUAAAUUCUACCAGUGUCAAGUACUUAUUUCAACUUUCUCCAAAAAUCCAAGAUGCAUGUCCUCAAGGGCCUGAAUUGUCCUCUCGGAUUGUCCAUCAAUCUAUAGGUGGUAAUUGAUCGUACAAUCAUAGUUCUCCGACUCUACCUAUCUUCAUUAUCUCAAGUUCAACUCUUUUUGGGAAAAACAAGUAUUUAAAACUCUUGUGAUCCAUGAAAUCCUCAAAAGUCACUCCAUACAAAUAAGACCUUCAUUUUUCAAUCUAAAAUCUUUACCGGUCCCUUAUCAUAGGUCAAAUUCUCCUCAAAUCCUAUUUCUUUCAUUCAAAUUCACACUUAUUGAACUUAACAAAAGUUGGUGCCCCAUCGGGGUUUGUAAAACUAUCAUCAGGUAUCUUUCAUGAUUUUUUCGAACUUUAGGGUAUACUGAUAUAUUAUCAAUGAAUGCCACCACAAAUUGAUCCAAAUACGGUUUAAAAUCUCGAUGCAUUAAGUCCAUAAUUGCUGCCAGUGCAUUAGUCAACCCAAAAGAUGUAACUGAAAAUUCAAGUGCCCCUAUCUUGAAUUGAAAGUAGUCUUAGGUACAUCGGUUUCUAGGAUUUUCAAUUGGUAAUAACUCUACUUUAAGUCCAACUUGGAUGGUACCACGGCUCCUUACAGUUGAUCGAAUUCUUAUCCACGUAAGACAAAGGGUAGUUGUUUUUAAAUGUCAUAUUGUUCAAGUCUCGAUAGUCUAUGUAUAGUCCUUAUUGCCCCUGCAUCUCUGGUUCAUAUCUCCAUUUAUUUGUUCUCCUAGAUAAGCUUAAGUAGUUAAUGAAUUAGUGCUUGAAUUUAAUCUUUACUCUUUGACACAGAUUGCCUAUUUUGAUAAGUUUUCUUGAUGGACUUAUCCAAGUAACAAAUCAUGGUCCAGACUUAGACAUGUACUCUGGCCUUAUAUGUUAUGGAAAUCUUUUGUCCUUAGCUUAGAAAACAUUAAAAACUUGAGUUCUAUGACACGUGCAUACAGAAUUUUGGUUUAGAUGAUUUUUUUUAUGACCUUUAUUGUAUGAAACUAACGACUCAUCAUUAACUCCAACACAAGAUGCAAUUCAAUCCGGCCAUGGAUUGAAUAGGGUCCAUAGUGAAUUUAGCCAUGGAUUGAGUAGCGAAUCCUGCCAUGGAUUCUUGACCCUCAACCCUUGAUUUCUUGACUUUUAACACCACACACCAUUGCUAGAAUUAAUGGCACAAACAACACUAAUAACUUGACUAACAUAAGCAACUAAAACUAAGGAAAACUGAACCAAGGAAGGGCGGAUUUGAUGAACUUCAAUGGAUCCUCCACUUACAUGACUUGAACUUGAAUCCGGAUCCUAUGUGUGCAUCAUCCUCUUAAUGCUCUAAUGCUCAAACCGGAUAUGGACCAAAUUGUCUCACAACGUCCUAAACCAAGCUCACGUAUCGCUUUAAUGGGCAAACAGUCCAACCCUUGGAGCAUACUGCAGCCUCAAGUGGCAAAAAGCCAACAUCAAGAUGCCAAAUAUUCCCAUUGAUGUGAGCUGUUGGGAUGAUUAGCUUGUUAUCACUAGACUAACUUUUAUUCAUCAAGCAAGGGCCCUUCUAUUCAGCACUAUCGAAUCGAGGCUGACUUUAGUCCCUGCACGAUGGGUAGGUCUUGCAGUCAAACUCCCUUCUGCCUUUGCACUCGAGAGCCAAUCUUUGUCUGACUCGAGGAAACAUUUGCACGUCUCCAUUUCCUUUUGGGAGGCCUACAUCCCAUAGAAACUUUCUAUAUGAGACUAUCCCCCAUAGGUCCUAACACAAGACUAGAAUUCUAGCUUUUCUAGAGUGGUAUCUCACUGAUGGCUUGGGCCCCCCGAAAGAAGGCCUUUUUCUCCUUCCACCUAAACUGCACAUGAAAGGCCCAAAGCCAAUCCCAAGAAACAACGAAGCUUCAUAGGGUCUUUCUAUCCAAGUGUAAGUAGUCAGCAUCUUCAUAGACAUGUCUAUUUCACAGAACCUCUUUCCAAAAUAGUGACCAUAUCAUUACGCCUUUCAUACAGGUUGAAACUUACCCGACAACGAAUUUUUCUACCUUGGGGCCAUUAUAGUUAUGUCGCCAUUCACCGGGGUUUCAGUAGCCAGCUCUCUUGUUAUCGAGUCACCAACUUUCUCGACCUACGAGCAAUGGGCAGGAGUUAGCCCCUAUACAUGGUCUUAUGACUUUGCGGAGACGUGUUUUUGGUAAACAGUUGUCCAUACUUGUCACUGUGACCCCCUUUGUGAGAAAGCGUCCCUUCUCCUGAAAUUACGGAGCUAUUUUGUUGAAUUUCUUAAAGAAAGUUGUCUCGCGUCCCUACGUAUUCUUCACCUAUCCACUUGUGUCAAUUUCAGGUACAGGUACCUUUUUGUUUGCAGUCCUUUGAGCUUUUUCUGAGAGUAUGAACAUUGGCUCGAAACAUUUCGCUACCCCUUUUGCCUUGAAAAAGUAUGGGCAUCUUACGUUCUUGAACUGAUAACCAUCUUUCUGGUAACCUAACCUCCUCUGGGGACAGACAAAUAGUAGUACAAGAAUAUUCACCUAUUGUCCAUUGACCACACUUUUUGGCCUGAUCUUAUACCCUGACUCACCCUCCAUGGAUGAACUAUGUGGAGGAACUCUUAAGUUUUUGGGGCAUUAGAUUCUUACCAAUGUUUACGUUACUCAAGCUGACAUUCUCAUUUCUGCUCUGUCCACCACUGCUCAUGCAGAGGCAUCUCUCUAAGAUGGAACACUCCCCUGCUAUGUAUUUUAUAUCCCAUAGCUUCGACAAAUUGCUUAGCUCCUUUCAUUUUCGGUGCAAGAGCGCUUGAUCAGUAAGCGAUUAUGCACUCUUUCUAGGGUGGCUACUUCUAGGCAAAUCUCUGGCUAUCUCUGCAACCCUACCUCUUUUAUCACUGAAUGGCCAUUUAGGGGCCUUAGUUGGUGAUUCGGGUUAUUUCCCUCUCGACGAUGAAACUUAUCCCUCAUUGUCUCACUGGCCGACCUUGACCUCUAUUGGUUUGAGGUCAUAUCUAGUAUUGAGAGUUUGACCGCACCAAAACAGUGCUUUACCCCUAGAUGUCUAGCCACUUAUUGCGUCUUAAUGCAUUUUGGGGUGGCCUAGCUAGCUCUGGGUUUGAGUGGCAUUUCACCCCUAACCAUAACUUAUCCGUUGAUUCUUCAACAUCUGUCAGUUCAGACAUCCACUUUGAUGAGAACAUGAGGAUGAAGAUGCGAGAUUCCCAUUCAACUCUAUGAAGAUUUCAUUUACUUAGUCUCAAGACAGUAAAGUGCAAUUGGGUUGCAUGAAUUAAUGAAGAAUCGAACCAAUUUCAAGUUUCAUUCUUUUGUGUCAUUUGUUUAGAUGUUGCCCAGCAUUGUUAGUUGUUAAAUUAGAGUUAAUUUAAGUGUUACUUUGAGUCAUUAGUUAAGGAAUAAAGGCCAGGUCAUAUGGACCAUUAUUGAGCCAAUUUAAGUUAAUUAGUUUCCUAUUCCAGUGAGUUAUGGUUUUAGGAAAGUCAUAAUUUAUUUUUAAUUUUGAGUAGGUUUCUUGUGUCUUGUAAAAGGCUAUAAAUAUAGCCUUUAGUCAAGUAUUUUUCAAAAUUUUAAGAAUGCAUUUUCCCAGCCAAAACCCUUGUGUUGCUAUUCUCUUGUCCAAGAGAUCUUCACUUGAAUGCUUGAGAAUUGAUCUUGAGCGUUCACGACUUAUAAACCAAUAAAUCACAAUUGGUUGUGAUGUCAUCUACCAACAUUCUUGGUUUGCUAUUCUAUUUAGUUGUGGGUUAAGAUUAAAUUCAAUAUGUUCACAAUUACGCAGGUUAGAAGAGUCAAGAAUUUCCACAACUCCAACUUGAUUUUUUAUCUAAAUCUGGGACAUUGCGGGAUAUGAGUUCAUGCCAUUCGUGAUGGGUUCGUAUCACACAUAGUUUCACCCAAGUUUUAUCCUGAUCAUGGAUAGAUUACCCAGAUACGGGUCCAUAAGUAGUGACAAUUGCCCUAUGAAGACUCACUUUCGCUAUGACUCUGGUGGGUUCCCUUAUCUAAGUCACUGCCUAUGAGUCGCCUACUCAUUCUUCAACACGCACGUGGUCAAAACCCAAGGCUCGUCCUACUACUUGGGAGCUUGCGGUUUCAUGUUCUAUUUCACUCGCCGAUGUGGGUCUUUUCGCCUUUCCCUUAUGGUACUACUUCGCUAUCCAUCACCUAGGAGUAUUUAGCCUUGCAAGGUGGUCCUUACUGAUUCACAGGAGAUUUCAUAUGCCUCAUGCAACUCAGGUUAGAAUGUAAGCUAGUGAUGCUUUUCACUACUCGACUUUUGCCAUCUAGGAUGCAGCAUUCGAGUUAGGGGUGGGCGCGGGUCGGGUACCCGCCCCAUUCACCAUUUGGCUGACUCAACCCGCACCUUGCGGGUCAGCCAUUUUCUGACCCUUACCCGCCCCGCAUAUCAGCGGGUACCCUAUAACGGGUACCCACUGAGAUAGGGUCGGAUCAGCGGGUACCCGCCCUACCCCGUUUAUCAUUUAAUUUUUUAAAAAAAAUGAUUUUUAUACCAAUUUAAUUUUAUAUUUUACACAUUCAUCUAAAAUUUAAUAAUUUUUUUUUAUAAAAAAAGGUUUCCCACCAAGAAACAAGCAUAUGAAGAGAAUAUAAGAUAAAGGAAAAAAAUUAAAAGAAUUCAAAAUUAAUAAAAGUUUGAAAUAAGUAGCACAAUUUUGAUGAUCAAUGAGGGAUGAAAAAAUUCAUUUUGAAAAAUGUGAGGGAUGGAAAAAUUCAUUUUUUGAAAGUGAGAAACGAAACAAUUCAUUUUAUAAAAUGUUAGGAACGAAAAAAUUUAUUUUGUGAAAUGUGAGGAGCUAUAAAUCAGAUAAAAAUUUGAUUUGACAAUUUUGCCCUUAAAAAUGAUUACAUGCAAAUUACGUGGUGAAUUCUGACAAAAACUAGUUGGAAACCUAGGUAGGGACCAAAUUUGGCCAAUGUGAAUUUGUAAGGGAUGUAAAAUUAUACUUUUAAAAGUGAGGGACGAAAAAAGUCAUCUUGUAAAAUGUGAGGGAUGUUUUGAACGAUUUUUUCCAAUUUUUAAUAUAUAUGUUCCACAUUAAUUAAACUUUUUUCUAUAAAAUAUAAGAUCAUGGCCUUUACAAAUGAAUCUUGUAAAUAAACUAUAGUCUCUCAUAUUUGUAAUGCAAUUUGUUCAAUAAAAUUACUUAUUUAGUUCUAACUUGUUAUUUUAUAGUGUGUGUAUAAAAAUAAAAAUAAAAAAUAUAUAUAUACGGGGCGGAUCGGGUACCCGCGGGUUUUUAAUUAUGUAACCCUAACCCGCCCCGCAUCUUAGCGGAUACCCGACCCUAUUUUGACCCGAUCAAAUAAUAAAAAUCGGAUAUCCUAAUUUUCGGAUCGGAUUGGAUCGGAUAUGACGGAUUUUCGGGUUAGCGGAUAAUUUUGCCCACCCCUAAUUCGAGUGCAUCACCUAGUGGCACGGCACUUGUAUUGCUUUCCCACAACCCUAUUUUCACAGUUUAGGCUACUCCCAUUUCACUCGCAGCUACUAUGAGAAUCGCUUUUGCUUUCUUUUCCUCUGACUACUAAGAAGUUUCACGCAUGAAGGUCCAAAGGUAAUAUUCCCCCACCCCAAAUACAAAAGCGCGAUAAUAUAAAUGAAAAUAAACAAUUUAUUCAUCACAUAUGUGGAGAACGGGAGGCAAUCGAGUGUGUGAUAUGCAAAAACCCUAAAAAAGAAAGAAGAGAGAAAGAAAAGAAAACUGCAACCUAAAACAUCUCAAUGUAAUAUGUAAAAGAGGUUAGAAAAAGAAAAUGAUCGACUAAACCAAGGGUUUGGACUAUCUAAAAGUCCCCAAUGGAGUCGUCAAAUCUGUCGUGCCCUAUUUUUUGAAAAUAAUAUAAAUUUGAUUUGAAGUGAGAAAAGUGGUCUUGAAAAAUGUGUUUUUGAAAGGAAAUUUAUUUGUUAAAAAAUUAAUUUUUUAUUUUUAGCAAAAAUAAAGAAAAUGGCCUAAAUGGAAUUUAGAAAAUGCGACUAUUUCAGCCCAAAAUUUAGUCUAAAAGGGUUUUUUAAAAAAAUAGGAGUCGCCACUUGGUAUUGAGUUUAGGUGUUCCAAGUCAUCCAAAAGUAUUUUAAAUGAAAAAAAUAAAUGAAAACCCUUUUAGAGGAUUCCAAGUCUUUGAAACAAGAGAAAACGAGUUCGGGAGUCACAUUUGAAAAAUGGGAAGGCAAAGAUUAAAUCUAAGGCACCCUUUCAAUAUAGUCAAGGCCAGUUGCGAGAUUUAGUCGAAGAUUUUCUAAUCUAACUUAUAAAACUUAUUACAUUUGGAUGUUUCUAUAUGGAUGCAAAUCUAGACGUAGGAGAGAAUUGAGAGGGGCAAGAUAUCUUUUCAAAGUUUAAUUGGUGCAAAUCACAUUAAUUGUGAUAUUUAAAAAUGAUUUUUUGAAGAGGUCAUGAAGAAUACGAAAGAUGAGACUCAAAAAGAAGAAAAAAUCAUGAUAUAUGUAUAAAUAUACAUGUCCUAGAAGGAAUGCAACAUAACGAGUACGGGGGGUUAAAAUUUAUAACUCAAUUUUCCUUUUUAUAGAGGGGAUAAGAGCAUGCUAAGGUUAAAGAGUCAUACUCAUUCAUUUUCCAUAAUUGAAGGGUAAUGUUUCUAAUCUAAUCAAGCAAAUAGACCAACCUACUUCUAAUUUUCUAAAUAAAAUGCAAGUCUAAAUAUCAUGUUUUGUGCACAUAGGGAUAAGGAGGAUAGUAUAAAAGGAAAUAUCAUACAAAAUGAGGAAAAAAGAUCCUAAAAGUGAAAAAUAUGUAUGAAAUGUAAUAAAUGUCACGCAAAAUAUGAUUCUAGCGCGUGAAUGGCCUAAAAGGUCUAGUAUUGGACUAGACAAUCUCUAUAGGUUCUCACUACAAGGCCACAACUAGCAUUGGACUAGUGUGGUGACAUCAUGCAUUUAUUAUAACUAAAUAAAACAUAUAAAACAUAAUUAAAAUAAAUAAACACUUAGAGCACGUAACACAUAAGUAUAAUAUCUAGAUGCAAAAUCGUAGGCAAAGCAGAUAAACACAUAAAGACGUAAGCAUGCAAGCACACAAGCAAAUAAACAUGCAAAAAAACCUAACUAUUACAUUCGGAAUUCUAACUAAAAUCUAAAGGGGGAAUUUGAGAAAAUAAUAACCUAACUAUUACAUUCAUCUAACUCAUUAUACUUUUAGUCAAAAUAAAAUCUAUCUAUUACAAUACCUCCCAAAUAAUCAUUGACAAUUAAAUUAAAGGGAAUAAACAAGAACAUUGAAAUGAAUUAAAUUGGGUAAAAAAUAAAAGAAAAGUCACUCAAGGCAUGCAAUCAUCACAUAAAAACACAUAAGAGCAUAUAAGAGAAUUUAAAAUAAUAAUAGAAGAUACCUCCCUUGAAAUAGUGAUUAAAUGAGGUUGGAUUUGCCCUAUUUAUACUCUAAAAUCCACUAAAUAGUCAAGGCACCAAUUUAAUUAACAAAUAAAGAGAAUAAAAUGUAACAUAUGAAAAAUUCAUUUUAUUAUUAGAAAAAAAUGGAAAUAACCAUGAAAUUUAUCAACUAAAACACUUAAAUGGAGCCUAAUUAACAAUUAAAGAAAAUAAACAUCAAUAAGCAUGAAACUCCUAAUUAAAGAGAACAAAACAUCAAUAGCCAUGAAACUCCUAAAACUUUACUAAUUAAAUGCAUUUAAAUAAGACAUGAUUGAUAAUUAAAGAUGAUAGGCAAAUUAUACUUAGGAAAUCAAAGUUGGUAGGGGCCUAAUUGCAAAGAUUAAGAAAGUUUUUGGUGUCAAUUUAUAAUUUUAGGACAUUUGGGGGUCAAAAUUGAAUAAAAGAUAACAUUUUAGGGGCCAAAUUGUAAUUAUAUUAGGGACCUAAUUGAAAGAAAUCCAAAGUUCCAGGGCCAUAAUCAACAUCCAUUUAUAAAAAAUCCAACAACAAAAACAUUAACCCUACGCCUUAGUUCAUUUUCCAACCCAACAAGGUAAUAAAUCUUCUAAAAAUUAUUAAGGCAUAAGUAUGUCCUAAAACCCAUAAAUAAUUUGCUAAAAACACAUGCUUAAAACAUGCAAAGGGGGAUUAAGGCUUAAAAGGGUGAAAACUGAUUUAUUUUUGUAAGUUUUUGAGCCAUAGUGUAAUUGUUCUAAAGUUAAGGGGUCAAAAUGCAAUUUUUUUGAACUUCAUGCAAGCUUGAGCGUCUGUUUUUGCAGUUUUCUUGCAACUGAUUCAACCGCAGAAAAUCCCACCCAAAACUCAAACUAAACUAGAAAAAAAACACAAAGACCAACCCAUUUCCUUAACAAAUUCCAAUAACAAAACACUCCAUUUGAAAGGUCAAAGCAAAAGAGAAAAAUGCAAGGUAAGCUGCAAAAACGAACAGGUGCAGCAACAAGAUUUCCACAUUUUUUAUCCAAAUCUAAUGAUACUAUUUGUUCACAAGAAGUUCGUAAUAUUCCCUUUCUUUGGUAUACCUAAUCUUGUUGGUGAAUUUUUGAAGUCAAAAUCGUGACACGAGCCGCCCUGUUAAAACCUGUUAAAAACCCCAAUGGAUCUAGGAGUGACCUCCCGUGCUUGUGCACAAAUUAAAGCUUGUUGAAAGAUGAAUACCUUUGGUAAUUUUCAUUAUCAAAUAGGCCUUCGUAUACCUUACCUAGGCCUAGCGAAGCACAGGGGGCAGUCUUUUUUUUCUGUAAAUACAGCUCUUUUGAUCAUUUCUUCGCAUGUACCUGCAGUAGCAUUCAAGUAAUGCCCUUUGAUUUCACCUGUUUCAGCCUGUGCUUUAUAAAGAACUUCAGCACAAAAGUAGAAACGAUCUCUCCAACACAUAAAUGGUUGGGAGUUCACGUUUUCAUCGUCUUUGGUAAAAUCAAGUCCCCCGCGAAGACAUUCAUAAACAGCUCUACCGUAGUUUUUAGCAGAUAAACCUAAUUUAGGUUUAAUAGUACAUCCCAAUAGGGGACGUGUGAGGAUCCGCAAAUUCCCUAUAUUUUUCCUCAAAAAUGCCUUUUAUUUGAAAAUUAUAUUUUAGCAAAGGCCACUACCCCAAUUAUUUCACACUAAGUGUAAAUAAACCUAGAAAAUAGGGUUUUAUGCUUCGGUUUCAAGUUUGGAGUAAAAUUAGGGUUUUCGCGAUUUUCUCGCCGGAUGAAUUUUCGGUACAGAGUAAGGAUUAAAUUUGGGGAUUAAAAGUGAUUUUUAAGUGAGAAAUAAUGUGUGACUAGUAGCAAUGAUAUAAGGAUUGUGAUUGGGAAGUAAAAAUACUAGUACGUGAGUUUUUAAGAAAAACGGCGCGAACCGGCGGGUCCCGCGCGCUACCGAUUGAACGCACCACUUGACCACCAUUUUUCUUACCGAACAAGUUUAUUGACUUUUGCACAAAAUAUCCUCUCUCUUGGCAGCUAGCUUGACCGAAACUUGUGGCUCAAGACAAGAGAAAGAAAGAGAAAAAUUUGUGGACAAGAUUAGUCCAAGUGUUAGCCAAAAUUGUGGUCCUAAUUAACUCUAAUCUUCUUACUUCUAUAUAAGACAAGCUAACCUUCAUCUCUCUUCAUUUUGCUGCUGCUGGCCGAGAGGAAGAACAAGAAAAACACCAAAGGGAAAACAUUUCAUUUCAUCUACAAUCCAACAACUUAGUGAGAAAUCAAACAAAGUAAACCGAUUAAACUUGUUCUUGAGUGACUAGCUAGUGGUUUGUGGUGAGACUUUGGAAGGAGAAGGCUUGGACUACUCUUAGUGACUUCUAUUCAAGGUAAGAGAGCUUAUCUCUCCAAGUUUUGCUUUCAAUUUUGUUAAAUUAAGUUAGUAGUUUGAUUAUAGUGGUGGAAUCAUGGAUGAUUAGCAUGUUGUAGAGGUUUUCCCCAAUUUAUUUGAUGAACUAGGGCUUGUGGAAAUUCUGCCCAAAUUGUUGUAUGAUGCUUAUAUGUUGCAAUUGAGGUUAUAUAAGAUGUUUUGGGAGUGAUUGGACCAAGAAAUUAAGGAAAGUUGCACUAGAAACUCAAAAUUUCAGAAUCUGGAAAUUUUUCCCCAAUUUUCUGUCCGGUUUUGUAGCUGUGUGUUAGAGGCUGAUUUGGCCUUAGGUCAAAGAAUUAAAGUUGUUGAGAAUGGUAUUUUAUAGGUUCCUGUAAAAUUUCAGCUCAAUCGGAGCAUCGUAGCAUGUGAAAAGUCCAAAAUACCCUUACUGUUUUAAGUAUUUCCCAGCAGUCCGUUUCAGCAGUUAAGUCCAGUUUAUCACGUUUUUUGACCAGGAUCCAUUUUGAUUUAGCUCUGAACCAAAACAUGAAAAUUGUAUUGUUCUGUAUUAGCUUUAAAAUGCCUCAAGGAACACCUGAUUCGGACUUGUGUACACUGAGUUAUGUCCACUACAGUGUAAUACGAUUAAACAGCCGACGAAGUGGUUUCUGGUUUAGUAAUUGGAGAAUUUGACCAAGUUACCUUAGGAACUGGACUAAGUGACCUUCAUGAACAUUGUAGCCCUGUGUCUUAGCUUCGAAACGGCAUAAGUUGUGCCUCAAUACGAUAAGCGUAGCCUCGGAUAUGUUAUUUCCACAUUUGUACGUCAAAUCUAUCUUGUGCUAAGUUGAAUUUCUGCACUUGUGAUUGUUGUGAAUCUUGUUUUAUGAUAUUGUGAGCCUAUGGAACGGCUCUUGGUUUGAAUUGUUUUUAUGUGUGAUGUUGGGUUGUGGUUGAAGAAAAAUAAUGAAGCCUAAAUGGCUGGAAAUUAGGUAAACACAAAAGGUAUGCUGCCCGAAUUUUUACUCGAGAACUAGAAAACUAUAUUUGCGACUUGAGUGAAGGUUAAGUACUUAUCACUUGAACUAGCGAUAACCUUUGUUACUAUGGUUGUUGAGGAUUAUACGUUAGGACUUGGUCGAACUUGUACCCUUGAGAAAUGAAAUAAUGAUUGCUCGAAGUACGUUUUCCUUGUACCUUCGACUCGCAUGACAAUUUCAAGUAUAAAUGUUACAAAGUUUUAUCAUUUAAAAAGCGAGCGAGUAUUUCACAAGUAUUCUCCAAGUGAAUUUCCAUUUAUUGAUUCUUAUUGAACGAAACGUAUAAGUUUCGAAUCUUAGUCAUGUUUCAAAGUUCUCAAACUGAGUUUUAUCGCAAAUUUGGACUCCGAACUCGGAGUAUAACCUGAAAGUGACUAGUAAAGGCACUAUAUCUUUUGGUGAGUGCUUUCAAAUACUGAAUUGAACUUGAUACUUGUACUUGAUACGUGACCAAUAUGAUUACAUGCCACAUGCGUGAAUUGUUAGGGCAAGAGUGUACUUUAUCGCACUUGCCCUUACAUGAUAUAUCUUUGUUUAUUGUUGCCAUUGACUUGACAUACUUGUUUAUGAUGCGCGCACUUCCUGGAAUUCCGGAAACCCUGCGGCGAGUUACUUGAGUCGAGUCGGCAAGGGCUUGGUCGAUUGGGUAACGAACCCUGGGUCUCUUGUUUGGUCGAGUGAAGUGAUUUCUCCUCGACUAAUCGGUAUACUCGAGUAUUACCACCCGUGUUCUUGAGGAUUUUGGGCCCAGUAGGGGGUGUGAAUGGUGGACGGAGAGUCGUGUAAGUGGUGCUUUACUGGAUUGGUUCCUUUACUUGAAAGUUGACGGAGUGUCAACUACUACGUGAUCAAGCUCCUGAUGAUGAAUGGAAGUUGGCUCCUGAGGGCCAUCCGUAUCCUUAUGCUUUGGAUUGAUUAUUGCUUAUUGGAUUAUUGUUGUUUUUGAAAAACUUUUACACUCGCUCAUUUUGAGAUUUCUACUUGACGUGUUAUUGCUCACAUUGAUGAACUCUUCAUGCUCGUUACUUUGCUAUAUCGAAAGCUUGUACAUAUAAUUAAUGGUCAAUUUGCUAUUUGGAACCUCACUGGAUUUUUAGCUCAUACCACGUUAUUUGUUUUCCUUACAGGGGGUACGAGCGAGGCGUGAGAUAUGUAAAGACUAGCGUAGUCUAGUUGUUUGACUUUUGACUUUUGACUUGUACUCGCGCUAUUCCUCGAAUGGAACAUUUUGUACUUGGUUUGUAUACGUUUUGAAUUAGUUUGAGUAUAUCGAGACUUUGUACCCUAUUUCCUAUCCGUGUAUAUUAUAAGAUUGAAUCGUGGAUGUUAUUUAUGGUUUAUGAAUGCGUAUGUACGUGAUUCGCGUGAGCUUGUGAGUGAGUCCUGGCGAGAGCUGGGCAGGCGGUCCGCCGAACCCUUUGGUACGCCUUAGGGGGAGGUGGGGUCGUCACAGAUGGUAUCAGAGCUCCUAUUGAGCUCGUGCCGGGAGAAGGUUCUCGGACUGUGGGGAUUGACUUGUUAAGUAUGGAACAAUUGUCUAUUGUUGGGAAUCUUAGAUAUGUAUGUUGGGUAGGAAUCUUUAAUACGAAUGAUUCGCUCUUGAGCCUGGCCAGCUUGAGUGGUGAAUUAUCAUAUUUUUGGAUUCUUGUCCCCGAGUACCAAAGAGUGACACCUUUACGAUAAGUUGAGAUCUCGCGUGAUAUUCAGAUAAGUUUGGAUUGUGAAAGCAAAGGCACAGGGAGCGUGAAUAGUCUGGACUUGAAAAAUAUUGAAGAUAUUGCUGGGAUUUGGGAUCCUUCUUAUUCACGUGUUUCGAGCCUUGAUUAAGUGUAGUGCCUGAGCGAUACCUGGGGUUAAUGCUCUAUAAGUUAUGUGACUUGUUUUAAUUGAAUGUGUGAUAUUGCCUUGCCUUGUUUUAUGAUUUAGAGGGGUUUAUGAAUUGCAAUAUUCCGUUUUAUGCUGUUUAUGUUUAUAUAGUUACUUAGUGGUUAUAUUCUAUCAUUAAUUAGUUGGUUAUAUUGUUAUAGUUGGUUAGCUGUGAAACAUGAAGGAUAAGAGAAGUCGGGCCAAGAAAACUAACCGAGAACGCGGUUCUAGGCGAGGCCGUGAGGGUGAACAUGAGACGGCCCCACUUCCCCCUAGGGCGUACCAAAGGGUUCGGCGGGUCGCCUGCCCAACUCUCGCCAGGACUCACUCGUUCACUUCAAUCCUCAAUUAAAAUCGAAAUAAAUCACGGGAAUAAAUAUAAUGACGAUCCAAAACUUAACGCAAAACUUAUGUACAUUACUAUCUCAAAAGGGAGUACAAACAUCGAAUAUACAAAGGUUCUCGGUUCACCACACAUCCAGCCCGUGCCAAGCACUAGGGCGAGAACCAUUACAAAACCAAAAACUAGUCUAGGCUAGUCUAAACUGAGCUCUCGUCCUUGCUCGCCUUCCCCUGUUAAGGAAAACAAACUAAAGGGGUGAGCUAAAAGCUCAGUGAGAUUCUAUAUACAAAAACAAGUAAUUGAACAAGGACAUUAAUCAUGUAAUAACAAAUAAUCCAGAAAACAUGUCCAAUAUAAAGCAAUGAUAAUGCAUUCAUUAAAAGGAUACGGGCUCACAAGGAGCUAUUUGUUCGUUCGUUCGUUCCCUUGACAUUUCACCUUAUUACUCCAAUUAUUUGAAAAUUUCCUUUUUUGAGAAGUAAAACCCUCGUGCCUGCGUUCGUUCAUUCAUCCCUUUCCGGACGUUGGCCGGACUCCACCCAUCCGGACAUGGCCGGACUAUAAGGUAAUACUCGAGUAUACCAAAUGUUCACCCAGGUCACCAUAUCGCCCGACCGAGUCCGCUUCUGGCUCGAGUCGAUCGGUAACAAGAGCAAGGGCCCAGUUCAGCCAAAAGGCUUACAUUCAUGCGCAACUAGUAUUUCAACAUUUAAUCACCGAAAAUUUCAUAUUUAUUUAGGUCGAGUGCGAUAAAGUACACACUCACCUAGCAAAAGUUCAUUUUAGAAAUCAUAGAAAACAAGUAACAUUUAAUCAAAUAGUCACGAAUAAUCACAUAGACCCAACAAUCCACUUAGUCAUAGAAACAAAACGUAUAUAGAACACUCACCUAUUUAAGCAAAAUAAUGUCCAAAGUAUCCUCCCAGAUAACACUUUCAAUCGCCAAGAAACCCUAAUAAUAGCCAAGAGAAAAUAUUACAGUUAAACCCCUCCAAAGGUUAAGUGGACCAAAGAAAAUUCAAAUAACUACUAAUACCAAGCGUAAGUAUAGUUUUCUAGUCCUCGAGCGUAAAUUUGGGCAGCAUACCCUUUGUGUUUACCAAAUUUUCAGCCAUUUUGGCUUCAUUAUUUUUCUCAAUCCAACCCAAAGUUGUCCAUGACACAAAUUCAGUUCCAUAGCCAUUCCAUAGGCUCAAUACAAUACAAGAACAAAAUUAAGUGAUAACAAGUGCGGAAAUAUAACCUAGCGAAAGAUAGAUUUGACGUGUGGUUGCGGAAAGAAAACAUCCGAGGCUACGCUUAUCGGAUUGGUAUGUAACUUAUACCGUUUCGAAGCUAAGACGAAGUCCUACAACUUCCAUGAAGGUCACAUAGUCAGAUUUCCAGGGUAACCUGGUCAUAUUCCCAAGUUACAGAACCAACUUCCAACUUGACGGCUAAUUAACCGCACUAGACUAGAAUGGUCAUAUCUCAGGCUACCAAGGUCUGUUUAAGGUGUUCUUGGAUGCGUUUAAAAGCUAAGACAGAGUACUAAAACUUUCAUGUUUUGGAAAAAAGCUAACUCAGUACGGAUCCUAGUGAAUAAACAUGAUAAACUGGAUAAACUGACCAAACGGACUACUGGGAAAAACCUUAAAACAUUGAGGGUAUUUUGGUCUUUUCACAGGCUACGUUGCUCCGAUUGAGCUGAAAUUUUGUAGCCACCUAUAAAAUACCAUUCUCUACAACUUUCAUGUUUUAUGACAAGCCCAAUUCGGCCUCUAACAGGGUGUAACAAAAACGGGCGGAAUAGGAUGAAAAUUUCCAGAAAUCCGAAAUCUUUUGGUUUCAAUGAUAGUUUUCUUAAUUUCUUGCUACACUUGCUACCAAAACCCCCUAUAUAACCUUAUAUACAACAUAUACUAACUAUACAAAAAGUUUAGGCAGAAAUUAAUCAAACUCUAAUUUACAUAUUUCAUCCAAAAAUCACCACAACAACUUGCAUCACUUGUAAUCAAACCCAAAACAUGAACUAUUUAACAUCUUAAACAAGAAUAAAAGGAUCAAAGCCAUAUAUCAGAUUUUAUACCUCAAAAAGAAGGCUUGCAAGAGUGAUCCUCCACUAUUUCUUGAAGUUUUUGGUUCCCUUAGCUUCCCAAGCUUCCAAACUUACAAUCAAUCGAUUUAGAAUUCGAUUUUAGCACUUGGUUGGUGUAAAUCAAGAAGGAAUUUGUUUUCUCUUGCUCUCCCUUUCUCUCUCUCUUGCUUGGCCAAGACCAGAAAAAAAUGAAGAAGAAAGAUGGCUGAAGUGAAGGAUAAAAAGGCAAGAAAAAAAAUUAAUUAAGGAGUCAUGAGGUGGUGACACUUGGCGCCACCAAAGCCAUGCAAAUUUUUCUCUCUCCCUUACAUUUUUGGCCACAAAUUUCGGUCAAAGGCAGCUAGAAAUGAAGGGAUAUUUUGCUCAAAUAUCAAUGAGCUCAUGUGGUAAGAAAGUGGUGGUCCAGUGGUGUGUUCAAUCGGUAGUGUGCGGUACACGUCGGUUCACACCGUUUUUCUUUAAAACACCCGUACUAGGGUUUUUACUUCCUAUUCACCAACCUUAUAUCAUUGCUCCUAAUCACAUAUUAUUUCUCACUUAAAAGUCACUUUUAAUCACCAAAUUUGAUCCUUGCUCCGUACCGAAAAAUCAUCCGGCGAAAAUCGCGAAAACCCUAAUUUGCUCCAAUUUUGAAAACGAAGAGUGAAACCCUACUUUCUAGAUUCAUUUGCACUUAUUGGAGAAUGAUUGGGUAGUAGGGCUUUAAUAAUUGAGAAAAAUAUAAGAAAUUUGCGAGUCCUCACACUCUCUCCCCCUUAAAAGAAUUUCGACCUCGAAAUUCAUACCUUCCGUCGCCUCGGAGGACCCCAGAACUUGUUGCUGAUCUACGGCAUAAACUUGUGUCGAUACUUUUGUUUGAUUUCCUCUUUCAUGAGGUUGUUUCGGUUUGGUUCCUUCCACUUGUUGAGUACUACCCUCUCGUGGCUGUUUCUUCGGGCAAUUGUUAAGUUGAUGAUUGCUACUCCCACAAAUCAAACAUUUUCCCCCUUUCCGCCAGCAAUCAUUCUCAGUGUGAUUUGCCUUUCCACAGUAUUCACAGGCCAAUCGAGGAGCUACUGUUGGAUCUUCUCGAGAAAUGUCCUUUGAUCCGAUCUGACUUCCUUUCAUGGACCUUUCACCUAAUGCUCUUAAUGUCCAAGGUGGGCGAGGUGAAUGGUUCACUUUUUGCACUUUGGAGAGCAUUGUCUUUUCUCCGAAUUCCUCAGGUGUGCUGUUGGAUAUAUCUCUCUUCCGCGUUUGAAAGGCUUUUACUUGGGCUUUCACAUCCUCAAUUCUUUGGACCUUCUCAAGAGCCUCUGUAAACGUAUUAACUUGAACUGCCGCUAAUGCCUCCUGGAUUUCCAAAUUUAGUCCUUGUACAAAUCGUCUUAUUCUCCGUCGCUCCGUAACCACCAAUUCGGAAGCGAAUUUAGAUAGUCUAGUAAAUUUGGUCUCAUAUUCGGCCACACUUAGGGUUCCCUGACGCAAGCCAAUGAAUUCGUCCUCUCUCCUUUCUUGGACUAAAGGUGGGAGAUACUUUUCGUUAAAUUCCCUUACAAAGUUCGCCCAUGUCCAUACUGUCUGUUCUCUUUCCCACUUGGCCUUAAUUACAUUCCACCACGCGCGGGCUGGUCCUUCGAAUUGAAAUACAGCAAAAUUUACUUGUCUUUGCUCCAUAUAAUUCAAAGCCGGGAAGAUAUUAAUCAUUGCCUCCAACCACUGCUCAGCUAUAUCCGGAUCAGGCCCUCGUUGAAAUUUCGGAGGUAGAAACUUUUGGAACCUCUCAAGAGCCUUAUCCUCUCCGAUCUCAGGAUUCCGGGGUUGAUUCACUGGCAUUUGGCCUUGUUGAUCUACCAGUCGUGCCAGGAUAUUUGUCAUUUGUUGCAUCGCCGUUGCCAUUUGAUCUCCAGCCUCAACCCUCGGUCCCUGUUCUUGCUCGGCCACUGUUUCUCUUUCUUCCCUCGGUUCUUGAGCUUGCCUAACUCCAUGGCCACGACUAGUUCCACGUCCACGACUACGUCUCCCGUCCAUAUAUAUGUUUUCCCUCUCUCUUUUCUUUUCUUUUCCCCAAAAAGGUAAUUUAGUAAAUAAACACAGUAAAUUGACUACAGUAACAAAUUCUAGCAUUCCAAAUACACCAAUAAACAUAUACGCACAUAACAUGCCAUAUCAAGAAGACGGAUAAGCAAAUACACAAAUACAUAUCAAGUUGGACAGAUAACCAUGUACACACAUGUAUACUAACGUCAUGUAGUAACAAUAUACAGGUAAAUCAAAAGGAAAAGGCAAAGUCGUCCCAGUAUCAGCCCGUCCAGUCCCUCACAUCACUUACUAUCCAAACUAGAUGUCCCUCACGUCACUUACUAACGUCUUGUGCUCAUUCUAGUCAGACAAAGCCUGUUCAUGUUCCCAAAAUGCAAGUCUCAAGUACUUAGCAGCGCCUCAACUCUGGAGUACUCAGGCACAAGAAUCCGAAAUAAGAUAAUCCACAUCUCGAGCUGCAGUCCCAAGAGUAAACUAUCUACAAUCGGAAUUCCUACCUGACAUACCUAUCUAUGAUCCUCAGAUACCAUGAGAAAGAUUUAAGGCCUAUAACAUUCGCAAUUCAUAGCUUCACUUAGUCCCUCAUACUUAUUCACCACUUAGUCCAGGGUCACUCCGCGCCGAGACCACGCGAAGCAGCUAUAGGUUUUAUCCCUCAAUCGCUUAACUCUCAAGUCAAAUCGUCAAAUCGAAUCUUCUUGCAGAAUGAUAUGGCACGUAACCAUCCUGAGACAAGAAGCAAUUCGCCACUGCCAUCAGUAGUUUACAUAACCGAUCACAAAAUUGGAUAGAUGAGCAUCUAGCAAACUGUUUCUCACUUUCCUUAUUGGGUCUAUUAAGGGGAUCAUACACGAAAAUGGAGCUCAAAAACCAUCUAAUUGCAUCAAAAAAUUCAUCCACGACAAACAGUUCUCCACAGAGUAAAUUAAUCUCAACCCCAGCUAUCCCUUAUCAUGCGGUGCUACAGUUAAAGAAUUCGACUUCAGAACUAAAACUUGCUUUUGAUAAAUACAAGUUAAAAUAAUAUAUAAUUUUUACUCCAAUAGUAUCUAAAAUUGGAUAUGGUGUAAACUAGUUUGGUAUCACUGGACCUUUGGUCCAGUGGUCAUCCCAAGCCUUCUUAGGCUUGGUGGUGCGGGAGGUCAAGGGUUCGAACCUUGCCUCCCACAAAAUUUGUCAUAAUAUGUGACGGUCUUCAUUGACCAGUUUCGAUAGAAUUUCUACUCACAUCGAGUCCCCUCCCCUCCCCCUAGAAUAGGUUAGCUUAGGUUAUAGGAAUUCUAUCGUAUCGACAAAAAAAGUAAACUAGUUUGGUAUGAUGGAUGAAUAUGACACAUGGCAAAGGCAAAAGUUGUGGAUAUGAGGGUUAACUGUAAUGCAGAUAAGCAUAACAUGUAAACCUGAAAAGCUAGCGGCAACAUGUUAGUUCUGAAAAGUACAAAAAAAAAAAAAAAAAAACUCAUGAGAUGGAGGAAAGAGAUGGAGAGGUUGAUGGAAGCGAUUGCAGCCAUAAAGUUGGCGAAAAUACAAGAGUUUAACAUCUGCACCUAUGAACACACGUGCAGCUAUCAUUUAUUGGUUCUAACACAUUCAGUGCCAUUCGAAGAGUAAGGGAUAUUUACAUUUGCUUGGUACUCAAUGCUAUUAACUAUGGCACAAGUCAGCAGCUUACAAGAGGAGCAACUCAAAAAAAGAUGCGUGUUGGCAUAUUCUCUAAAGAAUCCAUAAGAGGUUUCAUCCUAACAUAUUAUGGUAUUCUAUAAGUUGGAACUAACCAACAAAAAUAGAUGUUUAACGAUAACCUACAAUGCAACAGUACAGCACCUGAGAAGGCUAAUAAAAGGCAUCCAAAUAUUCUUCACCAUCUCAGUAAACAAAAAACCCUUCCAUCACAACAGUCACUGUUCCCACAAGUGGUGGAAGAACAUUAUAUCACUAGAGAUUUAACUUUCUACACGUCUGAUACACGGUGUCAAACUCAAUAAUUAAAAUCAUAUGGAAGUUUUGCAAAUCUGUCAGUGUUUUGCAGUGUUAUGUCUAUAAAGUUAUAGAAAAAAAAGAAGAUGAAGUUGUUAUAAACAACUAGCAGAAGAAACCAGAACUCACUACACUACACAUGAUAAAUGUUUUGAGGAUUAAAUAAUACCUGCGGUGAAGAUAAGAGAAUAAUGUUCCUGAAGUUCUCCAAGGUCUUUUGCUGAGAGAAGAGAAAUAAACAUAGAAGAUAUAUAUUCAGUGACAACAAACAAAGGUUUUUUUCCAACCCAUCAGAAAAGGAAAAUAUGAUGAAAAUUUUCACUGGAAAAGGCUAAAGGAAAAAAGAGUCCAGAGGCAAAGAAAACUUCAGAGAAUGCUGUCAAUCAAAUCAUUACCUUACAAAGUCUGUACAGAAAAGUAUUUUGGAGAUCUGGAUCAUCCGUGAAAGUAAGCUGAUGAAUGCAUUGUGUGCCCUUGAGCUUCUUCAAGAGCCACAAUCCGGAAUUGAAUAAAGAAUUCGAGCUGUACAAAUAUCCUAGAUGUGGACCAGAAACAGAUACAUAGGUAUAAAGGAAUCUGAGGUAUGGUUCCAUAACACUCUCUGCAAAAAGUAAAGCACAAAAUCAGCAACCUUCCAAGUUGAUCUUAGAAUUGCAUUUUUUGCCACAGCAUUCGAACCUGUUAAUGCAGUUCUCAAAAUGAUGUUCCCAAUUGAAUGUCCAACGAAGCUUAGCUUUAUACUUCGUAAACCUCCAGAUCUAGAGACCUUAUCCAUCUUCUUCUUUAUGAAAGAGACUACUUCUUGAGCUAGUCUCUGUCCCAUUUCUCUAAAAUCUCCAGAUGUUUUCUCUUCAUUAACCUCUGACAUUAAAAAUUCUACCUUAGGAUCAAUCAAAAGCCAUUGAUUACGAACUAGUCGCAAGUCCAGGUGAUGCCCCUGCACAUUUUUUAGCCCACAUGCUAGAAGGUCAGCUCUAAAUUUGGAAGAAAACCUAAUAGAUAACAUUUAUAAGACAGUCCCAUUCCUUUCUUCACGGCAUAUUUUGUUACACAAUUUGGUAGUUGAUUUAGCCGUACAAAAUAAUAUGGAUAUCAUAGUCAUAAUCCAACAGAAAAGGAAUUUAUUCAGGAAGCUAAUAGACCACUAUUUCGUAUUUGCAAUUUAUAAAAUUUCCAGUGAGCACACCAGCCAAGACAUAUGUUUGCGAGCGCAAUGCACAGAAAUAAUGCUCAAGAACUUUGAUGAAAGUCACCAAAUUGGAUCUUUCUGGCUACAACUUUCACUUAAGUUAAAAUGAGAAAGGAUUCAAAAGCAGACUAAUUGCGGGUAACAAGAAUAAAAGAUCAUAUUCUGUUAUUUUAGCCAAAAAAUAAAAAUCAGACAAACGAUUGUUCUCCCUAAUCUAAUGUACUGGAAUAUGCACAAAAGGAGAAAAGAAAUGGCAUAUAUUCAGUAAACCAAUAUUAGGGGUUUGUUAAAAUCUCAUUAAGAUACCCAGAAAAACACACGGAAACCUUUUAACUUUUAGAACAAAAACGUGAUGAAUAUUGUUGUAUAAGAACAUUUGGGCAUUAUUUGAAGAGAUGAUUUUAUUAAGGGAUAAUUUCAGAAAACUCCCUUGAAGUUUUUGACAAUUUCACCUAGUUCCCUUGAGAUUUGAAAAUUACACAUAACUCCUUGAGUUUACCAUUUUGGUAACAAAAACUAGUCAAUGGUCAAAAUUUUGAUGAAUAACCCAAAAUGCCCUCAUGAAAUUGUCAAAUUCAUACCUUCUUAUAAAAUUCUUUAAAAAAUUAUGCAAUAUGCACAAAAUCUCAAACCCACUUUCAACGCUCAUCUAUACAAUUUUAAACCUUUCUUAUUCAUACAUUUCAAAUUCGUACCAUUAUAGCAUGACCACCACUGCCAUUAGCCCCUAAAUUCUAAAACCUCAAUCUCAGUUACAAAUUGAAAAAAAAAAAAAAUCAGCACUGUUAAACUCAAACUUUCGCCAACUGUAUUAAUAUAACAUCCUAUCCCUCAAACGUUGGUGUACCAGCACAUGUUCUGUCCUUUUUAAACCUCCAGCUUACAUCUUCUAUUCAUCUUCAUAUCCUCCAAGCAAAGUUAAAAUUAAUUUGUAAUAUGUUAGAAUUGUGUUUAGGACAUAAUUAGUUAUUCCAUGAGUGACCCCUUUUUCCAUUAAAUGUUUAAUUGUGUGGUGCAUUCCUAUGCACAAGCUUAGGAGUGUAUUGUUUAAUUGCAUGAAAAUAUUAAUAUAUUAAGGUUAUUAUGGUCAUUUUAUAGGGCCAAGGGAGAGGCCAAGGGCAGUAAGUGUAAUAUUGAAAACCUCAAGGGUACUAGGUGAAAUUGUCAGAAACCUCGAGGGAGGUUUCUGAAAUUAACCCUUUUAUUAAUCAGGGUAAACGUUGUAAAUAUGGAUUAACAUGUCCUACACAGUUGGUUUUAAAUGUGGCUUGGAUGCAUGCCAAAUGUGCAAAAGAGAAUUUAAAGUUUGAAUGGAGGUUAUCUGUCAUGUUCCCAGACUGCCAGUGCAAAGAAAUUUUAAAAUGAAGGUGUAGGAAAAAUUAACCCUUUACAAAAUAUGUGCUUAAAAUCUUUCUCAAACUAUUUCUUCCGUGUCCGAACCACUUUAGAUCAGAGCUACCACAGAAGUCAAUAAAAGAUUUGAAAUAACACUGCAGAUCUGUUCUCAUCCAUCAUCAAUCUCCCCAAUAUUAAGGCAAUCUUAUUCAAGGUAUGUUGAUUUUAGUCUCUCUUUUUCUUAAAUCGUGCAACCAUAUAAAGCACACAGGUUCACAGUUUUGUCUUAAUACAAUGUAGUUACACAUAUAUGUAAGACCAUGGAUGCAACAGCUGUGCAUCACAUGGAAAUGAGGUAAAAGCACAUAAAACUAAAAUUAUUCUCAAUUAAGAAAUAGUAGCAAAGCAAGAGAGCUCAAGUAGCUACAAUAGCAUUGUCAUGUAGGAAGAAAAUAUUAAAAAUGUCUGCUGAAACUUUUGAAGGUCUACAGCUCAAAGAGAAGGAUAAUACCUGAAACCCAUGGACAAAGACAACUAUUUUCAAAACACGACCACUUUGCCGGGAGCUCACACCAGAUAAUUUGUCCAUCGCUUUGGAUCCAACUUCUGAAAGUGGGCUUACUUUGUUCUUCUGAUCCGCACGGCUGAAGUAUGAAUUUCCACUGGUUGAACGUAAUGGUGCAUUUACAGUCCGCUCUACAAGCAUGAUUGGAAUCCGUGAUGGAUCUCCAAAUAUAUGCAGGUCUUGAAUGGAUCUACUAUUGAUCUACAAAGAAGCAAUGCAAGUUCAGAUGUCAAUGCAAAUGAAGAUAGACCAGCAAACCAGAAAUAUUAUAGAGUGACCCACUCUCAUUUGGGCAAUACUUCGUCUAUGAAGCUCAGCUCGCAUAGCUGCAGUUUGGGCUGGCUGCAGAAAGCACAAUGAAAAUUUUCACUGGACCCUGCCAAUGCUUUGUCACAAUAAAUGAAGAAAAAAACAACAACAAUAUUAUGUAGAACACUAACUGCAGUCCCCAGCAAAGGAGAACUAUACAAGUACUAGAAUAAAACAGUAGAAGACACAAGUAUUGAGAAAAUUACAUCCUCAGAAAUUUUCCGCAGAACAGGUGCUCUCCCAUGAAAACCAUGGUAGGACGAGUCAUCAACAGCACUACUUAUAUAUUGAUGAGGCAUCUCAACCUUAGAGUGAACCAUCCAUAUUGACCAUUCCGCUCUCCGAUCAAUAGCCCAUUGAUCUUGUAAAUGUUCAAGAAUCUUUAUUUUGUUAGCCCUGGUCAGAAGCAAAAGAAAGUCUUUGAAGUUCAUGUAUGCAGCAGCAAGCACAGAAAAAUAGUCAGUGCAUUUCAUAAAUGUAAAACACAAAAAGCUACUCACAAUGAAAAAGCAAAAGGACACAUAAACUCUCUAGUACAAAUGGUUUGUCGUUCAUUUUUCAUCCAGUUAACGUCAUUCCACCAAUAAAUGCAGAAAUCAACAGAAUACUCAGCUUUGUGUUGAGUUAGGGAUCCCUUUUUCUGUUUUUAGGUCUUGAUUCUGUAUAUUCUAAUAGGACUUGUAUAGCAUACUUGUCUGAUAGGAUGAUGGUUUAACUUCUGAUACAUCAUCAGAGAUCAAAAUAUAUCCGAGUCUCAGAACACAAACUUCAAAAUGGCUGCAUACAGAAAGUGGUCUAACAAAGAUCACACUAAGAUGGCUGAAGGGAAAGGGACUAAAAAACCGGACGUUCUUUCUCUUUUUUUUUUUUUUUGGAGGCGUAUAAUCAAAUUUUAUUAAUUUAAGCAGAAUUUUGGCCAGAUUCUUGAGGAUCCAGUAAUAUAAGAAUUCCUAUCCAUUAACCAGUAUUUAAAAGCAUCAGUAAAUCAACUCAAAGACACUGACUAAAACCCCACUCUACCAGAAGUUCCCAAUUGUUCUAUUCCGUUGAACUCCUCCCAAGAAUUAGCCAUGUUGUGCCUUCCUGUACAAUAGGAUGCACAAUAUCAAGCAUAAACAUUCCUCUUUAGAAACAAGCAUAAUUUUCUGGUAAAUGAUAAUACUUCAGUCUACAGAACUUUGUUGAUACCUCUAUUUUCACUUGGUUAGAUUUCUUACUUAUAUUUUAUUUUAAUUACCUGGGAGCAAGAAUCCUAGUAAUUGUAGAAAACAAUAUUAGGCAUUUAUAAGUAUGGCUGUUCUACUUGUUUAGUGUUUUUAUUUGACUAUUAACUUAGCAAAGACCCCUCAAUAUGUGCUAGAUCCACCCUUCGGCUUGCAUCAAUUGUUAUGCCACAGACAACCAGUAAUAUAGUUGCAUAGGAAGCAGCUUAUGUUGGUGAGCUUGAGUUGAUACACAGACAAAAUUUUGAGUUUUUAAAAACCACGGAAGCUGAGGAUAAAAAGCAUGGCCAUCAAAAAGACUUGGACAUAGUAACAUGUAGUUUUGACUGCAGUACUUAAAGUUCCCCAAUUAGCCAAACUUAAAAACAAGUUAACUGAACCAAGCUCAACAGCUUUCAGCCCCUUGAAAUUCCAUAAACUUUUCAGCCUUGCAACUUUGUGCCACAGCCUAUUUCUGGGCUCAAACUUAAAGAUCCUGCAUCAACAUCCCAAUGCAUUUUCCACUUUCCUUUUUUUCCAAAAAAUGCAUAAUAAACAUGUCUCUGCUCUUACUUGCGCUGAAAAUAUCAUUACCAAACAGGUAGAUAGUCUAUAAGAUUGUCUUUCCCAAAGUUUCAGUAAAAUGAACUUACAUGGUUGUAGAAAAGAAGCUUUAUCUUUACAGCCUAGAGAAUUGCAGAAACAUGUGAUUGAUUUAAGAAUAUAACACAAAUGACAAACCUGUGAAACUUCGAAAACGUACUCCACAAGUGAAAUGUUUGAUUCCCAAGUAAGUGAAAUGAGCGAGUAAUUCAUCAUUAGAUAACGAAUCCAGAGUUCUAAAACUUUGAGUGUCAAUGUUUCCUUUCUGAAAGACACAAGAAAAAAAAAAAGCAUUGAAUCAUCAAAUUAAACUAUCAAAGUGAACAACAAAUCGACGAGUACUUCAAAGGAACAAAUUGAGAAUGGACCUGAAAGCCAUUAUUGUAUUCGCUCGACUCUUUUCCUGAAACAACAAGAUCAGUAUUUUCCUCAUCCCUGCUUGCAAAGCAUCCCAAAAACUCGUUAUCAUCAAGCUUAGAAGUAAAAUCAGGAAUAUCAACUGUUUGAUUAAUAGCCUUGCUGAGAUUUUGUAAUUCUUCAAUGAGCAGAUCACGAGCAGUUACAAAUGCCUUAAUAAGCAAUACCUGUUUCAAGAACAUGGACAGCAAUAGAAAGAUUCUAGGUCAGAACCAGUACAAGCUGAAGGCAAUUUCAAGUAAACUUCAAUUAGGAAAACCACUUGAUCAAAAGAUUUUUUCUAUUAACUACACAUCCAAGGAGAAACAAUCUAUUUCAAAGCACAAUUAAAGAAACGUGUGUUACAGGAAUUUGAAACUCUCAGAAAUUAUCACUAGGAUAUUUCUUAUCCACCUAUCAUGCAGAGCUUGUAGAACGGGAAUUAUUAGCUUUGACAUCUCAAUAUGGUGUUACUGAAACUGAUGAUGCAGAAGCAUUUUGACUUGCUUUUCCAAACAACCAAAACAGCAUUGAGUAUUUCAAUGCUUUUCAGGUGGUAAUUUAUUUAGGUUGGGAUACCUUUUUGAAGCCAGCUUAUUCCACGAAGCAAAGGAACUCCUUAGAAUCAAAAUAUGGCAUGAGGUUGGUAGGUUCUUAAUAUCAAUCUUAUUCAACUUAUUUACUAGAAAUACUUUUCAAGAUAAAUAAAAAACUGAACAAUACCCCUCAACUGGCUUAUUAUAGCUAUUUACCACUAUGAACAAUGCCAACAAUAAGUUUCCUUUCUAUUUGCCUCCCACAAUUUUUUCACAUACUAAGUUACAUUCACAAAGCCUUCUGAACUAUCACCUUAGUUGCAGUUUACCCUCAAAAAGUAGAUAUCCACUUGACCCUGACAGAUGUUUUUAGCAAGUUUUCUAAGCAAAUUAACAGUCAAAUCCAAUUUUUUUAUUUUAUUCGAUUUAAAAUUUCCAAUGAGUCUUCUAUAUUGAGUUCAAAUAUCUUCAGUUCAGUUUUCAUAUCAAUGAAUUUUCCUUUUUAUGAGGUCAUCUUUAAUUCAGUUCUCCACAUAUCACCAAAUUUUCCUUUUUCUGAGUUCUUUCUGUGUAAACAGCCUUUAUUCAAGGUUUUUCACAGUUUUUCCUAAAAACUAUUCUGUGGCCAUAGACCAAAGCUUUAAUUUUUCAUUCCACACCAGCAUGCAUCAUUAAUCAUGUUUUAAAAGUACUUUCUAAGUUAUAAUAUCCCAUUUCUAGUUUCCUUUACAGAUAUACUAGUGACUCAAAGUAUUAUUUUGCCACGUGCAGCAAACUCACGCUAAUUCUUGAUCCAAUCAGGUUUAGUCUCCAUGCUUCAGAAAUCUGUUUUCAUACCAAAUCAGAGUUAAUAACUAGCACCUUGAUAUAACAAGUGCUCAAGCCUUGAGGGUGCUACACCAAUUACUGAAUUCUUCAAUCCCGAAUACACUUCGUUGUUAAACAAACAUUUCCAGAUAAAUGAGAACCUGUACUUAUUCCACUAGUUGCAUACACCUAGGUUGUAGUUUCAAUGCAAACCCCCCAUAAAGAUGAUACUUAAGCAACCAUAGUUUCACAGUGGCCAUUGGUAACUUAAAACCUUAGACCUAGCAGCUAGCAGAGAAACCUAGAUUUUUAAGCCCAUUAAACACAUGUUGCCCAUUGGAUAUGCAACAUAACACUCUGUCUACCAAUCUUCUGUUGCAUGUAUCAUGAAAUUUGCCUUACUGGGUUGGAGGGGCAAUUUUUCCCGAUAUUGACAACUGUAAUAGGUACGAUUCUCACUAUAGGCACAACUCGGAUGUUACUUAUUAGAGGCCUAAUACUAGCGCAAUAGGCUUGUUAAGUAGCUAUAGAAACCAGGUAUAACAUGCAUAACUCCCUUGCCUCAGUGAUCUAACUCAAGUAUCCAUGCAGAAAAAGUUGAACCUUAAGUUUUAAAAGGAAACUUUCAACGUAUGCCAGGUAGUCCUCUUAAAUCGAUGUCUUGAAUGCAAAAGACAGAGCUGGUUGAUAGGAUUAAGACCAGAUACAAAUAUAUGAGUCUAAGCAGUAGCCAAGAACAAUUCAAGCCAAAAGACAGAUGAGAAUAAAAAUCAAAUGAAAUCUGAAGUUCCAGGAACAACACAUACUUGCUUCGAGGUAUCAUUCUUUUCGCCAGCAACUUCGCGACCUAGAGAACCACUGAAAAAGGAAACAAUCAUGUUUACUUAUCUAAAUUAAUCUCUAACAUAUAGCAAUUUGUGGGAAUACAAAGCCAAAUGCACCGAAGUACCUCUAAAAAAAAGUUAAGUUUUGGCUAGAUCGUCAAAAUUGUAGGUUGUCACUACUUAUCAGGUUCAAGAAAAAGGAAUAAGCAACAAACCUGGGUACCUGCAGUGAGGAGGGCAAAAGGCCACCUUUUAGAAGGCUGAUGUGUACGGUGAUAUCAACUAGAACUGAAUGAAAGGCAUCAAAGUGAACAGGGCAAUAUGUGUGUAGCCCCAGAAGAGAUUUGGGAGGAAGACGAAAUUCAUGAACGGCAGCAGGGCAUGCAUCCAAUGAAGCUAGCAAAUUUGAGCUGCAAAUAGUACCUAAGCAUCAGUGGCUUAAAGAGAUGUCUAGUUUUUACUCACAGAAGAAUGCAAAGUAUAAUUACAACUGUCCUUAUGCAAUACAUAACUCAAAGAACAUAUCUUUUAACUAACCUGUCCUCCAACACUGGAGCAUACAUGAGCUCAAACUUCAAUAAAACAGCUGAUGUGGAUAGACCCUAGUAAUGGCAAAGUAACAGUAAGUUGCGAAUGUUUGAGAACAGAUAAAAAUAGGACACUCAAAUUCUCUGCAGGUACUACUUCGAAUCAGAAUGUGCUAAGACUUAUCUUCCUAACCAGGUGGGAGUUCAUCUCUCUUCAAAAAUUCUAAAAGUUGCCUCCUUGGUCUGAUAUGACCCAGCCAUACAUAAUUGAUUAUGUUUGCCGUGAGUCAAGGCAACACCUCAUUGCUCAUUCAUUUGCAUUGAAAGUAGUGAUCACUUCUUUCCAAAAUUUAUAAGCUUUUGUACAGCUACUAGAAAUAGACAUAACAGACAAGACGGCAGCGGACAGAGAGACUUCUACCUCAUGUUUACUGAGAGGUAACGUGAAAGCAACCAUCAUUGACAAAAAAACAUCCUGCCUGGCAUAUCUAAUUCGAAAAGGCUGAGUUGAAAAGCUAUGGUCUGUGUCAUUGAUUCUCCAUAUUCCACAUAUGUCAUCACAACCCAUAUCAGGAGCUGCAUUCAACAAAGAUACAAACUACUAAUACUCCUUUGUUGACAUAUGUUAAACCAAAGUCAUGUGUACAGAACAAGAAGGCCAAUAUCAACUUCUCCAUUUGCACAUAGCUAGGGAUCUUUCAAUUACAUAACUGGACAAUUUCAAGGGUAACUGGUCAUGCAUUGAAUAGUGUGUUGGAGUAUAGAGAGAGAAAGACAAAAACUAUAGCUCAAGACUCUACCCUCUUAUAAUAUACGAGGAUAAAAUUUGGAAAGGAUAAUUUGAGCUUUCAAUGGAACAAAAGUGAACGCAAAUGAGUUUCAUAAAAUUUCUAAACAUAAUGAAAGAAAUUUUAGAUAACAUCUUUCGUGGAAUUCCACAUUACUAACCAAAAUAUCGCUGUGAAGACAAAUUCUACACGGCCUUCAACCAAAUUAGCAAUUUAGAAAUCUUAUUAAAUUAGCAGACUCAACAAGCUAGAUACACUGAUCAUGCAAUACCACAAGUAGCGAUUUAGAAAAUCCUCAUCAUUGACCUAAACACAAAAAUGAAUCAGCUUUAGUCAAUAAAUCUGUUCAUUGGGAAAAAAAAAACCUUCAUAUUGAACAACUCUUGAUGGAGUUCCCAAUGAGCUGUACUCAUCAUCCUCCACCUCAUUGUUAUUUUGAUCUGAUACCACCUAUGUACAGUGCCAGAAAAAGAUGAAUGAGUUAAAAGUUUAAUCGAAUUAUAAAAUUUGGUUCAUACACCGUAGGAAAGAAGUUCCAGUCAAGAUAUUAUAAUACCCUUGCUGGAAUAAAUCAAGGUUGUGAAACCGGUGAAUGUAAAUGGCAAUCUCAUGGACAGCCUCCAGCAUUGGUUGUUCAGAUUCUUUAGCUUUAGGCUCCAGGGAGCUGAGGUCAAGCAAUUGUGUCUGUUUCUGUUGAGACGGGGUUAACAGAGGCAAGGGUCUCACAUCAGUAAUAUGUAGUUUCUUAGGCGCUGAUUUGUUCAGACCAGUUAUGACCCAUCUGAGACGUCGUAAUAUAGCUGACAUUUACAAUAGUUUAUUCCAAUUCCAGAAACUAGCAUCCCGCCAACUCCUCUUUCCCCAAUCAAGAUUGUAUUAUCAUUAGCUGCUGGUAAUGGGUAAAUGAGAUUAACCCUCAGAUUCGUAGUAAAUCUGAUCGAUUUGUAAAAUUCUGGUUUGAAUGAAAUAGCUAUAGCCAAAGAGGAAGAGAGUUUCACCAAGAGAUCUCUGCAUCACCAAAGGUCCACUGGUCAAGCACUUCUAGAAACAAACAAAUUAAGCUCGGAUAGUUGUAUAGAGUAUACAAAUGAAUUAAUUGACUUUACCAGAUAGACUUGCAGUGCAUUUGUUAAUUGGACAUAAGAAAAUGAAGUUCUCGCCCACUCUGUCUCUUUUGUCAAAAUAAAAACUAAAAAAGAACAAUGGUAUCACUGCCCUUUGGAGCAUAUGCCUCCUAUCUUAGACCAUCAACAACAUUCCUUUUCAUCCAAGAAGUGCCAAGAACAUGAAAUCAUAACUAAAAUUAUGUUCCUCGAAGCACAUUCGUAAUGCAGUUAAAGACUUAAAGGCCUACGAAGAAAGAGCAGCUCGUGUGAAUUCCAUCCUUUCCCUGGGAAAGCUUUCCGUAUCAAAACCUGAGAAAAUGAUGAAAAGUCUUUUUUGACUUGCAUGCUAUCAACAAAUGGGACCCCUAAGACAUAGAAAAUGCAUAUCUGUCACAUCCAAGCCACGCCUUUAUAGCACUACUCAUCUAGGUAUCUCCUGAUUGGACCCAACUAAGCUAAGUAAAGCACUAGAUCACAAUUUUUCAACACAUUCUCUACCAACUAAAAGGUGGGUCUUGGGGCACCAUAGUUUCCGCAGACUCUGUACUCCUAAAAUCUACACACAAAGGGUGUAAUGACUGCCCCACUGUCUGAAGGUCGAAGGAAUCUCUCAGGGCAAAAUCUAGUUCUUAUUUCUGCCCUUCUUCCCCAUGAUGACUAGCAACAGGCAAAUCAAAACUUUCACUUUGGAUUUCGGACUCACAGAUGGGAAUGAAUGGACUAACCCAAAAAAAAAAAAACAUAAUACCUCAAAAACCUCUGAACAGAAAAAGGGAUCGGAGAAUCAGGGUGUGGGCAAAAGAAGCUCAGCAACAAGACAGGUAAGACCUGAUUAAGCAACACAACAAAUUCUCACAGUCAAUAUGCACUGAUUUCAAACAAGAAGACCAACAAAACUAAAAUGAAGGUAAUACAGUAUACCAGGCCUUUGAAAAAAAAAAAGAAAUAAAUAAAGUAAUUGCUUAAAGAGGCAGGAAACUAAAAGCUCCAGAAUUUGACAAUUUCUUGCAUGAAUGGAAUUUGGAAAAGAUCAUCAGUUUCACUGUUUCUCUUCUAGGUUUAAUUUGGGAAAACUAAUAAUACAAAUCCACCAAAAAGAAGAAAUCGAGAACAGAAAUUAAGAAAGAGAAACACAGGGAGCUCAUUAUCAUCACGGAGCGAUUAGAGACGAAGUGCUUUUAGCAAAAAAUGCAGAAUCCGCUACUUAUGAGACAGAGACAGAGAAUACAGCACCAAGAGCUUGACUAAACCUUAAUCCCGCAUAAGCUCAUACAUAAAUCCUUUUCAUUUAUGCAAAACAGGAACAGAGUGUGAUCCAGGAAGAGAUUUGCAGAAUAGUAGAAAAUACCAGGCUUGUGUUGUGUCAGAAAAUAGAGGGCUUGGGCUUGAAAUUGUAGUCCAACAGUGGCGGCAACGUAAUCAGAAGUGGUGGUUUUAGCGGUGGCUUGCGGCGGUGACGAGGCAGAAUUAUGAUGGUAUGGGGCCGGGUUGGGUGAGGGGUGGGGGCGGGGACAAGAAAAUGGGAAUAAACACAAAAGACAGGAAGACUUUCUAUUUUUCGUCUUGGAGCACGUGCACAUGGACACCUGUUCGGCCGUGGGGAUUGGGCACAAUGAAGUGUCGGACAUACCCAGCAUGGCCCGUCCGGCCCACUAAAGUUGGAGCUCAGCCUCGUGUUAAAUGGACUUGAUUGAAUUUGGAUCUAAAGAUUGGACCUGAUUUUAAAGUGAGCCCAAUUUGGGGAUUGCAACUUUAGUUCAAAUCAUUCACAUGUAACUAGGAGUGUAAACGAGACUAAACAAGUUUAUUUGCCGAGUCGAACUCGUGCAAGAUUUUAUUUAAAGUCUAAUUUUGGGGCACUUGUUAAGACGCCAAAUUUAUACCUAACUUACCAUGUCAUUAUACGCAUUUACAAUCAUUGCACACUCUAUAUUUAAACAUUUUUCUAAUAAUUUUAAUCUUGUUAAAAUUAUAACCAGUGCUCUCGCGUUAGCAAACCUUAAUAUAUUUAUAUAUUUAUUCUUUACAAUAAUAACAUGUUUCGUAUUUGUUUGUCUAUCUAGAUCUCAGGCAUUAUGUAAGUAUGGCCAAAUAUAUUUUGAAUGAAAACAAAUAUGUUUGGUAAAAAUAACAUUUGGCUGCAAUUAUUAUUGGUAAUGUGAAAUGUAUAGUAAAGCACAAGCAAGAAAAUCCACCAAUAUCACAAUGCCAAAGCAAGAAUUGCAAUUAGGAAUUAUUUGCAAGCUGGUUCCUGAGAGUUAUUAUUACCAAUAUCAAAAGGGAAAAAAUUCAAAAGGUAUCACUAAAUUCUAAACAAAUAACCAACAACAAUCAAGACGGAAGAAAUUCGAAAAGACUGAGAAAAAAACCCUAAACACCAAUAGGCUACAAAAUCAAUUCGUAGAAAUUCAAAAUAUAAAUAGAUAUUAUGUGAAAAAAAGGUUUAUAGAACUUAGUUAGUGAAGAUUUUUGUUGGCAUUUGACUCGAGUGUUUGUAAUGUUGAAAUGUAUCAAUGAGCUCUUCUCCUUCUUUGUAUUCUUUUACUUGACAUUUUGGUUAUCCUUGUUAGGGGGUAAAUUUGAGCUAUGGAGAUUAUGAUUGAUUAUGGAAUCGGAUAUCAGCAAAUAGUUUUAGUUGGCAAAAUUGAAGAGUUCAAUAGUGCUUAUAAUGCUGAUUAAUGGUAGUUGCAAUGAUUAUAGAAUUAUAGUGGGUAGUCUCGAAGAACUGAAACCACAGCAGGAUGAAUCAACUCGGUAGAAAUGAAGGCGAAUGGAUGAAUGAAAAGACAUGAAACCACUCCUACAUGUCAAAAAGUGGAAUGAGGGUUUGGACUAGAGUUGCACCAACAACAAACGGAAUACUACUCAGCAACCAUAAAAAAACUGAUAUAAGGACCUUAGAGGAACCAGUCAAGAAACAAACUAUACUUCAAGCAAGGCAAAGUUCAUUGAAGAGAAAGCAGAACAUAGUCUAAGUAGGCAAACUAUAUCUCUUAUGACAAAUUCUAACAGCUAAGGUACCAACUUCUAAAAUAAACAAAGUUCAAAACAAUGAAGGAGAAAGAGAAAAUGAGCAAAUAUAAAAUUAAGAAAAAACAACUCGACUGAAAACCUUUAAAUCAAAACAAUGGCAAAAAUCUUGCCAAAAUUGCUAAUGAGAGUGGAGCAAGGUACUAGCAAGAUGAAAGAAAGAAACCGUAACAAACAUAAAAGGAGAGGAACAAUAAUGAAAACUAGAUGCACAUUGAUAAAAUAUGGGUAACCAGCACUUGAAAGAGAAACAAAAGACUAGGAACAAUGCAAUGCAAUGAAAAUCCAGAUAGAUGGAGAAAAAUGCUAAAGAUGGAAGGAAAUCCAACAUAUAGAAAAUAAAAGAAAAUUCAUCGAUAACUCAAUCAACAUGAAAAGGAAGGGUGAUGGGAUAUACAAAGUAAAUAUAAGAUAAAGUAAGAGAUGAAGAAAAUAAAAUGAUGGAAGUAGUGAAUGUAACAGCCCACUUUCCCUAAGGCGAACCAAAGAGGUUAGACUGCUGCCAGCUCUCGCCAGGACUACGGAUCGGUUUACAUCGAUCUAUUACGUUUCGGAGCAUACCGAAGCACGCAAACAAGUCAAAAUCGCAAAAUAAAAAAAACGAAAAAAUCAAAGCGAAGAUGAACAGUAACGGACACGUCAGAAUCCGGCCGGAAUCUGGCCGGAUUCUCGGCCGGAUACAAGGCGAGAGCAAUCCAAAUUUUUCCAAAAUCCUUCCAAUCGGCCGGCAAUCCGGCCAGUUUCUUGCCGGAUUCCUGGCCGGAUUUCGGUCCCGUUCAUUCCCGCCAAAUUUUUUCCUUCUCCGUUUGAAAUUCUAGAUCCGAAAUCCAUCCAAUCAUCAACCAAACAUAUAUAUACAUUGAAAUUCAACUUUUACAACCAUAGUGUCAUGCCAAAACCAUCUAUCAUGAAUAUACAUACUCGGUUUGCCAAUCAACGAAAAUGAACCCAAUACACAAUAGAGUUUCAUUCGAUAAGCUAAACAAAAGCCAUUUACACUAGCUCACUUGGCAAUCGACUAUCCAAAUCAGUCCCAAAAGUAAUUAUAUCCUGUAAGGAAAACAAUGGAAGGGAUGAGCUAAAGCCCAGUGAGUUACUACACAUAAGCAACUAAGAGCAUAUAGCAUAACCUUUCAUUUCAAGUAGCAAUUAAGGAAUGAAACACAUCGAUAAAAGAUACGGACGGCUCUCAAGGCCAUUUCCACGCUUCCAUUCUUGAUCCAACCUCAUUGACCCUCCGUCAAUGUUGAAGUAACCAACCGUAGACUCUCUUCUCUCCCAUUCCUUCCACCAAACAUCGCCCUUACGGGCCCGCACUCCAAACACUUGCACUGUGGUAUUACUCGAGUAUACGGAAUCAAGAGUCUCUCAUACUAUAAGAUUCCUUAUAACUUUACCCAAGGCUCAUUAAUUGUCACGACCAACCUUGUCGGCUCGAUUCAAUCAACUACCAAUGGGGUUGAGUCAAUGAUAACAUUUGUAGUCGUUGGAUACUUGUCCAAUCGAUACUAAGUCAUGUAUUUCAUUUCAUAUAACAGUCCAUAUAACAGUCCAUAUAACUUUCCAAUAACAUAUGAAACAAUAAGUGAGAGUGAUAAAGUACACUUCACAUCAAUCCAUUAACAUACAACAUCUCGAGUUCAAAUAUCAAAAGCAUAUAAUAGCACACAAGUGAGUAGUACUCACCAAUCAAUUAAGUGCUAUUUCAUGCACUUCGUCAGGAGAUGUCGUGAACCACCGUCACGCCUAGUAGAACACGUAAAAAAUGCAAUGAGACUCGAUAGCGAGUCACAAACAAUGCCAAUCACAACCCCAAUAGGGUUUUGCAAACAUAUAUAAACAUCAUAGGAAACCAGAAAUUAGGAAAAGGCUUUAACUUAGCCUUGAUAAGAAACCGGUUUUGACGUCAUAAUGCGGUAAUGACACAACUCUCACUACAAUUAUCGGAUGGGGCUGUAAGACCACCGUUUCGAGCUAUGGAACAGGGCUACAAUAAUGUAGAAGACACUCAAUCCAGUUCCUAGCUUAACUAGGUCGAAAAUGCCAACUAACCAGAAUUCUAAACAGGUUCACAAAACACAAAAACUGUAAUCGGUAUAUCUCAGUCCAUACAAGUCAAAUGCCGAAAUUCCAAAGGAAUAAGUUAGCUAAGUCAUCCACUAACAUUUAUCAGAAGACACCAAUUCAAAAUCCAAACCAAUUCCAGUCAAAAUGGCCAAUUACUAUCGCAGUUUUUCGCAUUCUGAUCAAAGCAGAACAGCUACAGUAAACGCAUAACUCACUCUACACUCAUCAAAUGACUGAAAUUUUGUAGGCAUCCAAUCACAUCAUACUACAACUUUCAUGUUUUGAGCAAAGUCAAAUUCGGCCUCUAACCCUAUGAUCCAAAACCGGACAGAAUUGGGGAUUUAAGAACCCUAACUUUUCAAAUUUCACACCAAAUCCAAAAUUGAUUGCAUUUCACCACAAUUCACACUCACUAGAGUCAUUUCCAACCAUUACAAUUCAUCAUACAAGCCCCCAACAUCAAGAUCAUAUUAAACCAGAAAAAUUCCCAAUAAAAUAAAAACUCCACCAAAACUCUUCAAAUCAAGAAACAAAUCAUAUAUUUCAACACUCAUGCCACAUUAAGCACAAAAUAACCAUCAUUAGGUGUAGCAGAAAGGUUGAAGCAUCACUCACCUAACAACAAGAGAGAGGAAGAUGAUGGACACCUUAGCUCUUCCAAACAAAUCCACAAAACAACUCACAACCACCACUUGAAGAUGUUUUAUGGAGCAAAUCAAGGUUGGAUGGUUGGUUUGAUGAUUUGGAAAAGAUUGAAGUGUUUCUUCUUUGUACUUGGAGCAAGAGAGAGAGAAAGAGAGAGAGGAGAGAGCCGGCCAUAUGAGGAGAAAAAAUGGUGAUUUUUGGUGAAUUUUGGAUAUUUAAUCCUUUGGUCAAAAAAGUCAAAAUUGUGAAUAGUGUUUCUUAAAAAGUUCAACCAAUGAAAAGGUGACAUGUGUCACUCUAUUAAAUGCAUCCUUAUCAUUCUUUUCUCUCUCACAUCAAUCACUUCACACACCCUACUUAUCUCUUAAUACCCGAUAAACUUUUAACAGUAUCCGAAACUUAACCUUAUUGGCCGAAUUUUUCCGAACUUAUCGCACUAGUGGGUCCCACAUCCAAUAUAUAUUCUUAAUUUUCUAAAAAUUCACCAAUGCUAGAAAAAUCAUCUUAAAACUAUAAUUGCUCAUAAAAUUCCAUUAAGAAAAUAUUUUUAAGCCAGAAAAUGCAGAAAAUAUGCUAUUAAGGGGAAAUAAACCCUAGGAAUAUAAUUAGGGUUUUACGGGUUCUCACAGUGAAGCACAAAAAUAGAAAGCUAAGAACAACGAAAGAGGACGAGAGAGGAAUAAGUUAGUUACAAGUGGUGGGAACCAACCUAAAGAAUAUUUCACAUCCCAAUGAGAGUCCUAGAAUGGAAUUGUUAAGGUAUCUCUUAACAAUUCCCCAACUUAAUGAAGUGCAUUCACUUCAUUACUCAAAUUGAAAUUUCUUAUAUGAAACAAGUAAGCAAAAAUAAAUAUAAUAUGGGGAUAACUAGAUCCUCAAAUGAGAAGAAUUAAGAUGGAAGAGAAAAAAAAAAGAGUGGACUGUUAGAGACUUUAUAGAGUAUAUUAACUCAAACAACCUGAUAGACAAGCAUAUGAUGAUAGACUUACAAGUUUAAUGGAAUUACAAGUUUCACUUUUUGGCAAAAGAAUAGUGAAAGAUGUUACAGUUCAACAGGAUUUGGCAAAAGCGUUAAAUGGUAAGAACAAGAAGCCAAAGAGAAUGAAGGAUACUGAGUCUGAAGAGUUGGACGAAAGGUAUGCGAGCACAAUUCGACUCUAUGUUCCGGACAACAUCAUAAACAAUGUAAUAGACGAGGAAGAUUCUACGGAUAAUUGCAGAAACCUCCCCUGACUUUUAUAGUAAUAGCAUUGACCUCCCCUAUCAAUUUUGAAAUAGCACUGACCUCUCCUAUCAAAAGUUGGAGGCAAUUUAAUGGGCAAAAGUGGGUCAAUUUACUAAAGUACCCCUGAUAUGAUUUAAUUUUACCAAAUGAAUGUGAUGAGUACUUUCAUCAAACCCAACAAAACAUUUGUUAAUAAAAAUUACACUAAAUUAACUAUUUUUGCAUAGUUUAACUAAUUAACUAAAUAACUAAUAAUCUAAUUAAUUAAUAACUAAUUAUCUAAUUAACUAUUAACUGAUUAUCUAAUUGUUAAUAGUUAUUAACUAAUCAAACUAUUUCUAUAUAGUUAAACUAAUUAAAUAUUAACUAAUUAUCUAAUUAACUAUUAACUAAUUAACUAAUUAUCUAAGUAACUAAAGCUGUUGUCUGUCCGAAACUAACAAACUAUUUGUAUGUUAAAUUAAUUAACUAAUUAAUUGCUUAACUAAUUAACUACCUAAUUAUCUAAUUAAUUAAUUAACUAAUUAACUAAUUUUUGUUUAUCUAAUUAACUAAUUAUCUAAUUAACUAAAGUUGUUGUCUAUCCAAAACUAACAAACUAUUUGCAUGUUAAACUAAUUAAUUGCUUAACUAAUUAACUAAUUAAUUAAAACUAUUGUCUAUUCGAAACAAACAAACUAUUUGCAUGUUAAACUACUUAACUAAUUAACUGCUUAACUAAUUAACUAACUAAUUAUCUAAUUAAUUAAUUAACUAAUUAACUAAUUUCUAUUUAUCUAAUUAACUAAUUAACUAAAGCUAUUGUCUAUCCGAAACUAACAAACUAUUUGCAUGUUAAACUAAUUACUAAUUAACUAACUAACUAAUUAAAAACUAUUUGCAUGUUAAACUAUAUGCAGUACGCAUUAUCUAUUUAAAGUAUCGGUUCUUUAUGGGUAUUUUACUUUCAAACAUUUAAUUUAUGAUAAAAAACAUCAAUGUUUGUAAGUAAAAUUCAAAAAGUGUUACAGUAAUAUCAAUAUUCUUACUUUAGAUAAUUAGUUAAUUAGUUAAUUAAUUAAUUAGAUAAUUAGGAAGUUAAUUAGUUAAGCAGUUAAUUAGUUAAUUAGUUUAACAUGCAAAUAGUUUGUUAGUUUUGGAUUAGGGCUGCAAAUGAGUCGAGUCGAGUCGAGUUUUGAGCUAAUCGAGCCGAAUCUCGACUAAAUUUUACCAAGCUCGAGCUCGACGAGCCGGCAAUUUUCAAGCUCAAGCUUGACUCGAAUCAAGUCGAGCCUAGCUCGAGCUCGAAAAAAAUAAAAAAUAAUUAUUUUAUUUUUAAAAAAUAAAUAAAAUAAUAUUUUUUUCUUAAUAAAUAAUAAAAUAUUAAGGAUAUAUACGUAAUUUUACUAUGAAAAUAAAAAAUAAAAAUAUAUAUAAUAUACAUAAUUUUAUUAUUAAAUAAAAAUAAAAAAAAAAUAUAUAUAUAUACUCAAACUCGCGAGCUAACGAGCUUAAUAUUUUGAACUCGAUUAAUAUCGAGUUCGACUCAAACUUGACUCGAGUCGCUCGCGAGCGGUUUGAUUCGUUUGCAGCCCUAUUUUGGACAGACAACAAUUUUAGUUAAUUAGUUAAUUAGACAAUUAGUUAAUUAGAUAAAUAGAAAUUAGUUAAUUAGGUAAUGCAUACUACAUAUAGUUUAACAUGCAAAGAGUUUGUUAAUUAGUUGGUUAGUUAAUUAGUUAAGCAGUUAAUUAGUUUAACAUGCAAAUAAUUUUUUAGUUUCGGACAGACAACAGCUUUAGUUAAUUAGUUAAUUAAAUAAUUAGUCAAUUGAUUAAUUAGAUAAUUAGUUAAUUAAUUAAUUAGUUAAUUGUUAAUUAGAUAAUUAGUUAAUAGUUAAUUAGUUUAACUAUUAACUAAUUAGAUAAUUAGUUAAGCAAUUGUCAUGCAAAUAAUUGUCAAGCAAGUAAGGGCAAUAUUGGAAGAAAAUUCUUAUCUCACUUCUACAAAAGCUGUCAAGGAGGUCUCUGCAACAAAUUGUUACUGUUCAGGGGAGGUGAAUGCAAUUUCUAAACCUAGAGGGGAGGUCAGUGCAAAUGUCAGAAAUCUCAGGGGAGGUUUCUGUAAUUAUCCCAAGAUUCUGCAGCAGACCUUUGAAAAAAAUUGAAAAAGCUUUAUCUAAACAAAAGUUUAUCGAAUAAAUUGCAUUUGAAGCAGCAACUUUAUAGGUUAAAGAUGGAGGAGGAUGGUAGCCUCAUGUAUCACAUGAAUAUGUUCAAAGAAAUUUUGGAUCAAUUCCAAAAAUUGGCAUAGAAAUUGAGGAAGAAAAUAAGACUCUUUUACUUCUUAUCUCAGCAUUUGAUUCUUACAAAUGUGUUGUGAUGACCCUAUUGUACGGGAAGAACACUUUAGAGUUCAAGAAUGUGCAGUCAUCUUUGUUGGAUCAUAAAACAAAAGAAGACAAAUCAGGAUGUGACACAAAAAACUACAUUAAUUGUUUGAGAUAAGAAUAAAAAUGAAAAAUUUGGUGAUAAAUCUAAGGUAAAUGAUUCAAAAGUCAAAAGAAAGGAUGGAAUCUAGUGUUUUGAUUGUCAUAAGUUUGGUCAUAUCAAAAAAUAUUGUCCUCAUCGAAAGAAAAAUGAUGAGAAGGAGCAUGAUGAUAGUGAUAAAUAUGUAUCAAAUGAAAAUAUUCCCACAAUCUCUAAAAGUAAUAAUAUUUUUUCCCGUGAUGGUUGGAUUUUAUAUUAUGGAUGUGUUUCACAUGUUUGCUUCACAUUAGAUUAUUUUGAUACUUUCCAAAGAAAGAAGUCAGGUUUUGUAUUUUUCGGUGAUGGAUCUACUUGUGCUUUGGAGUAAUGAAAAUCAAAAUGCUAAAUGGAGAUAUUCAUUCUUUGGGUAGUGUGUCUUAUGUGCUAAAGUUAUGAAGGAAUAUAAUUUUUUUAAGUCAGUUAGACUCGAGAGUUAUCACUUUUCGAUUGCAAGUGGAGUUUUGAAAAAUCACAUAUGGCAAGACUAUCUUGUUGAUGAGAAAAAAUAUGGUAAUUUGUACCAUUUGAUUACUUUAAUAGGUUGGGAGCGUAAUGCAAAAAAGGGGAUCCAAUAAUAUUUCCAAAUUGCAAAUACCCGUGAGAAGAAAAAUCCUAGUAUUGGAGAGGGUGAAUUAGGCCCCUCUUGUGAAUCAACUGAAUGUUGGACUCGAUUAGUUACAUACGUUUAUCUGCUGACUGAAUCAAUUGAAAAUAAGACCAUAUUAAUAUGAGCGUGUAGUUAAGCACUAAGGCUCCGUUUGGAUUAGUCUAUUUUUCAAAAUCUAGUUUUUCAAAUAUAAUGGCUGCGUUUGGAUUCCUUGUUUUUUGAGGUAUUUUUCAAAUACUUCACUGAAGCAAUUUUUGAAAAACUACUAUUGUCGUUUGGAUUGUCAUUGAUUUUUGAAAAACUCGCAUUUUUUCAAAACAAAUGCGUUUGGAUUGAACAGUUUUUGAAAAAUACCUACACAAUAAUUCUUAGUACGGUCCAAAUGUGCAAUUGGCCAAUAACUUCAGGUCAUUGCAAAUGUGCCACAGCUUAAAAAUGUCAUAUCCGCAAUUGCAAAAAAUUAGUAGCACACUAUGACCGUAACCCUUGUCAACGCUGUGCAAUAUCGUAACUGGUUAAUGAUUUUUUUGUACACUAGCAUUCACAAACACAUAAACUAAAUCGAUGAACUGAAUAUACAAGGGGGUAGAGCAAAGUACUAGUCAGCAAAUAUAAUAUAAAGGUGCAAACCCGUAGUCGACAUAAUACAUUAACUGUUCCCAAAUUCAAAUUAUUUGUUAAAUCACAACAGGUGAACCAAAUAUAAAGUAAGAAACUGUUGCCAUUUUGGACCUAUCGGUCCAAGGCCAUGCACUGGAGUCUAGUUAUGCGCAUUCCAAUACAUGUGCGCCGCUAUUGUCCACUGAUUUUAGUUCCAGUUAUGUAUGUCCUGCUGCGACAUAUCGAUGGAUUGACCUAUUUGCACUUGCUCCCCUACUAUUUGUGCAUCUGCAAAAGCUCCAUUUGCAGCUUCUUCGUUGAAAUACUCGUUAUUUGGUACAUAAUCGUGCAUAAAUUGUGCAAAGCAUUGCUAUCAGGUACAAGCGAGAUCACGCAUAAAUGACGAAGAAGUUUCUUGGCCUAACGAGAUCAUGACCUAACCGAACCAAAGCCUUGGACAAUACGUGAGCAAUGCAUUGUUCAUGAGUAUCAUCGAGAUCACGACCUAGUCGAACCAAGAAACUUCGUUAACGGCAUGAGCAAUGCAUUGUUCAAAAUCCUUGAUCAAAAAUGAAACCUAAUAGUUCGACCGCCAUAAAAAUGUUGUCGAGAUCAAUAUCAUUCAGUUCGUCAUCCAGUUGUCCUCCUUGAACGUGCCCUUAGUUAUCCAUCUUCAGUCAACUACUCUGAACUCUGCAAAUACCCAAGCGAUCAAAGAACAUUAAGGACCAGAAUAGGUAAACACUAACUAAAGAAAAACAAAAUGCAUUUUAGACAAAAUUAACAUAGAUAGUUAACAAAUUUGUCUCUAAAGUACAAGUUUAUCAGCCGAGAAAUGAGGAAAGUGCAAGCAAUAGAGAAAAGAAACACCUCUCGAAAAAAAAUAACAAGUUUAUCAUGGCUCAAUUACGCAUAUCAUAAACUGCAGUAAAGUACUUAAAUGGGGAGGACAUUAAUGAUACGUAUGCAACACAACCCCUAUUAGCCAGUAAAAAUAGGACAAGUGCCGAAGUAGUACGGCAAAAGGAAUUUAAUUUGGCGAACUGGGGCGGUAGCAAUAGCAUACAACUAAAAAUUCAAAAUAUCCGCUGUCAAAACAAAAUUGAUCGCUUCCCUAUCAAUACAAUUACAUUUAAAGGCAACUCCACAAAAAAUAAUAACCAUGGGACACAUCCCUAAUUCAAAUCCGGAGUAAAUAAGUUCAUCCAAUAUUCAUAAACAUACACAAUAAAAUCUCAAGAAAUAUCCUCAAUAAAAAAAAUGCUGGUCCAGGGUGACAGUGGAAAAAUCACUGUACACAGCCUUUAGUCAACUCAUACUACAUAAUCCAAACCAACAGCUGAAAUUUUAACUCAGGGGGAAAAAAAUUGUAGCAGGCUGCGACAAUCGCAAUUCGGGAUACAACGAGGUGCUAUGGGGGGAACGAACCCCCGAUGUCUCACAAAGGCAAGUCGGUCAUCGUCGUUCAGGCAGGUAAACCAAAUGAGACGCUCUGCUGGAUUCUGCAGGAGAUCGGCCAUCUUCAGACGCACAUUUAUAUCCAGGUGAAGAGCGCAGAGGUCGGCUAAGGCAGCCUUUAGGUUCUCCUCAUCAUCUACUGGGGGUUUUUUACUCUUAGCGGGUGAAGAGACUUAACUGGUCAUGCCAAAGCUCUUCUUACAGCUCAAAUGUGUCUCAAUACUGUCUAAAAUUCGGACGUAUUUCUGCAAUUGAGGAGAUGACGGCGAAAAGAAUGACUCAAUUGACAUGUCCCCCGACUUGCUCUUUCCUUUACCCUUCUUCACCUUCUUUUUCCAUUUCUUAGUCACAUGAACGGCAUCUUCUUCGUCUGCUGAAUCGAUGUCCACAACCCUCUUACACCUAGAACGUCUAGCAACGUUUUCCAUUUCUAAUUUGUCGGCCGAAUUGGGGGCAAUACUCCAAAUCCAGAGCUAAAAUCGCCCGUAGCCCCCUGAUUCAUGAAAACUUUUUCAAGCAAAUGGAAGACCAGACAUGUGCGAUCGUAAAAUCUAUUGUACCCCUGGUUCACCUACAGAAGACCAAAAUAGCUUUUAAAAAUAAGGGAAAUAAUUAAAUAAGGGCAAAACAGUUUUUAGAACUAAACAGCUUUUACAAAUAAAUAAGGGCAAAAUAGCGUUACAGUAUUUACAAUUAAUAAGGGCAAAACUGUAUUUACAAUAAAUAAACAACUUUUACAAAAAGAUUAAAUUAAACAGAAAAAAAAGUAUCGGACCUGAAGUAGAUGAUUCCAGCGCUCAUCGUCCAUCAUGAAGGUGUAGUUGGUUGAGUCUCAACCCAUACCAGUGCCACGCUUCUUGAACAAAAUGUAAAGCCUAGUUAGGUUCUGAAGGGUACAAUACUUCGACCAAAUAGUGCCGCUGGGAAAAACUACUCCGAAAGUCUCAGUGAGCAUCCUAGUAAUUUGGGGAAUAACAUGGCUCCCGAUGGUAUAUGAUAAUAUUUUUCUAUUCCUAUGCAUGUUCACAAGCUGUUGUGCAAUAGUAAUUUCCAUAUCCGGCGUGAAAGUGUUUCGUUCCUUAUACGUUGCUUUUGGUUUAGGCAUCUUUGUUUUCUUAAGGAAUGUCAAAACCCAAAAAAACAGUUUAGGGUGACCUCACAUGGGAAAUUAGACACAUUCUAAGGGAAUAUUGGUACACGUGUAAGACAAUUUGAGCCUAGUCAAUUAUAACUCACCUUGAAGUAGUUAGUUAUACAAAGAUGCAAAUCGUUUUCUCCCUGAGCUGACUUCGAAGAACAAUUGUUAAAUCCCUAGUCGUUUGCAAAGCUAUGAAUAAGCAUGUUAAAAAUACGACUCUUACAGUUCUUAAGGAUAAAAAACUGAACAGAAUUCAUGAACCACAAUAGUUGCUCUUUACCUUUCGAAGCACUUUGAGUCACAAGGGGCAUCACAAUCCUAAAAAUAUGUACAAGGUACCACUAAAAUGCUAUUAGCAAGUCAAACGCAUAAAAUGUUAAAAAAUAUCAUCCAUUUUUAUGUACCAAGCAAAUAAAACAGUUCCAGCCAAGAAAUCAAAGUUCAUGUCAGGUUAUAAUAUGCGGGGAAACACUGUCACAGAUCCAAAACAACUUCACAUAAGAACUAGAGCAAAGUUUCAACCAUAUACAACUUAUCUUGCAUUCAAAACGAAACAAUUGCAGCUAAAAUAUCCUCAAUUUUCAACCGCAGGGUAGGACUAAUUAAAAUUUCAUGAGCCCACCCGAUAAAACUUCACUAAUUAAGAAAGGCAUUGGCUCAAGUACAACAACGACAGCAGAAGAUAAUAGGUACUCCAAUAGCAAGAACCAAAUAAAAAAAUCCAGUUUCGAGUCGCAGGGACAAAUAUUUCAAUAAUCCAAUUGCAAUAACCCAAGAAAAAUAGCAGUGGUGCUUAAUGUGUACAACCAAUUGAUCAAAUUUCUUAUCCAAAAUAAAAGUGUAGGAACAACACCCCAAUUAACAGAUAAUUGGCAUUAAUAUACGUAUCAAUUUAAGCUUACAACAAUAGGAAUUUAUCAACUAUCUAAUACACAAAAUAACAUUGAUAUUCACCCAGUUAACAGGGGUAGACAUAUACCAUGAGCUUCUAAAAAAAAUCUCCUAUGCACGCCAAACAAGCAAAAGCAGCAAAGCUAAUUAUUUGCCAAUAUGGUGGUAUGUGUACCCUGUGUCCAAACUACUAAUUGGGCCCAUGCUCAUCACAUAUGCGGGGAAGAGAACAAAAGCAAAUAAAUGGUGAAGUUGCCAGUGUGAAUUGCAAAAAUUGAGGUGCCAAACCAGAACUUAAGAAAAUCAAAAGUGCCCUCACCACAGAAUUUCAAGUUUAAAUGAAGAAGCAUGAAUGCUAUCUACAGCUCUAAAAUGUAAUUCCCAAUAUGUCAUACGACCAUUUCAAAAUCGAUCCUCUGUCUCUACCAUAUACUAUCAGCACAAUAAUUUUCAGAGGCUUUGAUAAUACAUUAAGAACUUCUUCAAAUUACUGUAACCCUAAUUCAUACGAAUUAGGCCCCAAUUAAGUGAACAAUACAACGAACCUCAACGACGCAACAGCUGAGCAGCGGUGGAACAACUCUCCUUCGCUGAGCAAGUAGACGCGCGGUCGAAAUGGCACUUCCAAGCUGACUAUGCUUCCCCAAGUUCUGAUAGUGGCUCCUGCCGCUUCUCUUUGGUGGUCCCAAGCGGAUACUCAGCUCAUUCUUCACAGUUUUGCAAAGCCGAAGAUAAGUUGCAAAUGCUUUUGGAGAAGCUAAGAUUGAACUUGUUCUAGACGCACGCCACCGAACAUCCAAGGAUUAGAAAUACAUGAGCUGAAAUGACCGGUGAUUUGUAGAGCUUUCUUGAACCUCAGUUGUUGCUGCUUAGGAGAGGAAAGUGAAGAGGGAUACGUUUUAGGUGAGGAAAUUGAAGGAACGGGAAGUACAAGAAAGCUUUGUGAAAAACUUGUUUUCCAUUUUGGGCUGCUAAACAGUACCGUAUAGAAGGAGCGAGACUGUAGCAUUUUAAAUACAUCCAGUUGACUAUAAUUUGUAUUUUGACUACAAAAACAGUGGAUCCAAACACAACAAAUUUUAAAAAUAUUUUACAAUAUAUCAUAUAUAAAAAAAUAAAAGCAUCUCAUUCAAAAAUAUAUCAAAAAUAACUCACAAAUAUACAACAAAUUUUAAAAAAAAUUUACAACAUUUUCUAUCUAUCACCACCACCACUACCCCUACCCAUCACUGCUACCACCCUUUUUCUUUUUCCCCUCUUCCUUCUCUCUCUCCUUCCUUCCCUUCCCUUCUUCUCCCUUCAAUCUAGCUUCAACUAGAUCGUGAUAAGAAGGUCGUGAACUAGUCGAAGCCAGAUCGAGGAAGAGUGAAGGCUGGCGAGAAAGAGAAGGGGAGAAGAAAGAGGAAAGAAGAGGAGAAGGAAAAGAGGGGAGGAGAAGAAGAAACAGGAAGAGAGAAAGGGAGAAUAAAGGAAGAGGAAAUGGAUGGUGGUAGUGGUGGGCGGUGGUUGUGGGUAGCAGUGUUAAUUUUUAAAAUGUAUUCUAAAAUUUUUUUAAAUUUUAAAAGUAUUCCAAAAUAUAUUCUAAAAACCCUCCCUACACAUCACACAAAAUAUUUACAGUAAAAGGUUUUCAUCAGGGACGGAGCCAGAAAUUUAUUUUGGGGGGGCUGAAGUGUAUUAAAAAUUUUUUUUUGUGACGAAAUAAAUAUAUUUAAUAAGUAAAAUUUAGAAUCAAUAAUUAUAAAAAUAAUAAAAACAUAUAAUUAUACAUACCCAAAAAUUUGUUAUUGAUUAACACUUGAAGUAUUGGUAGUUGUUGCACUCGAAUAACGAAGAGGAGGCAAUUGCAUUCUGCGAGUCUUCAACGUUGCAAUAUUUGCUCAUUUUCAAUUGUUGCAAAAAUAUCCUUCUCGAUGUAUACAACCAGACAGUCAUUCAUCCACUCGUCUCCCAUUUUGUUGCGCAAAUCAGUCUUGACAAUAUUCAUUGCAGAAAAUACUCUUUCAACAGAAGCAGUCGCAACUGGUAGAACUAAUGCCAACUGGAUCAGACGAUAAACCAAUGGAAAAACUGUAUUUUUACCAGUUUUAACCAUUUGUUGAGCAAGACUUCCCAAAUCUCCAACUUCUGAAAAUUGAGGAUCGCGUUGCACAUUAUAAAUAUAAUUUCGAAGUUGAGACUCAAGAUAUAAAUAAUCGUUACUUGAGAAGUCUUCAGGAUAUAAAUCAGCAAGACGGAGUAGUUUCUGCACAUUGAAUUGAGAAAAGAACUUUUUGGAUCAAGACAUGCUAUGCAACUAAGCAAUUCCGUGCUAACUUCCGAGAAACGAUUAUUCAUCUCUUGUAUAAUUAAAUCAACAACCUGACAUCACAACAAUAAUAAAAUUAAUAACUAAGAAAAUCUGCUAACAAGUAACAAAUGUAAUGAAAUAAUAAUUUCAAAAAUAAUACCUCACAAAAAAUUUCCACGCGAUAAUGAUGAAAAUUAGUGAUGGUUUGACCUCUGCGACUGCGCCUGGCAUUGCCACGGAUUGCUAUACUGUCUUCCAUAUCAAUCACGGGAAUCAUAUUCAACUCACAAAAAUUGUUGACUUCAUCUAAAAUUAUUUGCCAUCCCUCUUCCCUAAAGUCUUGCAAUUGAGAUUUCAUAGUAUCAAUCAAACUCAUGGCUUGGACAAUAUUUUGAUCCCUUUGUUGCAAAACAAGUGACAAGUCAUUUGUGAUUCCCAAUAAAUACUUCAUCAGGUGCAAUGCAAAAACAAACUCAUAAUCAUUCAUUCUAUCAAUCAAACCCCUGGCCAUACCUCUAUUGUCAGAAGUGGUGGCAUCAUCUUGUAUAUUUCCCAAUAUUCCAAUCACCGAAGCCCACAUAGAGGAUAGACGAAGUAAUGUUAGAUAGUGUGAUCCCCAACGAGUAUCCCCUGGUCUUGCUAAACUAGUUUCUUGAUUUUUGCCUUUUCCACUAAUAAUAUCUCCACUGUCUAAAAGUGUAACAAUCUUAUCAUGUUCUAUUUGUCUUAAUUGAUCUCUCCUUUUACAUGAUACUCCAGUUAAAUUGACAAUCAUAGAGACAUAGACAAAGAAUUCACUGACAAUGAUAUUUCCCUUAGCAACAGCAACAAUAACUAACUGGAGUUGGUGAGCAAAACAGUGAAUAUACAUCGCAUAGGGAUUUUCUUGUAAUAUAAGGGCCUUCAAACCAUUGAACUCACCUCGCAUAUUUGAAGCUCCAUCAUAUCCUUGACCUCUCAAUUUGGAUAAUGAUAAUCCGUGUUGCGCGAAUAAAGAAUCAAUUGCAUCUUUCAAACAAAGAGAUGUGGUGUCAGACACAUGUACAAUUGCAAGGAAACGUUCAAUCACACGCCCUUCUUUGUUCACAUAUCUCAAAACAACUCCCAUUUGCUCUUUCACUGAACUGUCUCGAGACUCAUCAACUAUUAGGGAAAAAUAAUUGUCUCCAAUAUCAUUGAUUAUAACACUUGUGAUCUCUGAGGCACAAGCAUGUGCCAGAUCUUUUUGAAUCAUUGGAGAAGUUAGUUGAUUAUUUGCAGGAGCAUUUUGAUUUACAACCUCAAAAAUCUCAGUAUUUCGCUGGCUAUACCACUCAAACAAUUCAAGAAAAUUGCCUCUAUUUGAAGAACUAGUUGACUCAUCAUUUCCACGAAAAGCCAAUCCUUGCUUCAAAAGAAAGCGGGUCACAUCCAGAGCAGCAGUUAAACGGGUGCGAUAUGCAAUAUCUAUUUCGCGCCCACAAGAUCGUAGCACAUUUGACACACUAUGCCUUUGAUCUUGAAAACUUUCAAACUGUAUUCUAGCAUCAUUAUGGCAACUAUUCACAGCUCCAAUAUGUUCAUUAAAUCUUUCCAUUGCCUUUUUCCAAUUAUUGAAUCCCGUUUUUGUAAAGGCAUCCUCUGCAUAUCGACCUCCCUUAUUUUGUGUUUUGAAAAGAAAGCACCAAAAGCAAAACGCCGCAUCUUUCGAUAUGCUAUACUCUAACCAUACAAACUUUUGAUACCAACUAUCUUGGAAACUUCUAUGUUGUUUACCAAAUGAUGUUUUUGGAUACAUAUGGCCAAUCGGUUGGCAAGGUCCCCUAGUCAAAUACUCUCUUCGGACAUGGUCUCGAAGAGAAAUAUCAAAUUUCUCAACUGAUUUUCGUAAUCCCGGAUCACUAACAAUAUCAUUUAAAUUCAAUUCCACACAAGAUUGAUUUUGAACUGGUUCACUAAUAUUAGGCUCAUUUGAAGAUUCACCACUACGGACUCGUUUAGGUUUAAAGAAUCUCUCCAUUUUCUGUCACAAUUAAAUAAUUGUGGUUAAAUUCAAUAAAAUUAUGCAAUUCAAUAAUCAAUUAAUUUAAAAUUCAUAUAAAUAAUUCUUUAAUUUAAUAAUAAAUUCAUAUUACUUAUAUUUCUCAAUUUAUAAAAUUCAUUAUAUAAAAUUAUCAAAAAGUUAAAAUAAGGUACAACUAAAUACCCAUAUAAUCUCUAAUUCAAUCUCAUAAAAUUUUGAAUUUAUAUUUACAUUCAAAAUUUCUAAUUCACAUAAUUAAUUCUUAAAAUUUCAAAUAUAAAACUAACAAAAUUUUAAAAACUAAAUACAACCUAAAAUCUAUACAAUUUCUAAACUAAUUUCUAAUUUAAAUUUAAUAUCAUUAAAUUUUUUAAUGUAAUCUUUCAAAUUCUUAAAUUACAUUAACAUAAACUAAAUAAAAAUUAAUCUUAAUCAAAUUAAUAUCAAGAUACUCAAAAUUCAAAAAUAAUUUAAACAUAUAAUUAACAAAAAUAUAAAGAUGAAUAUUGUAAUUUAAACCAAAAAACUAACCUAAAAGAUUUAUGUGAAUGGAAUGGUGGAGAGUUGGAGUCUUGGAGCCUUGAAUUGAAGGCUUGAAGCAGGAUGGUAGAAUCUCAACUGAAGCUUCUUGGAGUUCUUGGAGCCUGGCGUCUUCUUCUUGGAGUUGGAGUCUUGUUUGCCCUUUGGCACUGGCGGCGUAUUUUUUUUCCCCUCAUUAUACAAAACGAUGUCGUUCCACUAAAAGUGAAACGACGUCGUUUUGUAUUUAGAGGGCAAAAAAAAAAAAAUUCAAAAUGAAAUGGGUCAUCUUCUUCCUCAGCAGUCAGCACGGCAGCGGCUUUCCAGCUCUUCUUCACUUCCUCUGCAGCAUUCAUGGAGCCAUGGAGGAUGGUAGAUCUGGAUCACCGGGGGGCUGGGCUGGGCUGGGCUGGCCGCCGGAAUCCCCUAUAUAUAGGGGGUUUUCCGGCGGCUUGGGGGGGGGCUUAAGCCCCCACCAGCCCCCUUAAAUCCGUGGCUGGUUUUCAUAUACACUGUUAUAGUAAAAAAUUUCAAAAGCACCCCCAAAAAUAGGUAAAUUUUGAAACAAUCUAGUUACUUUUCAUCUAAUCACAACACGCUCAACAUAGCAAAUUAGUCUUAAUUCGUCAAUUGCAAGAACAAGGCAUAGCCAUUAGGUUAGCUUUGAUCAAAGCAAGGGAGCUACAUGACUCAUUAAGCGCUCAUUUAGUUGUAUAUUUAUUCCUUUGGCAAUGUAAUUAGCCAUUAUAUAGGAAAAUUUACUUGUAAACUUAUGAAAAUUAGCAAAGGUUGAGAGAGAUCGAUGCUCGUAAUACCCUAACCGGAAAUUUUUUUGAGAAGUACUAAUACAAAUUUGAUGAAUGAGAUUUAUUGUGAAACGCAACUGAAAAGCGCUCAUUUGUUUUUGUUUUGUUUUUUGGAUAGGGGUGGGGAUGGGUUUUGGUUGACGCGGGAAACCUGAAAAGCCCAAAGACCAUCAAGAAGCCGAAGGGAAGGGCGGGCGGGGGAGGCAGAGGCACAACAAGUUAACAAGUAAUUGAAGGCGCUAUGCAAGGGCAGUUGCGUCAAACAAGUUUCAACACUAAGGAAGGGGGAAAAGAAAAAGGCGCAUAAUUCAUAACAGACAGACACGGACAGGACAGCUACUACUUAGUAGUGCAGCAGUUACUGGCUUACUGCUCCUACCCCGACACCUUCUCCCACCCUCUUCACUUUGGUCUGAAGAACCCAAAACAAACAACUAACCAUUCGCUUCGCUGCUUUUAAGGAUUCUUCUUCCCCAAUGGCUGCCGAUGAGGUAAUGCUAAUACAAAUCAAAUCACCGCUUUCACGCCUCUCGACCACCCCCACCACCACAACACUUGCCCCACUUCCAAACCCCCACCAACUACCUAUCUCAACUGAUUCUUUAACCGUUUUUUCCCCUUUCAAGACGGGCUUCUUCUUUUUCUUUUUUUUUUUAAGUUACUUGUGUUUUUUCUUGGCUUUUACCCUCAAAAUGGAAUCUUUGUUCUUUUGAUUCAAUAUAUUUUAUUAUGUAGAAACUGGGGGCUUUGAAGAAGGCAUAUGCGGAUAUCAUACUGAACACGGCGAAGGAGGCGGCGGCCAGAAUAAUGGCGUCCGAAAGAAAGGCGCAGCGGUUUCAGCGGAGCUUCAGAUGGCCAAAGAGGAGGCCUUGCGGAUGCUCCUGCGCCUCAAGCAGAUGAUGGAUUCUAAGGUUUUUCCUCUCAAUAUUUUCAUCAUCUGCGCCUCAAGCAGAUGAUGGGUUUUUUUUGUUUUUUGUUUUCCCUUUGGUGCUUCGAUUCUGUUCGUUUUCUGGAUGAUGUUUGAUUUCUAGAUCAUUUUGCCGGUGAUGAUGACGGGAAAAAUACUGUCUUUCCUUCUAGAUUGCAAAGGUUGAUUCCAUUUACAUUCUUUCUGGACCAUUCCUUUCAGAAUUUAGUUUCAUCUCACUCGCUGUCUCUUUUUUUUUUUAAGUGCUUCAGAAAUUGAAUUUCUUGAUACUUAAUCCAGCACAGUUGGUCUUUUACUGGCUUCUGUCAGUUUCCUUUGAUGCUUUCCCGUGGAUCAUAUCAAUUCCCUCCUUGCUAAAGUUGACUAGUUUGUUAGGAGGGAAAAAUACUGAAAUUGGUUGUCACUUUGUAUACUAUACAGCAUGUAAUGAGGCUCAAGAAACCAAUUCCUUUCAUUGGUUCUCCUGGUGUUUAAAUGGGAACCUUGAAUUUGGAUGUCACCUAUUAUUGUGGAGCUUCUGACCGAUGAGAAUUUCAGGUUGAACCCGGCAGCUAUUGCUAGUUAAUCCAAACAAACUUGAAAAGCUUUGAGGCUAUAUGGUGUUGGAUAAAAUGGAUAUGCUGUAAUUUCAUUUCUUGGACAUUCAAGUGCAGGACAUAUACAGAUAUCCAUAUAAUCAAAUCAUCAAGUGGGACUGGUAUUCCUACCUAAAGGCAGGCUUCUUGUGGGCUAAUCAGGGCAUCUACCCCACAAAGAAGCAUUAAUAAUCCUCAAUUGUGUUGAGAAUUCACUAUUGAAUGCCUAUUCUGCCGCAAAUUUCUUUCUUUUUUUUAUUUUAAGAAUAUCUUUUACCUUGCAUUACAAAAUUGAACAUUGAUAUGGGCUUCAGGGCAAUAGCAACUUUAGUGCUGUUAGUCAAAGUGGAGUCACCAGAAAGUUUAGAUAAGUUAUUACUGAUGUGCUUGACUUUUUGGCUGAUUCUUCUGGAUGAAGUUAGUGUAGAUUGUUUGACAAGUAUAUGCUUUUCAUUCCAUAUUUUUUUUUCCUACUUGUGGCAAAAUCAGUAAUAAGAUUAGAUUGCAAGAGUCACUUUUAAAUUCAUCUAUUUUAAUGAAAAUGUAUACAUUGUCUCCUUGGAUUUACAUUUUAGCCCCCUUUGUAGAUUUCUGAUGCAGAGUUGACAUCAUGAGUCAACAGAAAAAGAUUGAUGAACUUGAAGCUCAACUCCAAGAAGCUGAGGAUAUUGUUAAAGAUCUCAGAGAGGAACUGAGAGAAGUGAACAUUGAACUGGAGAGGUCAGAAACAGUAAAGAGAAGCUCCUGGAUGAUUGGCAUGCUGUGGCACAAAGAGAAUAUCUGAAGAGAAUGAAUCCCACUAUUCCAGUCUAAUGCACUCCCUCCCAAUCAAUCAGAUCUCGGACAUGUUGCAGCUGCUGAAUGAGAAGCAUGCAUGAGUUUCAGAAAAAUGAGAGUUUUAAAUUCUAUUCUGGCAUACCUCAUGUGGGGAAUUUAUACCUUGGAUGUCCAGAUUUGCCCUCUAUCAUUUUGAGAAGCAAAGAGCCUGAGCUGUACAGAAAUGGGUGCACUCAGAGAAUACGUGCAUCAGAAGGAAACUUUUCGAAUAUGCUUUCUGGGAAAGUACAUAAAAGGAAAGAUGAGAUCUCUACUCUAGAAGAUUUAGGUGGUAAACAAAUCUUUUCAGUACCUAACUGUAGCUUAGGAAUUUGAGUAAUGUUGAGAAGAAACUAGAGGCAGAUAGCCAACUUGGUAGAUGGAACCCCGCCCCAAUUUUUUGUGUCAAGAAGAAGAGAGCUACUAGAUAUAGGAAAAGGGCGAUUACCUCAUCUGGAUGUUUUCCUGAUCAAUUUCCUAGACCUAAUCAAGUUCCUGAUGUUUCUUGUGCGGCAACUCAUCUGAUUUCUGUGAGAAGUGAUGUUCAUUUUGAGGAAAAUAAAUCCAAGAUGGUGUCAAGAUUAUCUUCAGAUGAACCUGAACCAGGGUUGGAGGAGGAUUGUGCUGAAACUUCUGAAAAUGAUAUUGAGCUUGGCAACUCUGCUGCUGUUCAUAGACCCGUGAAUGAAAAUGAAGGUACAGAAAAGUUGGUCCUUAAGGAUUCUGCCGGGAGUUCGGUGGCUACAGAUGGUGAAACAGAUCUUCAAAAAUCAAAUAUUACAUUGCCGAUAUAUGAGCCAAAUGUACCUACUGUAGUGGAUAGGGUUGGUAAUCAACCUAUCCAAGAAAGAAUAAUCAAGUAUACAUUCCAAAGGAAGCGAAAGAGAGAUUCUUUGAGCAAAUCCAAUGGGGUUGUUUCUUUUGAAAGUGAUACUUCUAAGAGGCGAACUUUGGGGAAGAAAGUGAUCCUGUGGAGCAGGAGAAGUCAAACUUAGUAACAGAAUCCUCUCGACAUUGUGGGCGGUUAGCACACAUUGCUCAUCAGGUUGGUAUUUUUUGUUGGCUACAGCAUAUGCGUAUUUGGCAUAUCUGUAGCAAUGCAUGAUUCAGUUUCUUUUGUUCUCAGACAUAAGGUUGUAUUGUGUAAUUUUAAAGCGUCUCUACUUGACUUGGUGAUUCUACAUCAUUGGUGCUUAUCAGCUGGAAAUUGUAUCUCUUAUUUCCAUGUUUUUGAUUUAUUUGAAAUUCAGGCACACGAGUCCAUAGUGUUAAAAUCAGGGUUUCCUGUAUGAUUUCUGACUGACUGUUAUCGUAAAAAACUCUUCUCGUAAAUCACUUUUGAUUACCAAUUGUCAAUUCAUGCAUUAAUCCUGGUAUUACAGAAUUUAGACAACAAACUUUUUCUUAACAAUCGCUGUUGAGAAGUUACCUUUAUUUUUGUGGCAUAAGCAUAUAUUCAUUUUUCUGCUUUCCUGACACCGGACCUGCAUGGCGCUUGCUUUUGCCAUUUUUUUGUGGGGGUGGGGUUGGGGGGGGGGUGAAGCAACUGAAUUUACUCCCUUUUCUUCAUCUGUUGCCUCUGUUCAAUUGUUUGACUGAUUGUUGCAUUUGAAGUUCUGUUAAACCGUUUGGGUUGAAAAACUUUUUCUUCUUCAUGGUGGUUAUUAGAAAGUUGAGGUGGCUUGGUUUCUUCUAUUUACUAUCAACUAUGUAGUUUGUGGCCAGCUAGAGAUUAAAGUUUUCUGACAAGAUGUACUCUUAUUACCUUGAAGUACAUUAAAAUGUUUGAAGCACAAGGUAUUUGAUCCAGUUUUCUCAGUGAAUUAUGGUAAUCAUGGUUUAUUGUCUUCAAAGAAUCAUGUCUAUACUUCUCUUGUGACAGUCUUUAUAAAUUGUAGCAUGUUCUCAAUUGUUUUGGCUCUUCCACUCAUCAAACUCUAUGACUAUCCAGGAAAGAGACCUAUAGGAUGAUUAUUAAGAUUUAGCAGAAAAUUAUUGGCUGCUGUUGGGCAAUAUGCCUGCAACUGAAUAACAUUGACCUCUUCACUUACAGUAGUACUUCAUGGGUCCUGUUUCUAAAUUCACUUUUUUGGGGAUUAAUCCUUUUUUUCAGAAGUACAAGAAACGUGGAAGUUUGCGCUUGAGUUUCCAAUUUUAGCCUGUCUAAUGAGUAUUUUGGCUAGAAACUACUGAAGCAAGUUAAAGUUUGCGGUGCCAACUCCUUAUUAUCUCUAAGUGACUAGGCUACUUGUGAUUUGCAUGUUCCUGAACUUCAUUUCCUUUGUUUCAGCAUUGUCUUGCAUGACUCCAUUUGUGGUUCGUGGAAAUGUUGAUUAGCAUGCCACCACCCGAGUCUUUUUUUAGUCUUCACUUCAUGCUUCUGCUAUCUAUAUGUUUCUUUGUUGAACCCGCUGCAGCUCUCCUCUUGCUAUCUAUGUGAUGAUUGACUUUGUAGCUCUCCUCUUGCUGGCAGCUUAUAUCUCUGUCGGAGAGCAAAUGGUAGCUGUGAAACACUCAGUUCCAUGGUUGAUUGGAUUUUAAGCUUAAAGACAUUGAGUGAGAGGGUGAAGAAGAAACCAGCCGGUGUCGUGCAAUCUAUCAAAUUCUCCUUGGUUGGUCUAACAUGUGGGCAAUCUCUUUUGAUCAAGAAACGGGUUUUGAAAUUUCUUUUUAUUGAAAAUAAUUUAUGGAUGACUCGUACUAGUAGUAUAUGAUGUAUGACUCACUAUUGUAGCACUACUAUCGUUUGUUAUAUCUCGUUUUUAUUAUUUUCUUUUUCCCCUUUUAUUUGCCACAGCUCCAAAAUUACUUUUGCGGAAAGGGGAUGUUUCACUUUCACCAUGUGUCUGUGGAUUGGGUUCUUUUGAAUAAAAUGCAUGGUUAUCUGGGAGUGAGUAGUAGUGAAACAGCGGGUUUGUGUCAGGCUUCAACUGUCAUAACCCUAAAUUGGAGAUAGGAAGAAGCUCGGAUGAGCUUAGUAAGGAAGAAGAGGAAGAAAGUACAGAGAGUAUGAUGAAUAGAGAGAGAAAAUAGAGAAGAGGGAAAUUGCAAAUGUUAUUUCUCUGAUGCUUUUCCUACCAAUCUUGCUGUUACAAAUAGGAUAGGCUAACUACCUCUAACUAAUUUCUGUUACAACUCACGCGCCUGAUGCCAACUGAAGAAAUCACUCAUACGGCACCGUUCUACUUAUUCUUCCUUAUUACUAACAUUUCCCCAAACGACAUCGUUACAAUCAUUUGUUAACUUUUGGCUUAGCUCCUCUAUCCUGACAUUACCUCCUGCUCAAAAAUUUGUCUUGUCCUCAAGACUGGAAAUGAGGAAAUUGAGAGUGUAUGAAAUCUUGGUCUUCCCACGACGCUUCCUCAGGUUCCAGCUGAUACCAUUUGAUUAAGAACUGAAUAACUGGUUGACCAUUGCGCAUGAUGGCUCUCCUCUGCAGCACAGACUCUGGUUGCAAGGGACACUGAUCUGCAUUGUCAAACUCCGGCAAUGCCCCAGACACCUGUUGCACUGGCCCAAUCUUUUUCUUCAGUAGGGAUACAUGGAAAACUGGGUGAAUUCUGGCUCCUGCAGGUAACCUGAGACGAUAUGCUACUGAUCCUACUUUGGCUUCCACCUGGAAGGGUCCAUAGAAUCUGGCAGCCAGUUUAAGGCAUUUUCUGAUAGCAACUGUCUGCUGCCUAUAGGGUUGUAAUUUGAGAAAGACCCAGUCUCCUACUGCAAAAGAUCGCUCAGUACGCUGUUGGUCAGCAAAGAACUUCAUUCUUUGCUGUGCCUUAGUUAAGUGAUCCUUGAGACUACCAGAAAUUCUCAUUCGUUCCUGAAGAAGCUGAGCUGCUGCAGGUAUGAUAGUAUCCACAUAGGGACCCAGUGGCAAGGGAACAGGCUUGUAACCGUACAAAGCCUCAAAUGGGGUCAGCUGCAAACUGGAGUGGUAAGAAGAAUUGUACCACCAUUCUGCCAUUGCUAGCCAACUGCUCCAACGUGUUGGAAAUUCCCCAGUCAUACACCUGAGAUAAGACUCAACACACUGGUUCAAUCUUUCACUUUGCCCAUCGGAUUGGGGGUGGUAGGCUGAGCUAUAAUGCAAGUCAGUUCCCACCAAUCUAAACAGUUCCUGCCAAAAGGUGCUGGUGAAGAUCCUGUCUCUGUCUGUGACAAUAGACUCUGGUAGCCCAUGCAAUCUGAAAAUGCUAUCUAAAAAGAGUUGAGCCACUUUCUUAGCAGAAAAUGGAUGGGAUAGUGCUAUGAAAUGUCCUACCUUGGUCAGUCUGUCAAUGACCACCAUGAUAGUAUCAUAACCCUGAGAGUUGGGUAAACUCUCUAUGAAAUCCAUUGUUACAUGUGUCCAUGCCAAACGAGGAAUAGGCAAGGGUUGUAACAGGCCUGGCAGGUGUACAUGUUCAGCUUUGUAUCUCUGGCAGACAUCACAAGCCUGUAUAAACUGAAUAACCUCCUGCCUCAUUGUUGGCCAAUAGAAGAGGGAUUUAAUCCUUUGCCAACACCCCCUUUGACCUGAGUGGCCACCUACAGCAGAGGAAUGUAAUGCCUGUAUAAUCCUGGCUCUCAGACCAUUAGUUGACCCCACAUAGAUUCUCCCAUUGUAUUUCAGCAAAUCACUGUUCCAUUCAUACCCUGGAUGUGAGCUAGGAUCCAAGAGCAACUGGGAGAUGAUAUCCUUGCAGUGAUCAUCUGAGAGGUAACUUCCCUGCAGUUCCAGUAACCAAUUUGGCUUAACUGUUGUCAAGGCUAGACAUGACCCUGUGGUAGUGAUGUGAGGCUGCCCCCUUUCGUACAAUCGAGACAAAGCAUCUGCUACCUUAUUUUCCACUCCUUUUUUGUAUUGGAUUUCAUAAUCUAGGCCCAGAAGCUUAGUGAACCACUUGUGUUGUAGAGCAGUUGUAAGCUUCUGAUCUAACAGAUACCUUAGUGACUGAUGAUCAGUUUUGAUAAUGAAGUGAUAUCCAACAAGGUAAUGGCGCCACUUAGUCACUGCCAUUACCAAAGCCAGCAACUCCUUUUCAUAGGCUGAGAGUCCCAGGUUUUUAGGUGACAAUGCCUUGCUAAGGAAAGCCAAGGGAUGUCCUUCCUGCAUUAAUACUGCGCCAAUUCCUCCUCCACUGGCAUCAGUCUCAAUGGUGAAUGGUUUCUGAAAGUCGGGUAGUCUAAGAACAGGUGCAGUACACAUGAUGUUUUUCAGUGCAAGGAAAGCCUCUUCAGCCUCUGGAUUCCAUGCAAAGCUAUCCUUCCUUAGCAAUUCAGUCAGGGGUUUACAAAUGAUGCCAUAGUGCUUGAUAAACCUUCUAUAAUACCCAGUCAACCCCAAGAAUCCCCUCAAUUCCUUCACUGUCCUUGGACUUGGCCAUUUCAGAAUACUAUCUAUCUUGGAACUAUCCAUUGACACUCCUUCUUCUGUUAUAGUGUGGCCCAGGUAGUCUACUGUCAGUUGUGCAAACGAGCACUUAGAACGUUUUGCAAACAGGUUAUGCUCCCUUAAUAUUGAUAAAACUGUCCUCAGAUGUUGCUGAUGUAGCUCUAAUGUUGGACUAUAGAUAAGUAUAUCAUCAAAGAAAACCAGAACAAAUUUUCUCAGGUAAGGCUGGAAGAUCUGAUUCAUAAGAGCCUGAAAUGUGGCCGGGCGUUUGUUAGCCCAAAAGGCAUUACUAGGAACUCGUAGUGACCACAGUGUGUUUGGAAGGCAGUUUUGUAUGUGUCUUUAGGCUUGACCCUGAUUUGGUGGUAACCUGAAGUGAGGUCCAACUUGGAUUUAUACUUAGAUCCUGCUAGCUCAUUGAUUAGUUCAUCUACAUUGGGUAUGGGGUAUCUGUCCUUGAUAGUCAUUUCAUUCAGCCUCCUGUAGUCUACACAGAAACGCCAGGUCCCUCUUUCUUCUUGACAAGUAGAACUGGAGAAGCAAAGGGACUGUUACUGUGAAUUAUGAUUCCAUGUUGCAACAUAUCCUUAACCUGCUGCUCAAUUUCUCCUUUUUGUGAGUGAGGGUAUCUGUAAGGCUUCAUUUUGAAGGGCUGAGAAUCAGGUUUUAGUGGUAUCUCAUGAUCUAAACUCCUGACUGGAGGUAACUCAGUUGGUGCUGCAAAUACAUCUACAAAUUCUUCAAUAAUACCCUGGACCCCUGUAGGGAUGUCAUUUCCCUGCUCUUGAUCACUUUGUCCCAAUCUCAUGGACAUGCAUAACUGUCUCUUAUAUUCAAUGAAUGUUCUCAGAUCACCUCCCCUAAUUAAAUCUAAAUCACAGUCUUCAGCCUGGCCAUGCAAGUGUACCGCUUCCCCUUGAUGUUGUAGGGAAAUGGUCAGCUUGUGAAAAUCAAAAGUGAUAGGGCUGAACUGAGUCAUCCAAUCCACCCCAAGUAUUAUGUCCCAUCCACUUAGAUCCAUUACUUUGAGAUCAUAGCAGAACCUAUGCUGAUUAAUUCCCCAGACCACCUUAGGACAUAUCGCCUUACUAGUUACACAGGCCCCGUUCCCCACAACCACAGAAAAAGGAUUGACUAAUUUAUAAGGAAUAUCAAAUGCGAUUACCUUCUCACUGCUAAUGUAGCUAUCAGAACUGCCAGUGUCCACCAGUAUCAGCAUUUCCUCUCCAUCCAGUACGCCUACCAGGGUGAUUGUUUUCCUCUUAAGUGCCUCUGACAAUGUGUGUAGGGACAUCUCCAUAACCUCCCCUGGAUUCCCUGUGGUUUCGUCUUGCUCUCCCAGUGCAUCCUCAAAUUCAGUAUCCUCCUCCUCAUCAUUGACCAGAAAGUUCAAAUGACCAAGUUUGCACUGGUGUCCCUGCCCAAAUUUCUCCCCAUUUGAAGCAUAGGCCAUGACUUCUUCUGUACUGUAUUUCUUGUGCUGAGAUUUUUCUUGGUUCUGCUUCAGUAUUAGCAACAGGUUUGCCUUUGAAAUGAGUAUUCCUGAAUGAACCAAUAGGAGGUACUCUGUAAUGUGAACUGUGACUCGUCUGCUGAGAUGCACUUUUUGAGAUCCCAAACCUAUUCUCUGAGUUAGGCCUUACGUUCUCUUUAAGACUCCUGGACUGCAAGUGCAGUGCAUUCUCCUGCAGUACUGCCAACUCGAAAGUUUCAAAUAGAGAUGUAGGCCUCAACAGUCGGAUCAUAGUCUUAAUUUCGUCCUUCAAGCCACUGAUGAAGCUUGAUACGAAAUAUUCUUCACUCAAAUGUGGAUUUUUCACUGCCAUGAGAGUCUUGAGUUCUUCGAACUUUUCCUGGUACUCCUCGACCUUCCCUGUUUGAUGUAAUUUGUUGAAUUCCUCCACGACAUCUUUUCCUGUCCUGUUAUCGAACCUUCUACACAAUAAGUCUUCAAACAUUGGCCAUGUGAUCUCAGGUUUCUCCACCUUAACACCCUGGAACCACCUGUCUGCCUUCCCUUCCAGAUACAUCUCAAUCACUUCGACCUUCUGUUCCUCAGGAAUUUGGUAGUUUACGCAGUACUUGUUGCACUUCCGAAUCCAUUCUCUUGGAUUUUCCCCAGAGAAUAAGGGCAAAUCAAUUUUGGGUGGAUUCGGAAUCAGAAGCUUGUUUGCCUCCCUCCUUCCCGUUCUGCCGCCUUCGAAUCCUAUGUGCAGCCUCUGAUUAGGUGGUGGUGUUGGCAAUAGUGGCGGUUGAUCGCUCAUGGUCCUUCCAGGUUCAAAAUUCAGCUUCUCCUUGUCCAGCAACAUCUUCAUGAGAGCGCUGAAUUCUUGUUUGAUUCCUGUGACCAGACCUUCCAUUCUCUUGUUGUUUUCCUCCAACUCUGUCCUCAGCUCCUCGCGAAGCUGCUGUUGUUGAUGGUGUGAAGCCUGUAGUCCUUCGAUCACCUCCUGAAGCUUGGAAUCUUGUAAUUUGUUCCUCCAAGGUCUUGAAUCUGGUACUCUCCGCCAUUGUUACUAAUUUCCGAGGAAUCGACAAGCUCUGGUGCCAACUGAAGAAAUCACUCAUACGGCACCGUUCUACUUAUUCUUCCUUAUUACUAACAUUUCCCCAAACGACAUCGUUACAAUCAUUUGUUAACUUUUGGCUUAGCUCCUCUAUCCUGACAGUUUGGCUUGAGAUUGAUCUCUUACUGUAUUUUCGGUGCUUGAGAUUUGCACUUUGGGAUAUUGAGCAUGUACGUGAGCUGCUAUCUUCCCAAAGAUUUUUUUUUUUUUUGCGGGAAAAUUUUCCAUCCUUUUGGUUGGCGAUGUAAGAUCUAAGAAGCUACUGGAAAAUUUGAUCUUCAACCUUGUUUAAGAAGGGCGGGGUCCCAAAUAAAACUAGUAGUAGGACUAAGAUUGUCUUAUCAUAAUUAGGUUGCAAACGAAUCAAAUGGUUCAUGAGUAUCGAUUCAGUCAAAGUUCAACUUAAGUUGGGUUCAAAUCAAUCAAGUCGAGAUAUUGAAUUUGAAUCGAACAUAGAGAAAUAUAUGUAUAUAUAUAUAUAUAUUAUUUUAAUAACAAAAUUACAUAUGUAUCUCUAAUAUUUUUAUUAUUUAUUAAGAAAAAUGAUUACUUUAUUUUUAAAUAAAUAAGAUAAUUAUUUUUUUUUUUUAAAAUUCGAGUAGGGCUGAAUUUGAAUUUAACUAAGUUCUAAUUUGAAAUCGAGUUUGAACUCAAAUUUUAUCUUGAAAGCUUAUCGAGUGUGAGAUCGAAUUUAAAGUUUGAAUUUGAUAAAAUUGAGUCAAAUUCGAGAAUAAGACUACUCAUUCUACUACAAGACAAUGACAAUAAUGUUGCAUCAAGUAUAGGCUAAAUCCACCGACAGCCUCUUGGACUGUUGAAAAGGUGGGAGGUUAAGGAUUCAAUCCUUGCCUCCACCAAACUUGCCACUUAAUUGUGGCUGCCACCUUGAAGUGGCUUUCUUUCGACUCUCCCUCUCUUAGAUUAUAUUAGGGUAUGUUAUAUAACCAGGAAAAUAAAGGAGUGUCGGAUUGCUAUUUUGGAAUGGAGAAAAAAAGUGCAAAGAAACUCCAAAGUAAGGAUAAGGGAACUAAAAGAGAGACUCAACGCAGUAAAAGAAGGAAAUGAUAUAGGAAAGAAUGGUCGAAUUGCAGAGAUCAAAAGCCAACUAAGCAAAGCAUAUAAGAAGGAAGAACUGUGUUGGAGCCAAAAAUCAAGAAGCAAAUGGCUCAAAGAAGGGGAUAGAAAUACAACAUUCUUCCAUACAAGUGUGAUGGCAAAGAGGAGAAGAAAUACAAUCAGCACUUUAUAGAGAAAUGAUGGGACCUGAUGCAAGAAUGAGAAGGAGAUUGAAGAGGAACUGAAUGAGUACUACAAUGACCUUUUUACCACUACUAAUCCUAACAAUUAGCAGAGAUUCCAAGCACUAUUUCUAAACAGAUGAAUGAGCUGCUGAUUAAGGCUGUGAAAGAAAAAGAAAUUAGACAAGUCUUGUUCUCAAUGCAUCCAAACAAAGCACCCGGGACGGAUGGUAUGUCCUCACUUUUCUUUCAACAUUAUUGGCAUAUCAUGAAAGAAGAUUUGGUGUCUGUCAUAAAUAGUUUCUUUCAUACUGGUUACCUUCUCAAAGUUGUGAAUGAAACCAUCAUCUUUUUUAUUCCAAAAACUAAAGCACCUAUGUUUGUUUUGAACUAUAGGCCAAUUAGCUUGUGCACUGUUCUGUAUAAGAUCAUCUUGAAAAUCAUUGCAAACAGACUGAAGAAGGUGCUUCAGCAUUGCAUAAGUAAUUCACAGUUUGCCUUCAUUCCAGGCAGACAAAUUCUUGACAAUGUUGUGGUAGUUCAUGAAAUACUAUAUUUUUUGAAAAAUAAGAGAACAGGAAAAACAGGUUUUAUGGCUAUUAAACUUGACAUGUUCAAAACCUACGAUAGAGUAGAAUGAAAAUUUUUGGAGAGACUGAUGAUAAAAAUGGGUUUCUGCCCAAUAUUUGUCAAAUGGAUCAUGGUCUGUUUGUUCAUUGUGUCUUACUCUUUCAACUUAAAUGGCCAAAAAGUAGAACAUAUUAAACCAAGUAGAGGCAUUAGGCAAGGAAAUCCUUUAUCACCCUACCUGUUCAUUAUUUGUACUGAAGGGCUUUCCAGCCUUAUUAAUAAAGCAGUGACUGAGAAUGAGCAAACAGGAAUCAAAAUUUGUAGGAAAAGUCUAGCUAUUUCUCAUCUAUUUUUUGCAGGCGACUCUCUAUUGUGCUGUAAACCAAGCAAACAGGAGGCAAUGAAAGUGAAAAGCAUCCUAGCAAAAUAUGGCAAAGCCUCUGGCUAGGUGGUGAAUUUUGACAAGUCAGCAAUCUUCUAUAGCAAAAACACCAAUGUCCUGAUGAAACAAGAGGUGAGCGAGGGACUUGGCAACAUGAAAGAAGCAAUGAAUGGGAUAUAUUUGGGUCUACCAAUGGCUAUUGGAAGAUCUAAGACACAAGUGUUUGGCUUUGUAAAGAGCAAAAUCAGCAACAAGCUCCAAGGAUGGAAACAAAGGCUACUGAGUCAAGGAGGAAAGGAAGUACUGAUCAAAUCAGUGAUAAUGGCUAUGCCAACAUAUGUAAUGGCAUGCUUUAGACUUCCCAAAGGACUGUGCAGAGAAAUCACAGCAAAAAUUGCGAGAUUUUGAUGGGGAAAAGGAGAUCAAGAGGCAUGUGUUCACUGGGCAAGUUGGAAGAAACUUUCAGAAGUAAAAGGAAGAGGGGGAAUAGGCUUUAGAGAUCUAGAAGCCUUCAAUACUGCUUUGCUUGCAAAGCAAAUUUGGAGUUUCUUAUCUGCCCCAAAUUUGCUAGUAAGCAAGGUAACAAAGGCAAAAUACAUGAAGGACCCAAAUUGGAUGAAAAAAAGUCCCCCAAAAUCAACAUCAUGGAGCUGGAAAAGUAUGCACAGUGCCAAAACAUUGUUGUUAGUUGGGUUAUAAAAAUGAAUAGGAGAUGGAAGUACUGUAAGCAUAUGGAAGGAUAAAUGGAUAAGUGGAUCAGAACAAGAUUAUGUGUCCUUUGGAAAACCUGAUGGCUACCAGCUAGAAUGGGUAAGUGAGAUGAUAGAAGAGGGAAAAUGAAAUAAAGAACAAUUAUAAAAAUGGUUCUGUAACAAAGGUGCAGAGCUCAUCGAAUGCAUUCCCACCAGCAUAGGAAGAAGAAAGGACAGAAUGAUCUGAAAAUUCUCCAAAAUUGGAGCAUAUACUGUGAAAAUAGGAUAUGCUGUGGUAAGACAGGAGAAGGGCUAGCAUAGUAGAAAAGGAACAAGCAAUAUUGAAACAAGCUGGGAAAUAAGAAAACACAGUGUGUGAAAGAAACUGUGGCAACUGAAGGUGAAGGCCAAGCUGAAACACUUUAUGUGAAAAUGCCUACAGAAUUGCUUACCAAUAAACGAGAUUACUUUCAAAAGGCAGGGAAAAGGAGAGGGAAGAUGUGGCUGCUGUGGAGAAAGUGUGGAAACCAUUGAACACUUGCUCUUCUUUUGUACGAAUGCAGUAGAAGUAUGGAAAAUGGCACCAGAAAAGUGGGAUGGUUUAAUGGACAAACAGCACAAUCUGUGGCUCUGGUGGGAGAAGGCUACUCAGUCAAUCUCGAAGGAACAAAGGCCAGAGAGAGUAAACCUCACCAUCAACAUAUUUUGGCAAAUUUGGAAAGCAAAAAACAAAAGAGUUUUUGAAAAUGCCAGCCAGAAUUCACAAAGAACAGUCAUUAAAACACAUGAGGACUGGAUUGAGUAUGAACAGGCAAGGGAGGCAGAACAAGAAAACAUUGCAUCUUUCACCAAUAGUAAUUCCAAAAAAAAAAAAAGAGAAACACCAAGGGAAGACGUGGCAUAUAUGUACAUAGAUGCUGUAAUAUCAGCAAAAAUGAUCAGGACUGGUCAAGAAAUUGUAGCAAGAAACUGGAAAGGAAUGAUUAUGAGAGCAAAAGGAAUUGUCAGUCAGUGCAAGGGAACAGCAAGCAAAGAAGAAGCUUUUGCAAUCAGGAACGCAAUACUGAUGGCUAAACAUGCAGGAUGGGGUAAAAUAAUAGUCCAUCUAGACAGCAAAUCAGUUGUAGAUCAGAUAAAUAGAUGUAGUGACUAUGACUACAUCAUUGCAACUAUCUUGGAAGAUGCGCAGGAACUCGGAACAGGUUUUAAAAGUUGUACUUUUGUAUUUAUACCUAGAUCAGAAAAUGAAAUCAACUAUGCUCUAACUCAAAUUACUGUUAAGCUAGUACAUGAUAUUGAUUGGGAACAAAAUUUCCCAAGAUGGCUAAUAGACUUAGUGCUGACAGAAAUGAUGGUAGUAGCCCCUUUUUGUAAUUAAUCCUUGUAUUAUUAAGUGUUCACGUAUAUGAAACUGUUAACGUUUGUUGGAAAAAAAAUACAUGCAACCAAAACAAAAUAUCAAACUGCUAUAGGACAUGACGACCCAAGUAUCAUUUACACUCAAAACUACCCCCAGUGGGCAUUGACAGGUGCCGAACCUGUACAAUAAUAAAAACCUACUCGAGAAAAAUACAGAUUUUGUAUAUAGCGGUGAGUAGGGUCGAAUCCACAGGGACUGGGGAUAAUUCGUUUCUUCUAGAGUCCAAAGUAUGGGGGGUUUUUGGAUCAAAUACUAACUAAAUAAUUUAACUUCAGAAAAUAAUUAAGUAAAAGAAAUAACUAAGAGAAACUCUAGCCAAGGGUAUACUUCAGAAAUGGUUCAUGCACUGAUCAUUGAUGCAAAAAUAAUUCCAACAUUUAGUAAUAGAUUAGUUACAGUUGUCAUGCAUGCGAUAAACAACCAACCCUUCCUUAAUUUAUCGAUAGCUAAGGUACGACCGUUAGCUAUUUCUCUAACCCAAAAAAUAACCCUAGGUACGACCGUAGGAUUUAAUUUCUAGAUUGCAUUAAUAAUUAGAAAAGCCCAAUCCUAACCAACAAACACGCUACGAGGGUUUGUUUAAAUUAGAUCAUAUGCUCCCCUGACAUAAACCCAAUUACGCCAGUUGCUACUGAGGUAGAGAUAACGAACAAUUACGGAUUCAAUUACCCCUAUUUAGCAAAAAUAGCCUAUAUGAAUAAUUAAUUAUUGCGCACUAAUCAAUCAUACACAAGGCCAUAGCAAUUAAAAUCAAGGAACAUACAAAUACCAAUAAAUGAAGAAAACAAUUAAAACAGAUUCGAUCUCACAGUAGUUGUCGAACCAAAUCGUCAGUUGUCCCCUUGACUAGAAAAGCUUAACCACGCCUCAUGAGAAAAUCUCCCCGUUGGGGAAUAUUGUCGAACACCUGGCGUGUGUCAGAGGCCAGUCCAAAGAAAAGAAAACUAGAACUAAACUAACAAACUAAAACUAAAGCCGUCUAAAAAGAUCUCCCCUUUUGCUUCUGUACGUCUCCCUUAAAAAGCCAAAAGAAAGAAACCUAAAAGCUAUUUCCUGUGGUCCCCACACAUGUGGACAAAGCCUCCAAAUUAUUUCUUGGUCCAAGUCUCUCUACGUUGCUUUCUUUGAAAGGCCCAAAUGUCUUAUGCCUUUCACUAGCUUGUGGUCCCCACCAAUUCAAGAGUCCAAGGUCCUUAGAAGUCUCCAUUUUUCCAUAAAAGUCCCUCCUUUUUGAUAAUUUUCUGCUUUGUUCCUGAAAUUAAGCCCCAAUACCAAAUAUAAGUAAAUAUUAAUAAUUAAAACAAUAUUUGGCAAGAAUAAAAGGGGAAAUUAACAAUAAAAUUACUAACAAUUAACACCUUAUCAAUUCCCCCCACACCUAAAUCAUGCUUGCCCUCAAGCAUGGGAACAACAAUUGAACACCAAAAUUUGACCAUGGCUGUUACUCCAACUACCGUAUUGCCAAGACACCAAGAAAAUCAUAUAUCAAGCGACACAGGUCAAGAUCCAAGAAAAAUCACCCCGGUUAGCAUCUAAACUACCAACUCCUCCAAUUUAAAGCAAACUAAUCUAAGAAAAAGGAAUGGUUGCUCACAUUUAUCAGCAAAUGGUCCAACUAUUAACCCAAAUCUCAACAUUAACCCAUAGAUCGGUAAGCUGACUUUAGACACACACUUACACAACCUUCACCUUUUUUAUCACGUUUUUCUAUUUUUCUCUUUUUUUUUUUUUUUUUUUUUUUUUUGCUAUUUUUUUCCCUUUUUCAAUAAUAACAAAAGACUUAGUUUCUAGCUAUUAGAGCCUUUUGACGCGAACUCCAACAUUUGAUAGAUGUAGGAGCCCGGUUACUCAGCUCCAAUCGCUACGAGACCAUGCACUCAUAGCAACUACUACCUUUUGACGCGAAAAUCAACACUUUAGAUGAAGAUCCCCGGUUACUCAGUAGUAACUACUAGCGGAGUACAGUCAACUCUUAUUUACAAUCAUAUAACACAACAACUAAAAAUAACAGCAGCCAGCCUCAAAUUCCAAACAUGGAGAACUAAAAUUAAUAAAUGGACCAAUUUACAUGAAAAAUGCUAACAAUCAUUCCCCAUGCCUAGAGAAAUUAACCAAAAAUAAGAAAAGUUAAGCAAUUAUUGAUAUUCACCAAAGAGAUAUUCCUGAAUUCAACCACAUCAACUUGAUACCUUUUUAUUAAUAAACUUGGCAAUAGCAGAAUUAGAGACAACAAUCCGGUAUCAAAACUUGGUAUUCAUACGAAGACUGACCACUAGAAAAUAAGAAAAGAAAAUAAACGAAAGAGAAAAAAAAAUAAAUAUCAAACUAAAAAUAAAGGAAAAGCCCUUAGAAACUAAAAAUAAAAAUACUAGUACCACAACGAUCCCCCCCACACCUAAUUCACACAUUGCCCUCAAUGUGAUAAAUAAAUAGUAAUAGCAAGGCGAAGGGCAACGGAACUUCCCUGAAAUCGUCAAAAUAGGGGAGGAUCGGGCGGGAACUGAGGAGCAGGACCUGCAUGGUGCAUAGAAGCUGCCAAAUUCUGCGCCAUGUGAGGUUCUAGGUGUCCUAGACCUAGAAGAUGACCAUGGCCUCACCAUUGGUUCUAAAGAUCACUCCACUUGACAAGAGACAACAAUGGCCAACAAAUAAUGGAAACAGAAAAUUCAAAGCAAUAAGAAUUGAAAAGCCAACCCAACGAAUAAAAUGCACAAUUUCAACCACCCAGAGGUCAUACAAAUACCCCAACACUUAUAGCAAAUGCAAUCAAUAAGUACUUAUGGACCCCAUGUAGUCAAAUUCAGAAUUAAGGUCGUCCAAAGUGCAACAACUGCUCCAAAUACCCCAAGCAAGUCAAUUAAAGGCAACCGACUUCAACAAGCAAAUGCAAACGGCACAUUCAUGCCCCAAUUCAACAAAUAAACGCAGAAAAGUAGCCACAAUACUAGAGCACAGCUCCCAAUAAUGCAACAGAACAGCAACUCGAACAAACUAGGAACUGUGCUAGUGUCUUAAUAAAUCAACAACUUUCAGCAAUUAGACACAAUCGGACCCAAUAUCGUAAUAACUGUCUCCAAUUGGACAGUCAAUUACCCACUUCAACCUGCUAAAAUUAGCAAUUGACCCAAGAAAAUGGCAACUCCAGCAACAACAGUUCAGAAGUUGGACAGAAACAACUCAACCACAAAUGCCUAGUAGUCGAUUAGGCAACCAAUAACACAGGAGUAACAAAUAUUAUGUAAACUACCAUCACCAGUACCACUGGUGCAUGCAUAAGGAAAAUUGAAAUCCAGUGGCCACCCCAAGACAUGUGAUAAAGCCAAACACACCAAUCAGACAAGUCUCCCCCAGAUUGCCCCCAACACUUUCCAAACGUAUAAACUGGCACAAAAGUCAGCAAAUUUUAUCCCCCAGAUGCAAUAGAAAUCUCAUGUAGUCAAAACCCAAAUAAUAUUCAAUAAUAAAAUCAAGACCAGAGAUCACCCCCAAAUGGGAUAGCAAAUAAAUCGAAUUCCACCCAUGAUUAGCCCCAGAAAAUAAUGAAGCAAAUAAACAGAGCAAAAACCCCCCCUCAAAAACUAAAUAAACAGUCAAAUCGAGUAAAGAUUCUCCCCGAAUACCAUCGAUUGAGAACAAAAUUUACCAAAUAAUCAACAACCAACCACAGAUAUACCACAGCACCCAAAUAAGCACAAAAGUUCUGUUCUACUAGCAAAUCAAAAAUCUGGCAUCAGCUAAUGAAAACUAGUGCUCUGGCCUCAGCUACGUAGCGAUUGAAAAACAGGAAAAAGAAAAAUUGAUGAAUUCACCAGAAGUAGCGCCUGGUCUACCCGCGCGAGGAGGAAGCUGCUGGAGGACUGGCGGUGGACUGGAGGGUUGAGCAGCCGUGCGGUUGGUCACGCACUGAGGCAGGCGUCGGCCGUGGGCUGUUGCGGCGAAGUGGAACUUGGCAGAGAUAAACCGCGUGCAGCGAGGUGGGCCUGCAGGAGCUGGAGCUUGGAGGGAGAGGGGUGAAGCUGCGGGAGAUGGCCGCGGAGAGGAGGCGCCGCGUGCGUGGCGGUCAAAUCUGGAGAGGAGCUCAGUGGAGGUUGGAGUUGCGCGCGGCUGGUGGAUCUUGGCAGCGAACUGGCGGCGCGCGUCAGCGCAGGCGGUGGCUAUGCGUGGGCAGCGGAGGUCGUGCGCGCGCCUUGGCCGCGAGCUGCUGGUGGAGCUGCGGCGCGCGGGCUGCGGCGGCGGACGAAGCUGGAGGAACAGAUCGGCAGGCCGCGCGCGAGGUCAGUGGAGAUUGGCGGUGCCUGCAGCUUGUUCGUCGAGUGGGAGAGAGCAGAGGAGGACUCAGGAGACCCAAACACCGCGUGGGCACGCCAAGAUUGGUGUUCGUCCUCUGAUCUCAGGAGACCUAAACACCGCGUGGGCACGCCAAGAUUUCACCUCCUGAUCACAGUGGAGAAAAAUAUCAAGACCAACUACUAUCCAAAUGAGAAACAACAGAACGAAAGAAUUGAACAACUAAAAAUAAUAAACUCAAUAUUUGGGUUGCCUCCCAAAAAGCGCCUUUCUUUAAUGUUUUUGGCUAGACAUUGUUAUGUCCUGUUCAUGGAGGAUAAAAUCUUGUGGCUCGUUUCAAUGCUUCAUCUUCAAUGUAAUCCUGGUAACCCUCAUAGAUGGAGUAAUCUUUGAGCACACGAGUUACGUGCUUCCAUGGACUAGUUGAUGGCACAAAAUAAUCAAACAUUGAUCGCAAUUCUUCAUCCACUCCUCCAUCAAGAGCAUUCAACGGUUCAAGAUGUUUGACCAUAGCUACUCUUAACUCAUUCCUGCCAUGAGACUCAAGAACUUCCGGUAUAAUAAAAUCAAUCUCACUAACAGGAAUCAUAGAGUAAGAGUUAAGAAAAUGCAGGUUAGGGAAUGGAGGUGGUGUCACCACAUUUGAUGAUUCUUCACUGGAUUCUUUCACUUGAAUGGGUUGCAGUUGGGGUUCCAUUUCUUCCUUUUCGGCUUCUUUUUCAACUGCAUCUGUAUAUCUCUCUUCUUGAAAAUCUUGCAGCUCCUCGUUUCUAGUCAGGCAAAUUGCACUCUCAUUUUCUUCAAAAUCAACAAUGGUUUUCGAGGGCAAUUCUUCAAAUUGAGAAGCCAAUCGAUUUAUUUUGGAUGUCAAUAGACACAUUUGAUCUUCCAGAUUACUCAUUGCCUCCUUCAUCAUCUCAUUUCUCCUUUGUGUCUCCUGUUGGAAUUGAUAUGUAUUAAUAGCUAUUGAUUCAACUAUUUCUUCAAGAGACAUACCUGACAUAGAUGACGAUUCUUGAGACUCAUACUGCUGAAAAUUCAUUGGCCCCGUUGUUGUAUAAUUAUAAUCGGAGUUAUCCCACCAUUCUUGAUCAUACCCGUUUUGAUUAGGGUUAUACCACGUUUGAAACCAGGGUGAAAAAUCUCCAUAAUUAUUGAGGGGGACACUCAGAUUAUCUUGAUAUUCGGGGCACAUACCGGUUGAAUGAUCCCUGGCAUAACAAAUUUUACAGGUUGCAGCAGCCAUUCUUUCUCUAAUAGAGUUUAGUGCCUCUGAAUAUGCAAACUUAGCAAAAAAACUAGUCUCAUCGCCUUCCCCGGAAACAAAAUCCAGACUAUCACCAAAAUGUGGAGUGUUAGAAGCCAUAAACUAUAUUAAAAAAAAUAUGAGAAAAAUAAAAAAAAUAAAAAUAAAAAUAAAAACAAGAUGAACUUCAAAAAGAAACAAAUUAAUCUGACACCAGUCCCCGGCAACGGCGCCAAAAAUUGACAGGUGCCGAACCUGUACAAUAAUAAAAACCUACUCGAGAAAAAUACAGAUUUUGUAUAUAGCGGUGAGUAGGGUCGAAUCCACAGGGACUGGGGAUAAUUCGUUUCUUCUAGAGUCCAAAGUAUGGGGGGUUUUUGGAUCAAAUACUAACUAAAUAAUUUAACUUCAGAAAAUAAUUAAGUAAAAGAAAUAACUAAGAGAAACUCUAGCCAAGGGUAUACUUCAGAAAUGGUUCAUGCACUGAUCAUUGAUGCAAAAAUAAUUCCAACAUUUAGUAAUAGAUUAGUUACAGUUGUCAUGCAUGCGAUAAACAACCAACCCUUCCUUAAUUUAUCGAUAGCUAAGGUACGACCGUUAGCUAUUUCUCUAACCCAAAAAAUAACCCUAGGUACGACCGUAGGAUUUAAUUUCUAGAUUGCAUUAAUAAUUAGAAAAGCCCAAUCCUAACCAACAAACACGCUACGAGGGUUUGUUUAAAUUAGAUUAUAUGCUCCCCUGACAUAAACCCAAUUACGCCAGUUGCUACUGAGGUAGAGAUAACGAACAAUUACGGAUUCAAUUACCCCUAUUUAGCAAAAAUAGCCUAUAUGAAUAAUUAAUUAUUGCGCACUAAUCAAUCAUACACAAGGCCAUAGCAAUUAAAAUCAAGGAACAUACAAAUACCAAUAAAUGAAGAAAACAAUUAAAACAGAUUCGAUCUCACAGUAGUUGUCGAACCAAAUCGUCAGUUGUCCCCUUGACUAGAAAAGCUUAACCACGCCUCAUGAGAAAAUCUCCCCGUUGGGGAAUAUUGUCGAACACCUGGCGUGUGUCAGAGGCCAGUCCAAAGAAAAGAAAACUAGAACUAAACUAACAAACUAAAACUAAAGCCGUCUAAAAAGAUCUCCCCUUUUGCUUCUGUACGUCUCCCUUAAAAAGCCAAAAGAAAGAAACCUAAAAGCUAUUUCCUGUGGUCCCCACACAUGUGGACAAAGCCUCCAAAUUAUUUCUUGGUCCAAGUCUCUCUACGUUGCUUUCUUUGAAAGGCCCAAAUGUCUUAUGCCUUUCACUAGCUUGUGGUCCCCACCAAUUCAAGAGUCCAAGGUCCUUAGAAGUCUCCAUUUUUCCAUAAAAGUCCCUCCUUUUUGAUAAUUUUCUGCUUUGUUCCUGAAAUUAAGCCCCAAUACCAAAUAUAAGUAAAUAUUAAUAAUUAAAACAAUAUUUGGCAAGAAUAAAAGGGAAAUUAACAAUAAAAUUACUAACAAUUAACACCUUAUCAGGCAUUGACCCAUUUGCGGUGGAGCAGGUAAAUUACUCAAUAUUUCAACCAGAGUUUUUUUUUUUUUCCAACAAAAAAAAAAAGAGUCCAUAUCUGGCUUGAACGAGUGGUGACUGGUGAGGUGGCCGGGUCUAGCAAGCAGAUUAAACUGUACUCCUGCUGCCACUAUUUAAGUGUCCCUUUUCAGUGGAGGCAGGCGCGGCGAAGGGGGGAUCUGGUGGUGGUGGUGGUGGUUGUGCAGACUGCAGACAGGCAAAAGGAAGGAGGAGAGAUCAUCAACCACUCCUACUUACCAACCAAAACAAAAAUAAAAGAUGGCGGGGGAAUAAUGAGCAAAGUAGGUGACUGGGUUUCAAGGCGUUCACGGCGGGACUAGGAGUUACUACCCUAUACCUAGCCGCUACUUUCUCCGUCAACGUCUACCGUGGCCUCUCUUGGCAUUCUGCUCAAUCGGUACCCCACUACCCAUUCCAACUUCAUGCCUCUUCCCCUCUGUCAUGGAGUAUGAAGAAUAAACAGGAGGCGUGUUCCAGAUUGCAUUGAAGGCGCAGCUGCUCAACUUGAUGAAGAAAGGCGUGACUUACAAAUCACGCCUUCUACCUGAUAUAACAGAAUUAUACUUCUGUUUGGCGCAAGUGGAGCUGAUGAUUCCAGAACUUCCACGUGGCCUCACCUGAUUAGCUAGUUUACAAGUUAGUUAGUCUGGAAAUGCCAUAAAAGGCUGAAGAAUCCGAGAGUUAGCAUAGAUUUUUGUCAUAUUAUUUCCAUUGUUUGUAAAGUGGAAUUGGCCCUGCCAACUUCCUCCUCUCUUCUCUCUUAAUUCCUUCAAUCUUUCCCUUUCAAUCCUAAAUCCGUUGAUUCUGUUCCUGUAUUUGACAUACCUAUUGUUAAUGAGAAGUUGAAGCUCCAAUAAUCAUCUCCAUUCCCUGUUCCAUUCAAAUUCGUCAGGAGUUAAUUCACUUCUGCUGCAACUAAUCUGUCACCAUUGCUGCUAAUUGGUUCAAUACCAUAACAGUGGUAUCAGAGCAGCUACGGUCCGUCUGGGUUUGGCUGCUUGAUUAGAAAUCUUUCCUCCUAAUUUUUCCUUCACUUCUGAUUCACCUUCAUCCCUAUCCAUCUUCAUCUCUUUUCUGACCAAUCAAUAUAUAUAUAUAUAUAUGAAGACCCUUGAAGAAAUCUCUAAAAUGCUGAAUUACUUCCUGGUAGAGCAUAAUAAGCCUAAACAAGCAACUACGUAGUAGUAGAUUACUAUGGGAAUUUGAAGAGUGAGAAGAAACGAGAUGUUGGCUUUGAAACCAGAACUCAGUGAGGAAUACUUUAUUGAUGGUUUUAACUUUGGGCUUGAUUGGAAUAUCCAGAUGAAGCUAAAGAGAUUUAGGAGUCCACCCAAGAUCUUGUAUGAGAGCAUAUCUCCGAGCAAAUCGAGGAAGCCGUGAUGGAGAAGCAUGAUUCUGCUCUUGAUUCACCAAAAGGAGAGCAGCUUAUGAAAGAAAAUGAGGGUGUAGAGGCUGAACACAAUGAUAUAAUCACUAACUUGAAGGAUGAAAGUGUAGUCAGCCACAUGUUUGAUGGGUUGUGCCAAAGGACUCCAAUGGAUUUUUUAGAGGAGAACCAACAUAAAACAUCAGCAAGGGAAUAUCAAGAAGAAAAAGCUAAAAACCAAGUGUGUGAUAGAUUGGCUCACAACGAUUGUGUUAUCUCUCAAGGGCUUAGCUAUGAAUUGCUUACAGGGGAGCUAGGUUGGCAACAAGGCUCUAUAGACAAGGAAAUAUUUAACUCUGCUUCACCGCUCCACUGUCCCAGAAAUUGGUCUUCGGUCAGCCGUGAGGUAAAGCAAAAGUUCAUUGAGAUUUUAUUUAAAAGACCAAUCAUGAUGAUCAUAGGCUACAGGGCCAUUGCCCGGCCUACUUUCUCCCUUGUCAUUUGUGACGUGCCUGCCAUUUCCUUCUGUAAGCCUCAACUGUAUUCUUCUUCCAUGAAUGGAUGUAGAUUCAUGCGGUUUAGUUGUUCAGUUUCUGGUAGAACCGUUUCAUCUACUUCUCUAGACUUAUCUUUGUCCAAGGACAAUUCUGGUAAUGAAGGGCUUCAAAGGCAAAAGGCUUCUUCCUCUUUGUAUGCUCAUCCUAGUUUGUCACAGAUUAGGAGUGAGAAGGCAGCCAAUCGAGCCCCUGUUUAUGAUUUCUUGAGGGGAAUUGGUGUUUUCCCUGAUGAGCUUGAUGGAUUGGAGCUCCCUGUCACUGUAGAUGUAAUGUGCGAACGUGUGGACUUUCUUCACAGAUUAGGCCUCACUGUUGAGGAUAUAAACAAUUACCCACUGGUUCUUGGCUACAGUGUCAAGAAAAACAUGGUUCCCGUCCUUGAUUACCUCGGCAAGUUGGGUGUUAAAAAAUCUACGUUUACAGAAUUCUUGCGUAGAUACCCACAAGUCCUCCAUUCUAGUGUUGUUGUCGAUCUUGCACCGGUAGUUAAGUAUCUUCAAGGAAUGGAUAUCAAGCCAAAUGAUAUUCCUCGGGUUCUGGAGAAGUAUCCUGAAGUAUUGGGUUUAAGCUGGAAGGCACCAUGAGUACUUUAGUGCUUACUUGGUUGGAAUAGGGGUCGCAAGGAGAGAAAUUGGUGGGCUACUAACUAGAUACCCCCAAAUAUUAGGAGUGAGAGUUGGCCGUACAGUCAAACCAUUUGUGGAUUAUCUAGAAAGCUUGGGAAUACCACAAUUAGCCAUAGCUAGACUAAUAGAGAAAAGACCUUUUAUUCUUGGAUUUGGACUUGAAGACAGGAUCAAGCCAAAUGUUGAGUCCCUUUUAGAGUUCAAUGUUAGGAAAUCGUUGCUUGCAUCUGUCAUUGCACAGUAUCCUGAAAUUAUAGGAGUAGAUGUUCAAACAAGACUUUGCACUCGAAGGGACUUUCUUAAUUCAAUCAUCCAAUUGGAUCCUGUUGGUUUUGGGAGAGUUGUAGAGAAGAUGCCACAGAUUGUCAGCCUCAAUAAUACUGCCAUAUUGAAGCAUUUGGAUUUCCUCAAGGAAUGCGGAUUUUCCUUGGAACAAGUGAGAAAGAUGGUGAUGGCCUGUCCCCAACUGCUUGCUCUAAAUCUUGAUGUCAUGAAAGUAAGCUUUGAUUACUUCCAGGGAAAAAUGGCAAGACCGUUGGAUGACUUGGUUUCUUUCCCAGCCUUUUUCACUUAUGGUCUUGAGUCAACUAUUAAACCAAGACAUGCAAUGAUUGGAAAGAAGGGUUUGAAAUGUUCUCUUGCUUGGUUCCUUAAUUGUUCUGAUGAGAAAUUUGAGGAGCGGAUGACAUAUGACACUAUUGACAUGGAAGAGAUGGAAGUUGAGUCAUCAUUUGACAUGAACUCUUUACUUGGUACUAGAACAGUGGUACCAAUUUCUGCAAUUUCUGCAAAUAGGUACUUUGGUCUGCAAUUUCUGGCUGGCUUGGCCUGUAAUGGCUACAUAGGAAUUCUCCUAUCUGUUUCAAAUCCAGGAGUAACAGCAGGACUUCAAACCUUGCUUGGGUGUGUUGAUGCUAACAUGCAAGACCUUUUAAAGGCAGUAGAGAAAUUCCUUGGUUUGCAUUAUCCGGAUCAAGUUGCUCUUAAAAGAUUAUAUAUGGUUGGUGGUGCUACUUCUAGAAUUUCAGCUCUUGUUGCUCAGCUAAAACAGAAGAAUCAGCAAGCUUUGCCAUUUUCUUAUACUACUUGCUUGCUGCGAAUUGCCAAAUAUCAAUCCGAAGACUUUGUUUGGAAGCUUGGAACUUUGUUCGACAUCCUUGAGGACAAGGAUUGUUUAAGGGGGAGGCUCUGUCAUGGAGUAUGAAGAAUAAACAGGAGGCGUGUUCCAGAUUGCAUUGAAGGCGCAGCUGCUCAACUUGAUGAAGAAAGGCGUGACUUACAAAUCACGCCUUCUACCUGAUAUAACAGAAUUAUACUUCUGUUUGGCGCAAGUGGAGCUGAUGAUUCCAGAACUUCCACGUGGCCUCACCAUUAGCUAGUUUACAAGUUAGUUAGUCUGGAAAUGCCAUAAAAGGCUGAAGAAUCCGAGAGUUAGCAUAGAUUUUUGUCAUAUUAUUUCCAUUGUUUGUAAAGUGGAAUUGGCCCUGCCAACUUCCUCCUCUCUUCUCUCUUAAUUCCUUCAAUCUUUCCCUUUCAAUCCUAAAUCCGUUGAUUCUGUUCCUGUAUUUGACAUACCUAUUGUUAAUGAGAAGUUGAAGCUCCAAUAAUCAUCUCCAUUCCCUGUUCCAUUCAAAUUCGUCAGGAGUUAAUUCACUUCUGCUGCAACUAAUCUGUCACCAUUGCUGCUAAUUGGUUCAAUACCAUAACACCCUCUCCCUCCCCCCUCAAAAAAAAAAAAAAAAUCCUCUUUCUUUUAUAGUAAAUAUUACGAACCCUAUUUGUAACAAUUAAAUACUACCUCAUACUAAUGCUACGAAACUUUGAUAUUUCCAUGCGCUAUGAGAAAGGAUUCGCCCUUUUUUUCCUUGAUAAUCUUGAAGAGUGAGUGAAUUAAUUUGACUGAUUCUGAUUGCAUGUGCUCUUUCUAGCAUUCUCCUUUUUCACUUACACAAGUCCUAAUUGAUUAAACAUUGUUGGAACAUAUCACAUCACAUCUACCAUUGUUGAAUCACUUCUACUUAGUUGAUGGUUUUUUUUCCCUCUCAUAGUUGUAUUGUCCCGUUCGGCGAUGAAUUUAAUGAAUCCAAUUUGUAUUACUGCAAGAAUGGUUCCACUGUAUUACUCAAAUAUGUCGAGAUUCAUAUACUCUUCCUCUGUCAGUUUUACGUUAUCAUCUCUGGUAUUCCUGAUGUUUUAAAACUAUUGUACUCAUCUUAAUAACACUAGCUGUCCUAAAACCCCCUUUUUUUUUCCUUUAAUGCUCUACCUUUCUUUACGUUAUUAAGGAUCUUUAUCAUUUCCAAUACUCAAAUAUGUUUCAUUUUAUUUGACGGUCAUCCUGAGCUUGAUGUAUUUGCAUCUGAUGAUUGACAUUCACAUUUAGAAAACGAAAUAAUCAUGCCAUUUGGUUUACAUGUUGAGGAAAUAGACAUCCCGGGGACUUUGGGCGUUUAAUUUGCUUAAGCUUCUGUAAAAGCUGCUAUAUUGGAAAAAGUUAAAAAUUUUAAAAAAAUAAAUAAAUGAGAAGAGGCCCUUAACAACAGUACCUUCUAAUAACACAUAUCUUCAGAAGAUGCAAGUAAAAUUAAUUUUAAGCAAGUGAGAAGAGGCCCUUAAGCUCAUUUUUGACAAGGUAUCCUCUGCCAUUUGUUGAAGGUAGGUUUUGGGAUGAGAAAAGCUGGAAGGUACUCCAUAUACUUUCGUUGGCUUCUUAAUAUGGACUUGCCUAUUUAUUUGCAGAGUAUGACCUGUUUCAAUUCAAUAUCUUCCUUGAAACAAUUAUGUCUUCCUAGAUGUAGCCUUUUUUACCCGUUCUUUCUAACAAUUUAACAUACACAACUGUUUGAUUUAGCAUUCAUUUGUUGACUUCCAUAUCGUUUUGGAAUUGAUGUUUCUGAGUAAGAGGUAGCUGCCUGAUGUAAUUCCAUCUUUUGCCAGAAAAUUGAGAACGAGGGUGCUAAGGAUCAGAAGCCAGAAUGAAUGUUACCGAAGUUCUUGGAUUUUGGAUCAACUGCUAAUUUGUGGGCGCGUACACUAAAUUUUGAUGAGACAGUUAAGACUUACUAUUCUCUUGUUACACUGUGACCUCAUUAGACAAUCAAUAAUAUUGCUAAGCAUGGUCUCCUCAUGUUGUUAGAGAUUACUUUCUUCGACUUUGCAUUGACCAACUCCUUGCGGAUUGAUGACUAGUGGCCCGUUCUGGAAUUGGGGAAAACUGAAGUCCUCAGAACCGUAAUAUUGCCAUCAGAUGUUUUUUGUUCCAAUGAAUAGAGGAACUUGCUGUUUGCAUAUCAGCGUUCUUGAGUAGUCCUGUGAUAGUUUCUGGGUGUUCUGUUCGUCUUUGAUGGUUCAUUAGGGAUUUGGAUCUCUCUUCGUCCAUGGUCGCGGAAAACGAUCCAGUUGGUGAAUUUAUUUUUGUAAUAGGGAAACUGUUCGUAGUUAAUUGUUGACCGGGAUUCAAACGUAUCCAGCUUUACUCUGAGCAGCAUCAAGUCGGCCGAUCAGAUUUAACGUUGUGGUGCCAUCAUUGUUCUCUAUACUUUUGGUUUGGACAUUGCAGAAUGCAGAGAAACCUCUUCUUAGCGAGUGGAAUCUUCCAGUCUGUUCGGUGUCUUGGCUAAUAGUAAUACUUUUAUCAAGUGCCAUCCUCUUCUAGUAGCUUGGUGUCCAUCUAAUAUUUUGGUAGGAACUAAUUAUGCACCAAAAGAACUAUUUUUUUUUUUUUGAAAAAAGAAAAGAAGCAAAGAUGAACACUGAACAGCCAGCUCCAUCUGUAAUAAUGAUACACACACCUGCUCAGCUCAGAAACAGGAGGGUUGGGACAAAUAACAAUAAUCAUUUCUAAUCAUACUUCACCGUGCUCUCAUCACCAAUCAUGUAUCACCCUUUUCACCGACAAAAUAGUUAGCUAGCUAUGAUGCAAAAUUGAUUUGGAAGGUUAUGGGUUAUAGGUUAAUUUACUUGAAAAAAUUUUUAAUGACCACAUUCUCAAACUUCUAUAAAUUGCUGACAAGUUGAUUACAAACUUUUUAUAAAUUCAAUUGUCUCCAAAAGGAUAGAUCGAAAGAAUCACCAAUAUCAUUUGGUAAUUUAAUGAUUUAUGUUUUUUUUUUUGGCAACAAUGCUCUUGCCAUAUACUCUAAUUGCGAUGUGAUAUCUUGAGACACUAAUGCCUAAAUAACUUUUGGAGAUUUUCCUAUAAUAUUGACUUUCAUGUUUUAGUUAGGAAUAAAAUUCUAUUAAGUAAACUGAAAUUGGUUUAGAAUGGCACUAUGCAAUUAUGAAGGAAAAUCAUUACACACUAAUUAUUCAUUUAUCUUUUGGUUUAAAAUGGAGUUUUAUAAUACAAGUAUCUCUUUGCAUCUCCUGAAAAUGCGCAUGUACACAAUAAUAUAAUCUUACAAAUUAAUAACUAUAAAUGAUAAACUCUUCUUCUCCAUUAUUGUAUACAGAAUUUUACGGUGGAAUAACAUCCUCGAAUCUUGUGGAAACUAUGCUAUCAAAUCUUCAAUCAAAACCUGCCAGUGGUGUGUUUAAGCCAAUACUACUUCACACCACAAGAUGAGCAUUCUCCGGUAUUCUAUUAGAGGAAACUCCCGGAAUACUUCGGGAGUCGAUAGGGAUUUCAGCCAGGGGGUUCAUUAUAAUCCCAUGACCACCUUCGUAUCCAGAUCUCCUAUUAUCCAGUUUAAAUACUUCAGAAUCUUCACUUUUAUUAGCUAUACUCAGCAUCGACGCUGCUGCUGUAGUUGCACUAGAAGAAGUGAACAUUGGGUAGCACGCCGACUCUCUGCUCUCUUCCAGAGCUUUGAACUCAAAUAUUCUGCACCAGGUAGUUUGCAACACAUGCCUCCAGCAGAAGCAGCAUUCGACAUCCUUCCGGUUGAAACAGCAAGAUCCAAGGAGAUCUCAUCCAGUGCAAGCUCUAGGCCACGAACCCGUGUCUCCAGUGAUCGCAUACCACUCUGUGAGCUCCCCAUAAAUUUCUGAAUUAAAAGUGAACAGGAAUAGUAAUUAAACAUCCAGUUCCUACUCACCAUGUAAGAAAGGUCAAUAAAAUAGAUAAAAUAAGCAAACAAAACAUUUAACUCAAACACCAUGCAUCAAGAGUGCAAAUGAUAUAGAAAUUCAAAUAGAUUUUGAUCCUAAAGAAUAUAAAAAAAAAAAAAAGGUUGUCAUAUACAAUUGAGCUGGAGGCCCCAAGAGGAUCAAUCGCAGUUUUGUAUCCUUAUUUCACUGGUGGACCAAUCAUAGAAAAUUAGCUAUAUUCAGCCUGUUCGGCAAGUAUCCCAUUAUGGGAGAGUUAGACGUGAAAUGUCUAUUCUGUAGGUGAUAUUCAAAUUGAAAUAAUAGAGAGGUCAUUCCUGUCACAAAUCAAAAAACAAGAUGACAGAUAGACAAAAAAAAUGUGGUUGGCAGGGACACAACAAGUACCUGGAGGAGAUCUAGCAAAUUGGAUUGCUGCUUUUCAAUUUGAACAAGUUGCUUACGAAUUAAUGAUAGAUCCUCAUAGUCCUUCUGGUUCCUCAAGGUAAUCCCCGUUUCAUUACUAACAACCACGGUACCUUCUGAGAUCUCUUCAUGACAUGGGACUACACGAGAAGCAGACUUUCUCUUCACAUCCGGCUUUGCCAAUCUAUUUCUCUCCCCAACUUUUUCCCCAGAGCUCUCAUCUCUGUUCGUUGGGUCAUCGUCAGACAUUGCCUUCCCUGGAGCAUUGUGAGCGGCACCACAUUCAACUAUC